rnacentral:lncRNA from 1 species
UAGAUUGGGCUGCGUUGGAGUUACAAGAGUGGCUGAAGUUCGGAACCAGCAGAAGGUUGUACAUAAGCCGUGAAAGAAAAUUGGAGUGCUGUUGGCUGCAAAUACUUACUCCACCUAUUGCAUGGUUACAGUUGUACAUAUGUUUUUUUGCUUCCCCAGCAUAUUCAAAUGAGCAAUCGAUUUUGACCAUCCAGUCCUUAGUUUUGCCGAGUCGAUUCGGCAAGAUUUAGUGUUGUCACACAUGGGAAGUGCUCGUCUGCACAUGGUGGCAGCUGCACUGGACUAUCCACGGAUUUGUUUAGUACGCUCGUGCUGGUAUCUGGAUCGAUCGUGGACAAGGUCUACUGAUGGCUAUUGACCUAACUAAUUGUUUGGGCAUGGUCUACUGAUGAUUUCGUAAAUAUUCGUGUACUCCCCAGACCCGGUCUACUGACGGCUACCUAUCUCAUCUUCUCCAUUGUUACUCCCUCCAUUCGGAAUUACUUGUCUCAAAAAUGGAUGUAUCUAGAAUUAAAACAUGCCUAGGUACAUCCAUUUCUGCGACAAGUAAUUCCGAAUGGAGGGAGUAGUUUUCUAUUAAAGCUAUGGAGCCAAGCAUAUAUAACAAUAUCAGUUUCAGGAGCUAACGCGUACGAUGUCAUUUUCAUGUAUUUUUGAUGACCUACUCUAUGUCACCUGGUCAGCGCGCUUACACCCGAUGUCCUUUAACACAUCCAUCGCCUAUAUAUGUUGACACACUAGUACCAAUGAUCUCACAACACGAUCUAUCUUGCAGCCAUUUCUCUCUUUAGCUUCCUUGGAGCUUGUGAUCAUUAGUUGAUCAGACAACAUAACCAAUUUUCUCUCUAGCGCUAACUUCCACUCCCCAUCAUAUUUUCAGUUACUAGUAAGUCAGCUAGCUAGUACUCCCUCCGUCCGGAAAUAGUUGUCAUCAAAAUGGAUAAAAGGGGAUGUAUCUAGACGUAUUUUAGUUCUAGAUACAUUUCUUUUCAUCCAUUUUGAUGACAACUAUUUCCGGACGGAGGGAGUAGAUCCAUAUUUAAUCCAUGGGGACCAAAGCUCUUAUUCUGAUCACCGUGGCCAUGACCAUGCUUGGGAUGGCGCUCGGUGCCAGCCACACUGUCGGCGCGCCGGACGGGUCGUGGGACCUUCGGACCAACUACUCCUAGUGGGUUUCGAGAAUCAGGUUCACCAUCGGCGAUGAGCUCAAGUUCCAGUACCCAGCCUCCGUGCACAGCGUGGUGGAGGUGAGCAAGACGGGGUAUGACUCCUGCCACGGCUCCAGCCCCAUAGCAACUUUCUCGACCAGUAAUGAUGUUGUUCUGCUUGCCACCGUUGCGACCCGGUAUUUCAUUUGCGGCGUCUCCAGGCACUGCGACGCCGGCAUGAAGGUCGAGGUCAACGUCAAGUCGAAAGAAGUGCGGACUGUGCAACGGUGCCGACGGACAGGGAACCGACGUCGCUGCCAGUCUGAGACAGUAUUAAGCUCAGCUGCGGCGGCUGGCGUCGACCAGUCUACGGCGGCCCGACUCGGUCUGAUAGUUGUUGUGACUGGUCUUACUUUGUUCUCUUAGAGUGAACAAUGAUUGUGGUCCUUUUUUCCUUGUUCGGUCCUAGCAUGGUCCCUUUGUGUAUUAAAUUCAAUUCUGUUGUGAAAUGUAAUUGCAUUCAUUAUAAUUGAAUUCAACAUAUCUUCUUGCAAGAACCCAAAUAAUAACCAAGCGUGUAACCAUGAAAUAAAUUUACAAAAGAUGUGUUGAGUGCAAUGACAUUACAUCCAUCCAUUAGAUACAACGGAAAUUCAGGUAGAGCUAAAUUCGUCUAGAUAAGUAACAUGAUCUUUAAGGCGAAACGGUGGGGUAAACACCCACUCCAAAAUUUUAUAUUAUUGGGAAGUGUAUGUACACACUGGUUUGAGAUAAGCCUAAAAAGAAGAUAAAUGAAGAAAACAAACCCUAACAAACUGAGCCAAAAAAUAAAAUAAAAUUACAAGACUUCAGAUCGCCAAGCUUUGAAAGCAUUGCCAUAUUUCGUUUUCAUCUUGUGUCCCAAAAUCUGCCCGCCAAGAAACAGAAAUUACAAGAGUUCAGCUCGCCAAGCCCUUGUUCAUCCUGUUACCAUCAAGCUAAAAUCAUCAGCUCGGGACCCCUUACUGGAGAGCCCCUGACACGGGCUACGUGGCUUAGCUCUCCAGCGAGCGACGUGGUGGCGGGUGUUGACGGUCUACCUCGGCCCUGUGGGUGGCGAGGUGCAUGGUGAUGGGUGAUCCUGGCGUAGCAGAUGACUUCGAUGGAAGCUUUGCCCUGAUCUAGAUGUGGUGCUCCCAUUCCAUCAUGGUGGGGUCCCGUUAGAGUUUCCUCGAUGUGGUGGGAGCGAGCAAAAGCUUUGCGCUCCGGCACCGGCGGCGACAAGGCCUGCGGGGGAUGUUGUAUCCCUCUUGGGGCGUCACCUUGGACCUCUUCUUGCCGUCCAACUCUUAAGGUGAAACCUUUCUUAGCUUUGGCGGCGGCGACGCUUUGUGUCGUUACCCUCCUGGGGGCAUCGCCGGUGAGGGUGGGUCUUCCUCUUGCACGGUGGCGUGUUUCAUGUGCUUCUUCUCGGCUACUAGCUCGAGGCGUUUAGGUGCACUUAGAGCGUUUGGCUAGUAUUACUGAUUUUCUUUAAAUCAGCUUAUGAGGUCAUGCCUUGUAUCGGGUCAUUUUGUAUCAGUUUGGUUGUUUAUGCCUUUAUCUAUAAAGGGGGCGAAAGCUUGUUUCGAAAGAGAAAACGAUUCGUGAAAUCGACUGUCCUUGAUGGCCUAUUACAAUGGUGCGCAUGGUGACCGAUCUUGACCAAAUUCAGUCGACCAACGCCUAUUACUAUCCUUCUUGUAUUUGUUAUCAUGCCUUCUAUACAAUAAAACUAUGCUACGUAAUUUGUGUACUCUUGAGAAAAGAUGAUUACGUUUUAUUUUCCAAUUUUUACAAUGAUAUACAUUUUAAUAAAUCAAUUAUCAUGUGGUAGAAAUAUGCACGCGCGCACCAAUACGUUCAUAAUGUUAAUCAAUGAUUAAGUUCAAAUAAUUAAUGUUUAACACGCUCGGGCACCGGAUUGGUAGCAGCCUGAGGGAUUGCCGCCAGACCCAAUCUAACCUCGGCUAUGAAUUCCAUCGUCACCAUUAUUAGAUUAUUGUCAUAGUAUAAUAGGCGAGCCAAGUGUUAAAAGAAAAGAGAGACAAUUGACAAGUAGUGGAAUUGCUAUUCUCAUUGAUUGGGUUUGUUACAAUAUAUACAUCCCGUAGGGACGCGACGAUACAUAGGGACACGAAGGGAGAGGCGUGUCGGUUGCCUGUUGGCAACGGCAUGGCAGUUAACAAGGGGAGAUUCCCUUUCAAUUAAACAUGUGUGUUUAAUUCUAACACUCCCUCUAAUCUUCGCUUGUCGAUGUAGUAUCAUCAACUCGAAAGAGUCUCCUCCAAAAACUCUGUGGGAAAAAUAUGAGGAGUAGUGUAAAAUAUGUUGCUAAAACUCCUUCAAACCCAGUGGGAAAAAUAAGGAGAAAAUGAUGCAACAUAUAAUGGUUAUUGUCUCUUUUAACUCAAUACGAGAAAACUCAUAGAGUUUAGAGGACGAUAAAUAUGUCAUAUACACUUUCUUAAAAACCCCGGUGGGGAAAACAGAAAGUAUGACAUAUGAUCUCAUGUUGAUAUUACCUCAUUAAAAACCUUCAUGAGAACCUUUAAAGUAAACUCAUUAAGGAAAAAAGAGUAUAAUAUGAUGCUUUGAACAGGAACAAUUCAGGAAAGUACUCCCCCUGAUCCUUGCAAAUUCCGAAGCCAUCACAUACCAACUCCAUGAACGUAUUUCUGGAAUGUAGAAGCUGGUAGAGACUUGGUGAAUAAAUCAUUCACAUGAUUUGACUUGCAAGAUAUGCAAUAUGAUGAUAUUGCUAAUUACGUAACCUGUUUGCAUCCGGGCAACACAAGCAACAUUAUCUUUGAGAUAAUGGUUGGUGGAUGUAGCCAUGAGGUCUGUUUGGAAGACUCUUCAUGAGGGGGCUACCACACCUAGUAUGAACACCAAGUUUGUCUACGAUCUGACAUAGUGGGGAUCUAAUCGAUGUAUCCAAUGAUAUCGGUGUUCACAUUUCUGUGAAACUGAAAAACCAGGACAAGAUGUUUGAUGCCUUUGGAGAUAUCGAUAGAUAUUCUUGAGUCCCAACCAAUUGUGUUUGGUGUAUCCAAUGGCAUUAUGGAACGUUGAGUCCCAAUAUCUCAUUUCCAUCAUCUCUUGGUCUAAAUAGAUCUUUCUCUACGUCUAGAGAAUGAACUACCAUGAGAGUUAUGGAUGGAUAAUAUUUGUCCAUAAUGGAUUUCUCCAAUAUAUUUUGGAUAUAGACAACAUAGUAUACCAUAAUGUAUGAAUGAAGGUGCUCAAGUUGUAAUAACGAGCGGUAUUUUGGUUUACCCAAAUCCUUCUUAAACUCUGUCAUUUAGAUGAUUACAUGUGUCGUCAUUGCAGACACACAAACAUGGAUAAUCAUCAUUGUAGGAGUAAUCCUUGUGAAUAAGGAACUCACUUCGUCGGUUGUACCAAAUGUACCGACGAUAAUAAUAAGUCAUAUGGUGACUCAUUGAUUUUACACAAUGUAUGUUGCAUUUUGUACUUCGAUUCAGAAUUGAGAUUCCAUCGGAAAUCAAUCAUAUAUGUCUGAAUCUAGUGAUCCACAUGGACAUGUGAUCACUACAUCUAUCAACUGCAGAGAUAGAUGAUUUUGAACUGCCAAUGAUAUAAGUUAUCGGAAUGAGAUUCCACCUCUGGAGAAUAGUUGGGUAUCUGCGUGAACCCUUGUGCUACAAUACUUGCUCUUUGUUUCACCACCUCAUUGUUCUCAAUUCUGUUUCCAGAAGAAAAUUGGUGUAGGUAUUGCCUAUGAAUACCUUCCCAUUAUUGAGCAAGAUCAUUUCUACCUAGAUUAUACCCUUUGCUUGAGUUCAGUCCGAGUGAUGAUCACACUUUGCCAUGGCCAUGGUCUUUGGAUCUGAAUCAUUUGUAAGGUUUUGCAAUCUAGUUGAGAAAUGUAUGCCGGCAAUUGUAGACUUCUGGUUAUAUGAUUCUCCAGAAUCUGUAUAUCAAUAUAUAGUUGAUGAAAAUAUCGUUACCCAUAGUGACUUCUCGCGAUUUCCCAAUGCGAUUGAGUCGGGUAUUCCGAUGUCCCGAUCAUUGUGUGCACUAUGACCUGGGUUGAUGGAGGUUUCCCGUCCACUGAGUGUAUACUACCCAUUAAGUGUCUGCCAACGUGAAGUUGACUUGCAUUUACUGAUUCACAGGCCUUGAUAUCCUUGCUUGCGAGAAGCUGAAUCCUGGUGUACUUCUGCCAUACAUCUCCCCAUGUUGCUUUGAACGAGGAGUGGAGUGGAUUUUGCUUGUACCUCCACUCUUUCAGGCGUACUUUUGCAGGAUUGUAGGAUUGUGUGACACCUUUAUAGUCAGUAAAUGAAUCUGACAGAUUAUUUGCAAUGUGUUGCAAAUCUUUUGAAUGCAUGGUUCAGAUCUUUGAGUACGUGGAUUUGAGGCAGAAAUGUGUUGAACAUUCCACUAAUUUCCUGGCAUUUUUAUGGUACUUGAAAUCUCCCCCUAAUGCCUGGAAAUGUUCCUCAUUAAAUCAGCAUACUUGCCUUGAAUAACUCCCCAUGCGAGGGGCUUGAGGUAUUGACGGAAAUACAGUUAUUCCUCACAUAGAUCCCAACUAUAUGUUGAGGGGCCAAUAAUGUAUGCUGGGUGGUGAUAUCGGUAUGCAACCGAAUUACCGCAGAUAGGAAAUACUUGAUAGAUUUCCACGUAUCAAAGACAGAGGGGAAUAAUAUUAUGCAGUUUGGUCAUGAGCGUGUAAAACUACAUGACUCCAACGUAAAGUUGGUAAGUUGCAAUUCCAAAGUAAAGAUAAUGCAAUGAGCAUAACUCUUUGGAUAUGAUUCUACCAAACCAUUUUGAGUCUAGACAUUAGGACAAAUUGCUAAACUUCAAUCCAAGGGCCAGAGAGAAGGCACUCAAGGAGAAUUCUGCAAUGUUAUCCAUUCGAUUUGCUUGAAAUCGAUGUCAGGAUAAUGAGCCAAUGGUUUCGUGUGAAUAAAGGACACACUUAAGACCAUCAUGUAGAUAUGUCUUUUAGAACCAUGGAAUACCUGAAUAGUCUACUCAAUGGCUGGGAAGAGCCACUUACCUCGAAUUGAUGCACUCAAGGAGUCUGAGUGGUUCAGCGUAGACUUUAAGGUGUUCGAACCUUAAAAUUAGCUUCCCUGUGUCACUUGUAGUGCACAUAAAAUCCAAAUGUUAUUAGACUUUAGCAUCAUAAUAAUCACAAACUAUUGGAAUUGCUGAUAGUUUCGGUUUCAACCGAAUGUCUCGAUGACCAAGGCUAGUAUGCCAAGUUUGUCAUGUACAAGACACUCUGGAAAACUAUCUCGUACGCAACAUGUGCUACGGGUUGAGUCGUAUGUGUAGUUCAAUCCAGAAGAUACACAGAGAAUGUGCUUGCCAUAUCCGUUGCAUAUGGUAAAGAGAAGUUAUUUCUCUUUGUUGUCAUCAUAAGUUUCGCUAUGGAAACUAUUUUGACGAAUACCUUCGUAGUUUAGUAGGGUACGAGUUAAACCUGGGAAGCAAUAAAGCAUCCCGACGUUACUCGAGUACCCACAGGGAUAGUAAAUACGACUCGAGUGGAGCCAACAAAUACCUCAUCGCGUGUCGUGAUUUAAAUAUCUCCUUUCUCUCAAUGAGAGUGGAAACAUUGGACUUUCCUGAGUAUAAAGUUUGUGGUGCAUAUGCCCACAAAGCACAUAUCAUUUUUCAUCGGAUUGACUCCCGUAGAAAUCUAUAUAUAGACGUGAAGAUUCUCAAUAUGAAAAUCACUAUCAGAUAUAUAGAAUACAUACAAAUGUAUUUGUAUCAAAGUGUCGAUACAAUAUAUUGUGAUAUAUAGUAUAUGAUGACAACAAUACUUAUGUUCUUAUUAGAACAUCGUAAAUGGACAUAAAUUAUGUUGACCACCGAGGAGAUUGAUAGACUAGACAAAGCCUUCAAACAUGUUAGUUGAUGCAUAUUCAACCUUCAUGUUCUUCGUGCUCAUAGGGUCCCGUGACUGCUAAUAGUCAUGUUGGAGGGAUGAAGUGAGAUUCAAACCUUUGCCCUUGAGAUUCUUUACGCCCCAGGAAUAGCUGAUACAGAAUAACCCGAUGUUGAGACCAGGAUCGAUAUAAUGCCUUAAGAUUUAUAAGGCAACAUAUUUUUCUGUUAGCGGGGUGAUUCCGACCAGAGGUGAAUCCUAUGGUCUUGGAUUGCACACAUUAUUCCACGAGACACAAGAGCGAUCAUGAUGCCCAUGGCCCAGAUAGGGCAGCGGUGGCCAUUGAGGACGAAUGCCUCAAACUCUAUAGCCAUAUUACCUCUAUGGGUAAACCAGAGAUGAUUAAUUUACAACCAGUAAAUUAAAGACCAUCAUGGUUGAUGUUGUAAUGAACUUAGCAAAAUCAAUGGGUAUUUCAAGAAGUUAUCUUGAAAUCAUUAGUGUGAAUCUCAAAUUGCUAAGUAUGACAUCUUGAAGAUAGGGAGUAGAUCUCGCAACACUAGGGAGUAUAAUCUGAUGAAAUCAGUAGAUACUCACUCCUAAUGCCUUAUCUCAUGACUUAGUAAAAUGUGUGGAAGAGCACUUUGUAAACCAAUCAUAAUGUCGAAACGACAAAAUAUAGGCUUUAUCAGUAGUCAUCGAUAAUCUGCGUAGGCAGUAGAUCCAUGACUACUGUGUGAUCUCAAGCAUCAAUUUGAAGAAAUCACCUUGAAUUUGCACCCGUAUUUGCAAAAAAUUGAAAAUCUCAAUUGCAAAUAGACGUAUUAAUCUCGACAUGUAGCAAACAUGGAGAUACAUACAUUCUGGAAUACAUCAUACUCAACGGAAAUACACUACUAUUGUAAUGAAUAGUAAUGAUGUUGUAAACUUGAUGUUCAAGUGAGAGCUUGAGUUGUAUAGACCUCAAACUAAAUGAGAUGAUGUUGUAUCAAGUUGCAAGAUAAUUCAGCAAAGUGAAUUAAUAUUUUGCGAGAGAAAUUAGUCUCAAUCGCAAUGAGAUUGUUUCGCGAGAGAAAAAAAAUAUUCUCAAUCGCAAAUCAGUACUCUAGAGGUACUAAAUUUAUCUUUGCAAGAGAUAAAAACAAAUCUCAAUUGCAAAUAAUAGAUGUAAUGAAUCUCAACAUGUAAGAAACAUGGAAAUAUAUUACAUCACGUUCUGAAAUACAAGGUACUCUACAGAAACAUAGUAUUUAAGACAAAUACUGGAAAUAACAGGGUCAACACAGAUCAACGCUACUACCUCCGUCUCGGUGAAUAAGUCAUUCGCGUAGUUCUAGGUUGACGAUUUAACUAUCUAAAUAUAUAUUAUAUGUGAUAAAAAAUAUAUAUUUAGAAACUACAUCGUUGUAGAAAUCUAGUGAUAUACUUUUCAUGACAUAUAGCACAUAUUUAAUUCCUCAAAUCAAUGACCUAGAACUACGCGAAUGACUUAUUCACCUAGACGGAGGUAGUAGUAAAUAGCAUUGUUAACAGGAGCAAUUUGCAAAAUCCCUGAAAUUGAAGGAUGAUGUGCGAAUAUUAGCCUGGACCACUGAAUCAGCCUGUUUUGCUAAUUCUAGUAACUGUAGGGAUCUUAGUGUAAAGAGACGAAGAGAUAAUGUUCUCUAUCGUGAUUCCCUACGUGGGCACAAAUCAAUCGAUUUGCUUCACAGAACCACCGCCUGGAUGGUUCGAGCCACGCCGGAGGGACACCACGAUGUUGGUCACCGCGGACCGCGCCGACAAAUCCGCGGGGUGGGGAGCAGCGUGCAGCGCCAUGUGGUCGCUCUCGCGGGCGUCACCAGUGGAGAAUCCUCACUGGUGAGAUGCAGGCCGUAAAGCAGCGCGGCCACGGCGAGGCGCGCGAGGGCGAGGCCUCGGCGCGGACAGGUGCAGCGGCGCCAAAGGCGCGGGCGGGCGCAGCGCGCGAGGGCGAGGGGGCCGGACGCGGUGCCGUUCGCGAGCCCGAGUGCCGCGGGGCUCCGUGAGCCGGAGCGGCCGGAGUGGCCGUUCGACGGAGUCGGGGACGGCAGGCGCGGCGGUGCGGCAGCGUCGCCCGGGACACGCGCGACCGUCGGCAACCUCUGGAGCGGCACGCCGGCUUCUGCUUCAACAACCGCUGGGGUCGGAGGCUGCAUCGGCGGAUCAUGACGGGAAAGUCCUACUGGUGCUAAAGUUCAUUUAAUCCAUGGGGCUAAAGUUCUUAUCCUGAUCACCGUGACCGUGGCCAUGCUCCGGAUGGUGCUCAGCGCCAGUCUCACGGUGGGUGUGCCGGCCGGAUCAUGGGACCUACAGACCAACUACACCAUGUGGGCUUUGAGAACUAGGUUUACCAUCGGCUAUGAGUUCCAGUUUCAGUACUCCACCACCGUGCACAAUGUGGUGGAGGUGAGAAAGGCUGGGUACGACGCCUACAACAGCUCCAGCCCCAUCGCGAUGUUCCUAACCAGCAACGAUGUCGUCCCACUUGCAGCCAUUGGGAUGCGGUACUUCAUUUGCGGCGUCCUAGGGCAUCGCGUCGCCGGUAUGAAGGUUCAAGUCAACGUGAAGUCGAAGGCAGUGUGGACAGUACGACGGUGCCGAGGGAUGGGGAAGCGGCUCCGGUGCCGGUCCGAGACUAUCUUAAGCUCGGCCAUGACGGCUGGUAUUGAUCAGUCUGCGAUGGCGCGACUAGGUCUGGCCUUUGUCGCGGCUGGUCUCGUGUUGUUCUAUUAGUGAUCGUCGAUAAUGGUGCUUUUUUCUUCUUAACGCGAUGCGCAUGCGUAUUUGUGUAUUAUAAAUUAAUUCUUUUGUUAAAUGUAAUUUCUUCCAUUAUAAUUGGAUUUAACUUAUAUUCUUGCGAACCAUAAUCAUGUGUAUAUAAUCAUGGAAUAAAUAAAGGGCAGUGCUAGGUGUCGGUCGGCCGUCCCAAAUUUUGGUCGGCCGCGCACUAGCCGUCAGAUGCAAGCUGCGUAGGCCGUCUGAUUUGCCUGCUCAGCUCCUUCCUCCCCACACCUUGCACAAGCUGGCCCAACAGCCUUCCCCUCGCGCAGCUUGCCAGUGCCCCCCUCCCCCCGACAGCAUCACACCUCAUGUCGGCCCGGUCCCUAGCAUGGCGCCAUGCGGGCGAGAUGCAGUAUCAAUGGCUUCUGCCGGGCUGACGCUCGCAAUUGACACUCCCACUAGUUCGAGCAAGAACUCUCUGGUUCCAGCAUUUGCAUGCGCUGGUUGUAACAUCUCGCCAGCAAGCCAGUGCUCACCGUCGCUGAUUCGAACAUGUACAGUCUCUGGUUCCAGCAAAUGCGUGAGCGGGUUCCAGGAAAAGGACUUCGCAUGUGGCCUGUCUGUUCCAGCAAAAAUGUGCAGCUCGCGGUCAUGACCAUCAUAGCUACUCCGAUGACUGCUUGCAACUUUUUUGUUGACGGGCCCCAGCACCUCGUCAAGCUGCUAGAAGCAUGCCGCCAUUCGGCGCCGGUCGGCGCCGUCGCGGGAACCAUGGUUGCACGGUCACCGAGGUUUUGCAGCUUUUCUCCUGCCCCAUUCCAGCAUCCGCACAUGUCAAUUCUAGCAAAAAAGAUGACCGGAUGCAACAUCUAUUGCCAUCGGGUUCCCAAGAUGCACCACGGCUGGUUCCACUGUCCUCACCGACAGGUUCCAGCAAAAACCAUGGCCGGAUGCAGCAUCGCCGUGUCCCGCUGUAGCUUUUCUCUUUGGUGAGCUUAGCUUUCCUCCGUCGUUUUUCUCUUAAGAGGGCAGAUUUAUGAUUUUAUCUUAGCAGCUAUAAAGGGCAUUUACUUUGACGUUAUCGUAUUAGAGAAAAGGGCUAAGAUAUGAGUAACAAAAAGGAUAAUAUUUAGUAUAAAUAUAUUUGUCAUUUAGCUUUGAAUUUUCAUUUACCUCGCAAAUGUUACCUCUCCACGGCCGACCUUGUGAGCCUGCUUCAAAUUGUUCUCUUAUGAGAGUUUUCCUCUAUAUUUAAGGUGUACUUAGUGGUGGUGUUUGGACGUAAGUACCAGGUUGAAGCCAAUGUGCCCAAGGUAUAGUUCCCCACUCAGGACUGCAGAGAUUACCCCUUGAUAUUUAGGCGUACCGCAAAAUGUUGUGGUUUUAGUGUAUGAAAUGAAACAUGGGAACUCGUGCUUAAAAAAAGAAACAAGGGCAUCUCGAGGAGAAAUGAUGGAUUUAAACCCGACACGGGCUACGUGGCUUUGCUCUCUAGGAAGCGACGUGGUGGCGGGUAUUGACGGUGUACCUUGGCCCUGUGGGUGGCGAGGUGCACAGUGAUGGGUGAUCUUGGCGUAGCAGGCGACUUCGAUGGAAGCUUUGCCCUGAUCUGGAUUUGGUGCUCCCAUUCCGUCGUGGUGGGGUCCCCGUUAGAGCUUCCUCGAUGUGGUGGGAGCUGUGGUCGAGCGAAAGCUUUGCGCUCCGGUGCCGGUGGCGACAAGGCCUGCAGGUGUUGUAUUCCUCUUGGGGCAUCGCCUUGGACCUCUCCUUGCCAUCCAACUCUCAGGGUGAAACCUUUCUUAGCUUCGGCUGAUGUGGCGGUGGUGACGCUUUGUGUCGUUACCCUCCUGGGGGCGUCGCCGGUGAGGGUGGGUCUUCCUCUUGCACGGUGGUGGGUUUCAUGUGCUUCUUCUCGGCUGCUAGCUCGAGGAGUUUAGGCGCACUUAGUGCGUUUUUAGCGUUCUUGGCUAAUAUUACCGAUUUUCUUUAGAUCAGCUUAUGAGGUUCUCCUCAAUGCCUUGUAUCGGGUCAUUUUGUAUUGGUUUGGUUGUUUAUGCCUUUAUCUAUAAAGGGGGCAAAAGCUUGUUUCGAGAGAGAGAACGAUUCGUGAAACAACUGUCCUUGAUGGCCUAUUACAAUGGCGCACAUGGUGACCGAUCUUGACCAAAUUCAGUCGACCAACGCCUAUUACUACCCUUCUUGUAUUUGUUAUCCUGCCUUCUAUACAAUAAAGCUAUGGUACGUAAUUUGUGUACUCUUGAGAAAAGAUGAUUACGUUUUAUUUUCUAAUUUUUACAGUGACAUACAUCUUAAUAAAUCAAUUAUCGUGCGGUAGAAAUAUGCACGCGCGCACCAAUACGUUCAUAAUGUUAAUCAAAGAUUAAGCUCAAAUAAUUAAUGUUUAGCACGCUCGGGCACCGCAUUGAUAGCAGCCAGACCCAAUCUACGAAUUCCAUCGUCACCAUUAUUAGAUUAUCAUAGUAUAAUAGGCGAGCAAAGCAUGCACGCACCAACAUGUAUUUAUAUUCAUCUGGGAGUACUAUUACUCAUAUUCAUGCAUCUUAGACCUACCAUACCUCACCUGGUCAACACGCUCUCACCGGGUGAUCCUAGCUUGAACCAAUCCACCGCCUAUAUAUUUUGACAUAGUGGCAUCAACGAUUGUACAACACAUUCCAUCAUGCAACCAUUUCUCUCUGCAACUUCCUUGGAUCCUAUCAAAUUUCUCUCUAGCGCUAACUUCUAGCUCCGAUCUUUUCAGUUAGCUAGUCGGUCGACAUUUAAUCCAUGGGGGCUAAAGUUCUUAUCCUGAUCACCGUGGCCGUGGCCAUGCUCGGAAUGGUGCUCGGCGCCAGUCACACGGUGGGCGCGCCGGCCGGAUCAUGGGACCUGCAGACCAACUACACCCUAUGGGCUUCGGGAACUAGAUUUACCAUCGACGAUGAGCUCCAGUUUCAGUACCCCAACAUCAUGCACAAUGUGGUGGAGGUGAGAAAGGCUGGGUAUGACGCCUGCAACAGCUCCAGCCCCAUCACGACGUUCUUGACCGGCAACGAUGUCGUCCCACUUGCGGCCAUUGGGACGCGGUACUUCAUUUGCGGUAUUCCAGGGCAUUGCAUCGCCGGUAUGAAGGUUCAAGUUAACAUGAAGUCGAAGGCAGUGCGGACAGUACAACGGUGCCGAGGGACGGGAAAGCGGCUCCGGUGCCGGUACGAGACUGUAUUAAGCUCGGCCACGGCGGCUGGCAUUGAUCAGUCUACGGUGGCGCGGCUAGGUCUGGCCAUUGUCGCGACUGGUCUCAUGUUGUUCUUUUAGUGACCGACGAUUGUGGUGCCUUUUCUUCUUGACGCGCCGUGCAUGCUUAUUUGUGUAUUGUAAAUCAGUUCUUUUGUUAAAUGUAGUGUUUAUAAUCAUGGAAUAAAUAAAGCGUAGUGCUAGGUGCCAUUUGGCCGGCCCAAAUUUUGGUCGCCCGCGCACUAGUCAUCAGAUGCAAGUUGCGUAGGCCGGCUGAUUUGGCUGCUCAGCUCCUUCCUCCCCACACCUUGCGCAACCUCGCCCAACACCCUUCCCCUCGCGCAGCUUGCCAGUGCCCCCGCCCCUCCCCCGACAACAUCGCACCUCCUGUCGUGCAGGUCCCUAGCACCGCGCCACGCUGGAGAGAUGCAAUAUCUAUGGUUUCUGCCGCUCUGAUCCUCGCAAUAGACACCGGCACUAGUUCCAGCAAAAACUCUCUCUGGUUCCAGCAUUUGCAUGCGCUGGGUGUAACAUCUCGCCGGCAAGCCGGUGCUCACCAUCGCUGAUUCCAGCAUCUACAGUCUCUAGUUCCAGCAAAUGCGCGAGCCAAAUUCCAGCAAAAGGACUUCACCUGUGGCCCUUCGGUUCCAGCAAAAAUGCGCAGCUCGCGGUCACCACCAGCGUAGCUACUCUGAUGACUGCUGGCAACUUUUUUGCCGGCGGGUCCUAGCACCUCGCCAUGCUGCUAGAAGCAUGCCGCCAUUCGGCGUCGGUCGGCGCCGUUGUAGCUCGCGGGAACCAUGGUCACACGGUCGCUGAGGUUUCACAGCUUUUCUCCUGCCCCAUUCGAGCAUCCACACAUGUCAACUACAGCAAAAAAGAUGACCGGAUGCAGCAUCUAUUGCCGUUGGGUUCCCGGGAUGCACCACGGCUGGUUCCAGUGUCCUCACCAACUGGUUCCAGCAAAAACCAUGGCUGCAUGUAGCAUCACAGUGUCCCGUUGUAGCUUUUCUCAUCGGCGAGCAUAGCUUUCUUCCGUCGUUUUUCUUCAAAGAUGGCACAUUUAUGAUUUUAUCUUAGGAGCUAUAAGGGGCAUUUACUUUUAUGUCAUCGUAUUAGAGAAAAGGGCUAAGAGACGAGUAACAAAAAGGUAAUGUUUAGUAUAAAUAUUUUUUUUCUUUUAGCUUAGAAUUGUCAUUUACGUCGCAAAUGUUAUAACCUCUCCAGGCCGGACCUUGUGAGCCUGCUUCAAAUUGUUCUCUUAUGAGAGUUUUCCUCUAUAUUAUUUAAGGUUUACUUAGUGGUAGUGUUUGGACGUAAGUACCAGGUUGAAGCCAAUGUGCCCAAGGUAUAGUUUCCCACUCAGGACUGCAGAGAUUACCCCUUGAUAUUUCGGCGCACUGCAAAAUGUUGUGGUUUUAGUGUAUGAAAUGAAACACGGGAACUCGUGCUUAAAAAAAGAAACAAGGGCAUCUCGAGGAGAAAUGAUGGUGAUAAAAAAUUAUCCCUCCGAUCCAUAAUAAGUGUCGUGUUUUAGCUCAAAUGUAUAAUACAUAUAUGACAACAAAUUAUUAGUGGAAUUACCUUUCACUAGCCAAAAACUAGGACCAACUAUAAAUCCUCUUUGCCAAAUAUGAUUUUAGCUAUAUGACAACGGCGAGGGGCCCUUACCAAGCAGACCAUGCAACUUUUAAAUUUGGUAAACACAACAUAUUAUCAAUAGUGAAUUUCCAUGAAUUUUGACAGUGGCAUACAUCUUAAUUAUUAUUUUAGAAGAAUCUUAAUUAAUUAUAUAAUUAUUUGACGUACCGAUGUAGUACAUGUGCGCACCAACACGUUCGGAUUGUUUUACUAGAGAAUAUGUUGGAUUAAUUUAUGUUUAGUACUCUCGUGCGGGCAUCCGGAUCUACCGAGGACAAGGUCCACUGAUGGCUACUGAUGAUCUCCUAACUAAUUGUUUGGACAUGGUCUACUGACAAUUUGGUUACUAAUCCUUUUCUCCCCAGACCCGGUCUACUGACGGCUACCAAUCUCAUCUUCUUCAUUGUUAGUUUUCUAUUAAAGCUAUGGAGCCAAGCAUAUAUAAUAAUAUCAGUUCAGGAGAUAACGUGUAUGAUGUUAUUUUCAUGCGUUUUAGACGACCUACUCUAUGUCACCUAGUCAACGCGCUUACACCCGAUAAUCCUUUAACACAUCCAUCGCCUAUAUAUGUCGACACACUGGUAUCAAUGAUCUCACAACACCAUCCAUCCUGCAGCCAUUUCUCUCAUUAGCUUCCUUGGAGCUUGUGAUCAUUAGUUGAUCAGACAGCAUAACCAAUUUUCUCCCUAGCGCUAACUUCCAUCCCCCGUCAUAUUUUCACUUAGUACUACUAAGUCAGCAAGCUAGUAGAUCCAUACUUAAUCCAUGGAGACCAAAGCUCUUAUUCUGAUCACCGUGGCCAUGACCAUUCUUGGGAUGGCACUCGGUGCCAGCCACACCGUAGGCGCACCACACGGGUCAUGGGACAUUCAGACCAACUACUCUCAGUGGGUUUCGAGAAUCAGAUUCACCACCGGCGAUGAGCUCAAGUUCCAGUACUCCGCCGCCGUGCACAACGUGGUGGAGGUGAGCAAAACGGGGUAUGACUCCUGCAACGGCUCCAGCCCCAUAUCGACUUUCCCGACCGGUAAUGAUGUUGUUCCGCUUGCCACCAUCGGGACCCGGUAUUUCAUCUGUGGCGUCUCCGGGCACUGCAACGCCGGCAUGAAGGUCGAGGUCAACGUCAAGUCGAAAGAAGUGCGGACUGUGCAACGGUGCCGACGGACAGGGAACCGGCGUCGCUGCCAGUCCGAGACUGUACUAAGCUCAGCUAUGUCGGCUGAUGUUGAUCAGUCUACGGUGGCCCGACUCGGUCUAAUAGUUGUUGCGGCUGGUCUUAUGUUGUUCUUUUAGAGUGAACGAUGAUUGUGGUCCUUUUUUCCUUGUUCGGUCGUAGGAUGGUCCCUUUGUGUGUCAAAUUCAAUUCUUUUGUUAAUUUUAAUUGCAUUCAUUAUAAUUGGAUUCAACAUAUCUUCUUUGCAAAAACCCAAAUAAUAACCAAGCGUGUAACCAUGAAAUAAAUUUAUCAAAGAUGUGUUGAGUGCAAUGCAUUACAUCCAUCCAUUAUAUACAACAUAAAUUCAGGGCAGAGCUAAAUUCAUCUACAUAAGUAACAUGAUUUUUAAGACGAAACAGUGGGGUAAACACCCACUGCAACAUUUUAUAUUAUUGGGAAGUGUAUGUACACACUGGUUUGAGAUGAGCCUGAAAAGAAGAUAAAUGAAGAAAACAAACCCUAACAAACUGAGCCAAAAAAAGAAGAAACAUAAAUUACAAGGCUUCAGCUGGUCAAGCUUUGAAAGCAUUGCCAUAUUUCGUUUUCAUCUUGUGUCCUAAAAUCAGCUCGCCAAGAAAUAGAAAUUACAAGAGUUCAGAUCGCCAAGCCCUUGUUCAUCCUGUUACCAUCAAGCUAACAUUAUCAGCUCGGGACCCCUUACCCGAGAUCCGCCGGAUUUAACCCCGACACGGGCUACGUGGCUUUGCUCUCUAGGGAGCGACGUGGUGGCGGGUGUUGACGGUGUACCUUGGCCCUGUGAAGGUGCACGGUGAUGGGUGAUCUUGGCAUAGCAGGCGACUUCGAUGGAAGCUUUGCCCUGAUCUGGAUUUGGUGCUCCCAUUCCGUCGUGGUGGGGUCCCCGUUAGAGCUUCCUCGAUGUGGUGGGAGCUGUGGUCGAGCGAAAGGUUUGCGCUCCGGUGCCGGCGGCGACAAGGCCUGCGGGUGUUGUAUUUCUCUUGGGCCAUCGCCUUGGACCUCUCCUUGCCGUCCAACUCUCAGGGUGAAACCUUUCUUAGCUUGGGCUGAUGCGGCGGCGGUGAUGCUUUGUGUCGUUACCCUCCUGGGGGCGUCGCUGGUGAGGGUGGGUCUUCCUCGUGCACGGUGGUGGGUUUCAUGUGCUUCUUCUCGGCUGCUAGCUCGAGGAGUUUAGGUGCACUUAGUGUGUUUUUAGUGUUCUUGGCUAAUAUUACCGAUUUUCUUUAGAUCAGCUUAUGAGGUUCUCCUCAAUGCCUUGUAUCGGGUCAUUUUGUAUUGGUUUGGUUGUUUAUGCCUUUAUCCAUAAAGGGGGCGAAAGCUUGUUUCAAGAGAGAGAACGAUUCGUGAAACAACUGCCUUGAUGGCCUAUUACAAUGGCACGCAUGGUGACCGAUCUUGACCAAAUUCAGUCGACCAACGCCUAUUACUACCCUUCUUGUAUUUGUUAUCCUGCCUUCUAUACAAUAAAGCUAUGGUACGUAAUUUGUGUACUCUUGAGAAAAGAUGAUUAUGUUUUAUUUUCUAAUUUUUACAGUGACAUACAUCUUAAUAAAUCAAUUAUCAUGCGGUAGAAAUAUGCACGCGCGCACCAAUACGUUCAUAAUGUUAAUCAAAGAUUAAGCUCAAAUAAUUAAUGUUUAGCACGCUCGGGCACCGGAUUGAUAGCAGCCAGACCCAAUCUACGAAUUCCAUCGUUACCAUUAUUAGAUUAUCAUAGUAUAAUAGGCGAGCAAAGCAUGCACGCACCAACAUGUAUUUAAAUUCAUCUGGGAGUACUAUUACUCAUAUUCAUGCCUCUUAGACCUACCAUACCUCACCUGGUCAACACGUUCUCACCGGGUGAUCCUAGCUUGAACCAAUCCAUCGCCUAUAUAUUUUGACGUAGUGGCAUCAACGAUCUUACAACACAUUCCAUCGUGCAACCAUUUCUCUCUGCAACUUCGUUGGAUCCUAUCAAAUUUCUCUCUAGUGCUAACUUCUAGCUCCGAUCUUUUCAGUUAGCUAGUCGGUCGACAUUUAAUCCAUGGGGGCUAAAGUUCUUAUCCUGAUCACCGUGGCCGUGGCCAUGCUCGGGAUGGUGCUCGGCGCCAGUCACACGGUGGGCGCGCCGGCCGGAUCAUGGGACCUGCAGACCAACUACACCCUGUGGGCUUCGAGAACUAGAUUUACCAUCGGCGAUGAGCUCCAGUUUCAGUACUCCACCACCGUGCACAAUGUGGUGGAGGUGAGAAAGGCUGGGUAUGACGCCUGCAACAGCUCCAGCCCCAUCGCGACGUUCCUGACCGGCAACGAUGUCGUCCCACUUGCGGCCAUUGGGACGCGGUACUUCAUUUGUGGCGUUCCAGGGCAUUGCAUCGCCGGUAUGAAGGUUCAAGUCAACGUGAAGUCGAAGGCAGUGCGGACAGUACAACGGUGCCGAGGGACGGGAAAGCGGCUGCACUGCCAGUACAAGACUGUAUUAAGCUCGGACACGGCGGCUGGCAUUGAUCAGUCUGCGGUGGCGCGGCUAGGUCUGGCCAUUGUCGCGACUGGUCUCAUUUUGUUCUUUUAGUGACCGACGAUUGUGGUGCUUUUUCUUCUUGACGCGCUCGGGCAUGCUUAUUUGUGUAUUGUAAAUCAGUUCUUUUGUUAAAUGUAAUGCUUUCAUUAUAAUUGGAUUUAACAUAUCUUCUUGCAAAACCGAACUAUAAUCAAGUGUUCAUAAUCAUGGAAUAAAUAAAGCGUUGUGCUAGGUGCCAUUCGGCCGGCCCAAAUUUUGGUCGCCCGCGCACUAGUCAUCAGAUGCAAGUUGCGUAGGCCGGCUGAUUUGGCUGCUCAGCUCCUCCUCCCCACACCUUGCGCAGCCUCGCCCAACACCCUUCCCUCGCGUAGCUUGCCAGUGCCCCCGCCCCUCCCCCGACAACAUCGCACCUCCUGUCGUGCAGGUCCCUAGCACCGCGCCACGCUGGAGAGAUGCAGUAUCAAUGGUUUCUGCCGCUCUGAUCCUCGCAAUAGACUCUGGCACUAGUUCCAGCAAAAACUCUCUCUGGUUCCAGCAUUUGCAUGCGCUGGGUGUAACAUCUCGCCGGCAAGCCGGUGCUCACCAUCGCUGAUUCCAGCAUCUACAGUCUCUGGUUCUAGCAAAUGCGCGAGCCGAUUCCAGCAAAAGGACUUCACCUGUGGCCCGUCGUUUCCAGCAAAAAUGCACAGCUCGCGGUCACCACCAGCGUAGCUACUCUGAUGACUGCUUGCAACUUUUUUGCCGGCUGGUCCCACCACCUCGCCAUGCCGCUAGAAGCAUGCCUCCAUUCGGCGUCGGUCGGCGCCGUUGUAGCUCGCGGGAACCAUGGUCACAUGGUCGCUGAGGUUUCACAGCUUUUCUCCUGCCCCAUUCGAGCAUCCACACAUGUCAACUCCAGCAAAAAAGAUGACCGGAUGCAGCAUCUAUUGCCGUUGGGUUCCCAGGAUGCACCACGGCUGGUUCCAGUGUCCUCACCAACUGGUUCCAGCAAAAACCAUGGCUGCAUGUAGCAUCAUAGUGUCCCGUUGUAGCUUUUCUCUUCGGCGAGCAUAGCUUUCUUCUGUCGUUUUUCUCAAAGAUGGCACAUUUAUGAUUUUAUCUUAGGAGCUAUAAGGGGCAUUUACUUUUAUGUCAUCGUAUUAGAGAAAAGGGCUAAGAGACGAGUAACAAAAAGGUAAUGUUUAGUAUAAAUAUUUUUUUCAUUUAGCUUAGAAUUGUCAUUUACGUCGCAAAUGUUAUAACCUCUCCAGGCCGGACCUUGUGAGCCUGCUUCAAAUUGUUCUCUUAUGAGAGUUUUCCUCUAUAUUAUUUAAGGUUUACUUAGUGGUAGUGUUUGGACGUAAGUACCAGGUUGAAGCCAAUGUGCCCAAGGUAUAGUUCCCCACUCAGGACUGCAGAGAUUACCCCUUGAUAUUUAGGCGCACUGCAAAAUGUUGUGGUUUUAGUGUAUGAAAUGAAACAUGGGAACUCGUGCUUAAAAAAAGAAACAAGGGCAUCUCGAGGAGAAAUGAUGGUGAUAAAAAAUUCUCCCUCCGAUCCAUAAUAAGUGUCAUGGUUUAGCUCAAAUGUAUAAUACAUAUAUGACAACUAAUUAUUAGUGGAAUUACCUUUCACUACCCAAAAACUAGGACCAACUAUAAAUCCUCUUUGCCAAAUAUGAUUUUAGCUAUAUGACAACGGCGAGGGCCCUUACCAAGCAGAUCAUGCAACUUUUAAAUUUGGUCAACACAACAUAUUAUCAAUAGUGAAUUUCCAUGAAUUUUGACAGUGGCAUACAUCUUAAUUAUUAUUUUAGAAGAAUCUUAAUUAAUUAUAUAAUUAUUUGAGUACCGACGUAGUACAUGUGCGCACCAACACGUUCGGAUUGUUUAACUAGAGAAUAUGUUGGAUUAAUUUAUGUUUAGUACGCUCGUGCGGGCAUCUGGAUCUACCAAGGACAAGGUCCACUGAUGGCUACUGAUGAUCUCCUAACUAAUUGUUUGGACAUGGUCUACUCACAAUUUGGUUACUAAUCCUUUUCUCCCCAGACCCGGUCUACUGACGGCUACCAAUCUCAUCUUCUUCAUUGUUAUUUUUCUGUUAAAGCUAUGGAGCCAAGCAUAUAUAAUAAUAUCAGUUCAGAAGAUAACGUGUACGAUGUUAUUUUCAUGCAUUUUAGACGACCUACUCUAUGUCACCUAGUCAACGUGCUUACACCCGAUGAUCCUUUAACACAUCCAUCGCCUAUAUAUGUCGACACACUGGUAUCAAUGAUCUCACAACACCAUCCAUCCUGCAGCCAUUUUUCUCAUUUGCUUCCUUGGAGCUUGUGAUCAUUAGUUGAUCAGACAACAUAACCAAUAUUCUCCCUAGCGCUAACUUCCAUCCCCCAUCAUAUUUUCAGUUAGUACUACUAAGUCAGCAAGCUAGUAGAUCCAUAUUUAAUCCAUGAAGACCAAAGCUCUUAUUCUGAUCACCGUGGCCAUGACCAUGCUUGGGAUGGCACUCGGUGCCAGCCACACCGUAGGCGCACCGCACGGGUCAUGGGACAUUCAGACCAACUACUCUCGGUGGGUUUCGAGAAUCAGAUUCACCACCGGCGAUGAGCUCAAGUUCCAGUACUCCGCCGCCGUGCACAACGUGGUGGAGGUGAGCAAAACGGGGUAUGACUCCUGCAACGGCUCCAGCCCCAUAUCGACUUUCCCGACCGGUAAUGAUGUUGUUCCGCUUGCCACCGUCGGGACCCGGUAUUUCAUCUGUGGCGUCUCCGGGCACUGCAACGCCGGCAUGAAGGUCGAGGUCAACGUCAAGUCGAAAGAAGUGCAGACUGUGCAACGAUGCCGACGGACAGGGAACCGGCGUCGCUGCCAGUCCGAGACGGUAUUAAACCCAGCUACGUCGGCUGGCGUUGAUCAGUCUACGGUGGCCCGACUCGGUCUGAUAGUUGUUGCGGAUGGUCUUAUGUUGUUCUUUUAGAGUGAACGAUGAUUGUGGUCCUUUUUUCCUUGUUCGGUCGUAGGAUGGUCCCUUUGUGUAUUAAAUACAAUUCUUUUGUUAAUUUUAAUUGCAUUCAUUAUAAUUGGAUUCAACAUAUCUUCUUUGCAAAAGCCCAAAUAAUAACCAAGCGUGUAACCAUGAAAUAAAUUUAUCAAAGAUGUGUUGAGUGCAAUGCAUUACAUCCAUCCUUUAUAUACAACAUAAAUUCAGGCAGAGCUAAAUUCAUCUAGAUAAGUAACAUGAUUUUUAAGGCGAAACAGUGGGGUAAACACCCACCGCAACAUUUUAUAUUAUUAGGAAGUGUAUGUACAUACUGGUUUGAGAUGAGCCUGAAAAGAAGAUAAAUGAAGAAAACAAACCCUAACAAACUGAGCCAAAAAAAGAAGAAAUAGAAAUUACAAGGCUUCAGCUCGUCAAGCUUUGAAAGCAUUUCCAUAUUUCGUUUUCAUCUUGUGUCCUAAAAUCAGCUCGCCAAGAAAUAGAAAUUACAAGAGUUCAGAUCGCCAAGCCCUUGUUCAUCCUGUUACCAUCAAGCUAACAUCAUCAGCUCGGGACCCCUUACCCGAGAUCCGCCGGAUUUAACCCCAACACGGGCUACGUGGCUUUGCUAUCUAGGGAGCGACGUGGUGGCGGGUGUUGACGGUGUACCUUGGCCCUGUGAAGGUGCACGGUGAUGGGUGAUCUUGGCAUAGCAGGCGACUUCGAUGGAAGCUUUGCCCUGAUCUGGAUUUGGUGCUCCCAUUCCGUCGUGGUGGGGUCCCCGUUAGAGCUUCCUCGAUGUGGUGGGAGCUGUGGUCGAGCGAAAGCUUUGCGCUCCGGUGCCGGCGGCGACAAGGCCUGCGGGUGUUGUAUUCCUCUUGGGGCAUCGCCUUGGAUCUCUCCUUGCCGUCCAACUCUCAGGGUGAAACCUUUCUUAGCUUCGGCUGACGCGGCGGCGGUGACGCUUUGUGUCGUUACCCUCCUGGGGGCGUCGCUGGUGAGGGUGGGUCUUCCUCUUGCACGGUGGUGGGUUUCAUGUGCUUCUUCUCGGCUGCUAGCUCGAGGAGUUUAGGUGCACUUAGUGUGUUUUUAGUGUUCUUGGCUAAUAUUACCGAUUUUCUUUAGAUCAGCUUAUGAGGUUCUCCUCAAUGCCUUGUAUUGGGUCAUUUUGUAUUGGUUUGGUUGUUUAUGCCUUUAUCUAUAAAGGAGGCGAAAACUUGUUUCGAGAGAGAGAAUGAUUCGUGAAACAACUGUCCUUGAUGGCCUAUUACAAUGGCGUGCAUGGUGACCGAUCUUGACCAAAUUCAGUCGACCAACGCCUAUUACUACCCUUCUUGUAUUUGUUAUCCUGCCUUCUAUACAAUAAAGCUAUGGUACGUAAUUUGUGUACUCUUGAGAAAAGAUGAUUACGUUUUAUUUUCUAUUUUUUACAGUGACAUACAUCUUAAUAAAUCAAUUAUCGUGCGGUAGAAAUAUGCACGCGCGCACCAAUACGUUCAUAAUGUUAAUCAAAAAUUAAGCUCAAAUAAUUAAUGUUUAGCACGCUCGGGCACCGGAUUGAUAGCAGCCAGACCCAAUCUACGAAUUCCAUCGUCACCAUUAUUAGAUUAUCAUAGUAUAAUAGGCGAGCAAAGCAUGCACGCACCAACAUGUAUUUAAAUUCAUCUGGGGGUACUAUUACUCAUAUUCAUGCCUCUUAGACCUACCAUACCUCAUCUGGUCAACACGCUCUCACCGGGUGAUCCUACCUUGAACCAAUCCAUCGCCUAUAUAUUUUGACGUAGUGGCAUCAACGAUCUUACAACACAUUCCAUCAUGCAACCAUUUCUCUCUGCAACUUCCUUGGAUCCUAUCAAAUUUCUCUCUAGUGCUAACUUCUAGCUCCGAUCUUUUCAGUUAGCUAAUCGGUCGACAUUUAAUCCAUGGGUGCUAAAGUUCUUAUCCUGAUCACCGUGGCCGUGGCCAUGCUCGGGAUGGUGCUCGGCGCCAGUCACACGGUGGGCGCGCCGGCCGGAUCAUGGGACCUGCAGACCAACUACACCCUGUGGGCUUCGAGAACUAGAUUUACCAUCGGCGAUGAGCUCCAGUUUCAGUACUCCACCACGGUGCACAAUGUGGUGGAGGUGAGAAAGGCUGGGUAUGACGCCUGCAACAGCUCCAGCCCCAUCGCGACGUUCCUGACCGGCAACGAUGUCGUCCCACUUGCGGCCAUUGGGACGCGGUACUUCAUUUGCGGCGUUCCAGGGCAUUGCAUCGCCGGUAUGAAGGUUCAAGUCAACGUGAAGUCGAAGGCAGUGCGGACAGUACAACGGUGCCGAGGGACGGGAAAGCGGCUGCGGUGCCAGUACGAGACUGUAUUAAGCUCGGACACGGCGGCUGGCAUUGAUCAGUCUGCGGUGGCGCGGCUAGGUCUGGCCAUUGUCGCGACUGGUCUCAUUUUGUUCUUUUAGUGACCGACGAUUGUGGUGCUUUUUCUUCUUGACGCGCUCGUGCAUGCUUAUUUGUGUAUUGUAAAUCAGUUCUUUUGUUAAAUGUAAUGUUUUCAUUAUAAUUGGAUUUAACAUAUCUUCUUGCAAAACCGAACUAUAAUCAAGUGUUCAUAAUCAUGGAAUAAAUAAAGCGUUGUGCUAGGUGCCAUUCGGCCGGCCCAAAUUUUGGUCGCCCACGCACUAGUCAUCAGAUGCAAGUUGCAUAGGCCGGCUGAUUUGGCUGCUCAGCUCCUUCCUCCCCACACCUUGCGCAGCCUCGCCCAACACCCUUCCCUCGCGCAGCUUGCCAGUGCCCCCGCCCCUCCCCCGACAACAUCGCACCUCCUGUCGUGCAGGUCCCUAGCACCGCGCCACGCUGGAGAGGUGCAGUAUCAAUGGUUUAUGCCGCUCUGAUCCUCGCAAUAGACACUGGCACUAGUUCCAGCAAAAACUCUCUCUGGUUCCAGCAUUUGCAUGUGCUGGGUGUAACAUCUCGCCGGCAAGCCGGUGCUCACCGUCGUUGAUUCCAGCAUCUACAGUCUCUGGUUCCAGCAAAUGCGCGAGCCGAUUCCAGCAAAAGGACUUCACCUGUGGCCCGUCGGUUCCAGCAAAAAUGCGCAGCUCGUGGUCACCACCAGCGUAGCUACUCUGAUGACUGCUUGCAACUUUUUUGCCGGCGGGUCCCAGCACCUCGCCAUGCCGCUAGAAGCAUGCCUCCAUUCGGCGUCGGUCGGCGCCGUUGUAGCUCGCGGGAACCAUGGUAUCAUGGUUGUUGAGGUUUCACAGCUUUUCUCCUGCCCCAUUCAAGCAUCCACACAUGUCAACUCCAGCAAAAAAGAUGACCGGAUGCAGCAUCUAUUGCUUUUGGGUUCCUGGCAUGCACCACGGCUGGUUCCAGUGUCCUCACUGUUGGGGAACGUUGCAGAAAAUAAAAAAAUUUCUACGGUUUCACCAAGAUCAAUCUAUGAGUUCAUCUAGCAACGAGAGAGAGGAGUGCAUCUACAUACCCUUGUAGAUCGAGUGGAAGCGUUCAAGACACGUACGGUCAGCGUGACGUCUCCUCCUUCUUGAUCCAGCAAGGGGGAAGGAGAGGUUGAUGAAGAUCCAGCAGCACGACGGCGUGGUGGUGGAUGCAGCAGGGAUCCCGGCAGGGCUACGCCAAGCGUCUGCGGGAGGGAGAGGUGUAGCAAGGGGGAAGGGAGGCGCCAAGUGCAAGGGUGUGGCUUCCCUCCCUCCCCCCUCUUUAUAUAGGGUCCCCAAGGGGGGUGCCGGCCCUAGGAGAUUGAAUCUCCAAGGGGGGCGGCGGCUAAGGGGGUGCCUUGCCCCCUAAGGCAAGUGGAGGCGCCCCCUCCCCUAGGGUUCCCAACCCUANNNNNNNNNNNNNNNNNNNNNNNNNNNNNNNNNNNNNNNNNNNNNNNNNNNNNNNNNNNNNNNNNNNNNNNNNNNNNNNNNNNNNNNNNNNNNNNNNNNNNNNNNNNNNNNNNNNNNNNNNNNNNNNNNNNNNNNNNNNNNNNNNNNNNNNNNNNNNNNNNNNNNNNNNNNNNNNNNNNNNNNNNNNNNNNNNNNNNNNNNNNNNNNNNNNNNNNNNNNNNNNNNNNNNNNNNNNNNNNNNNNNNNNNNNNNNNNNNNNNNNNNNNNNNNNNNNNNNNNNNNNNNNNNNNNNNNNNNNNNNNNNNNNNNNNNNNNNNNNNNNNNNNGCACCAGCUCACCAGGGGCUGGUUCCCCUCCCACUUCAGCCCAUGGGGCCCUCCGGGAUAGAUGGCCCCACCCGAUGGACCCCCCGGGACCCUUCCGGUGGUCCCAGUACAAUACCGGUGACCCCCGAAACUUUCCCGAUGGCCGGAACUCGACUUUCCAUAUAUAAUUUUUUACCUCCGGACCAUUCCGGAACUCCUCGUGACGUCCGGGAUCUCAUCCGGGACUCCGAACUACUUUCGGUUUGCUGCAUACUAAUAUCUCUACAACCCUAGCGUCACCGAACCUUAAGUGUGUAGACCCUACGGGUUCGGGAGACACGUAGACAUGACCGAGACGGCUCUCCGGUCAAUAACCAACAACGGGAUCUGGAUACCCAUGUUGUCUCCCACAUGCUCCUCGAUGAUCUCAUCGGAUGAACCACGAUGUCGAGGAUUCAAGCAACCCCGUAUACAAUUCCCUUUGUCAAUCGGUAUGUUACUUGCCCGAGAUUUGAUCGUCGGUAUCCCAAUACCUCGUUCAAUCUCAUUACCGGCAAGUCACUUUACUCGUACCGCAAUGCAUGAUCCCGUGACUAGACACUUGGUCACUUUGAGCUCGUUAUGAUGAUGCAUUACCGAGUGGGCCUAGAGAUACCUCUCCGUCAUACGGAGUGACAAAUUCCAGUCUCGAUCCGUGUCAACCCAACAGACACUUUCAGAGAUACCCGUAGUAUACCUUUAUAGUAACCCAGUUACGUUGUGACGUUUGGUACACCCAAAGCACUCCUAUGGUAUCUGGGAGUUACACGAUCUCAUGGUCUAAGGAAAAGAUACUUGACAUUGGAAAAGCUCUAGCAAACGAACUACACGAUCUUGUGCUAUGCUUAGGAUUGGGUCUUGUCCAUCACAUCAUUCUCCUAAUGAUGUGAUCCCGUUAUCAAUGACAUCCAAUGUCCAUAGUCAGGAAACCAUGACUAUAUGUUGAUCAACUAGCUAGUCAACUAGAGGCUCACUAGGGAUAUGUUGUGGUCUAUGUAUUCACACGUGUAUUAUGAUUUCCAGAUAAUACAAUUAUUGCAUGAAUAAAAGACAAUUAUCAUGAACAAGGAAAUAUAAUAAUAAUCCUUUUAUUAUUGCCUCUAGGGCAUAUUUCCAACAGUCUCUCACUUGCACUAGAGUCAAUAAUCUAGUUACAUUGUGAUGAAUAGAACACCCAUAGAGUUCUGGUGUUGAUCAUGUUUUGCUCGCGGAAGAGGUUCAGUCAAUGGAUCUGCGACAUUCAGAUCCGUAUGUACUUUGCAAAUAUCUAUGUCUCCAUCUUGAACAUUUUCAUGGAUGGACUUAAAACGACGCUUGAUGUGCCUGGUCUUCUUGGCAAGGGCAAUAGCUCCAGUGUUGUCACAGAAGAGAGUGAUCGGCCCCGAUGCAUUGCGUAUGACUCCUAGGUCGGUGAUGAACUCCUUCAUCCAUAUUGCUUCAUGCGCUGCCUCCGAGGCUGCCAUGUACUCCGCUUCACAUGUAGAUCCCGCCACGAUGCUCUGCUUGCAACUGCACCAGCUUACUGCUCCACGAUUCAACAUAUACACGUAUCCGGUUUGUGACUUAGAGUCAUCCAAAUCUGUGUCGAAGCUAGCAUUGACGUAACCCUUUACGACAAGCUCUUCGUCACCUCCAUAAACGAGAAACAUGUCCUUUGUCCUUUUCAGGUACUUCAGGAUAUUCUUGACCGCUGUCCAGUGUUCCUUGCCGGGAUUACUUUGGUACCUUCCUACCAAACUCACGGCAAGGUUUACAUCAUGUCUGAUACACAGCAUGGCAUACAUAAUAGAUCCUAUGGCUGAGGCAUAGGGGAUGACACUCAUCUCUUCUUUAUCUUCUGCCGUGGUCGGGCAUUGAGCCGAGCUCAAUCUCACACCUUGCAAUACAGGCAAGAACCCUUUCUUGGACUGAUCCAUAUUGAACUUCUUCAAUAUCUUAUCAAGGUAUGUGCUUUGUGAAAGACCUAUGAGGCGUCUCGAUCUAUCUCUAUAGAUAUUGAUGCCUAAUAUGUAAGCAGCUUCUCCAAGGUCCUUCAUUGAAAAACACUUAUUCAAGUAGGCCUUAAUGUUGUAAAAUAGUUCUAUAUCAUUUCCCAUCAAAAUUAUGUCAUCUACAUAUAAUAUGAGAAAUGCUACAGAGCUCCCACUCACUUUCUUGUAAACACAGGCUUCUCCAUAAGUCUGCAUAAACACAAACGCUUUGAUCAUCUCAUCAAAGCGAAUGUUCGAACUCCGAGAUGCUUGCACCAGCCCAUAAAUGGAUCGCUGGAGCUUGCACACCUUGUUAGCAUUCUUAGGAUCGACAAAACCUUCUGGCUGCAUCAUAUACAUUUCUUCCUUAAGAUAGCCGUUAAGGAAUGCCGUUUUGACGUCCAUCUGCCAUAUCUCAUAAUCAUAGUAUGCGGCGAUUGCUAACAUGAUUCGGACGGACUUCAGCUUCGCUACGGGAGAGAAAGUCUCAUCGUAGUCAACCCCUUGAACUUUUCGAUAACCCUUAGCGACAAGUCAAGCUUUAUAGAUGGUAACAUUACCAUCCGCGUCCGUCUUCUUCUUAAAGAUCCAUUUAUUUUCUAUCGCUCGCCGAUCAUCGGGCAAGUCUGUCAAAGUCCAUACUUUGUUUUCCUACAUGGAUUCUAUCUCGGAUUGCAUGGCUUCAAGCCAUUUGUUGGAAUCUGGGCCCGCCAUCGCUUCUUCAUAGUUCGAAGGUUCACCGUUGUCUAACAACAUGAUUUCCAGGACAGGGUUGCCAUACCACUCUAGUGUGGAACUUGUUCUUGUGGACCUACGAAGUUCAGUAGCAACUUGAUCCGAAGUACCUUGAUCAUCAUCAUUAAUUUCCUCUCCAGUCGGAGUAGGCACCACAGGAACAUUUUCCUUAGCUACACUACUUUCCGGUUCAAGAGCUAGUACUUCAUCGAGUUCUACUUUCCUCCCACUUACUCCUUUCGAGAGAAACUCUUUUUCCAGAAAGGAUCCGUUCUUGGCAACAAAGAUCUUGCCUUCGGAUCUAAGGUAGAAGGUAUACCCAAUGGUUUCCUUAGGGUAUCCUAUGAAGACGCAUUUUUCCGACUUGGGUUCGAGCUUUUCAGGUUGAAGUUUCUUGACAUAAGCAUCGCAUCCCCAAACUUUUAGAAACGACACCUUAGGUUUCUUCCCAAACCAUAAUUCAUACGGUGUUGUCUCAACGGAUUUAGACGGAGCCCUAUUUAAAGUGAAUGUAGCUGUCUCUAGAGCGUAUCCCCAAAAUGAUAGCGGUAAAUCGGUAAGAGACAUCAUAGAUCGCACCAUAUCCAAUAGAGUGCGAUUACGAUGUUCGGACACACCGUUACGUUGAGGUGUUCCAGGCGGCGUGAGUUGUGAAACGAUUCCACAUUUCCUUAAGUGCAUACCAAAUUCGUGACCUAAAUAUUCUCCUCCACGAUCUGAUCGUAAGAACUUUAUCGUUUGGUCACGUUGAUUCUCUACCUCAUUCUGAAAUUCCUUGAACUUUUCAAAGGUCUCAGACCUGUGUUUCAUCAAGUAGACAUACCCAUAUCUACUCAAGUCAUCACUGAGAGUGAGAACAUAACGAUAUCCUCCACGAGCCUCAACGCUCAUUGGACCGCACACAUCGGUAUGUAUGAUUUCCAAUAAGUUGGUUGCUUGCUCCAUUGUUCCGGAGAAUGGAGUCUUGGUCAUUUUGCCCAUGAGGCAUGGUUUGCAUGUGUCAAAUGAUUCAUAAUCGAGAGACUCUAAAAGUCCAUCAGCAUGGAGCUUCUUCAUGCGCUUGACACCAAUGUGACCAAGGCGGCAGUGCCACAAGUAUGUGGGACUAUCGUUAUCAACUUUACAUCUUUUGGUAUUCACACUAUGAAUAUGUGUAACAUUACGUUCGAGAUUCAUUAAGAAUAAACCAUUGACCAUCGGGACAUGACCAUAAAACAUAUAUCUCAUAUAAAUAGAACAAUCAUUAUUCUCGGAUUUAAAUGAGUAGCCAUCUCGUAUUAAACGAGAUCCAGAUACAAUGUUCAUGCUCAAACUUGGCACCAAAUAACAAUUAUUGAGGUUUAAAACUAAUCCCGUAGGCAAAUGCAGAGGUAGCGUGCCGACGGCGAUCACAUCGACCUUGGAACCAUUCCCGACGGUCACCUUGUCCUUCGCUAGUCUCCGCUUAUUCCGCAGCUUCUGCUUUGAGUUACAAAUAUGAGCAACGACACUGGUAUCAAAUACCCAGGAGCUACUAUGAGCACUGGUAAGGUACACAUCAAUUACAUGUAUAUCACAUAUACCUUUAGUGUUGUCGGCCUUCUUGUCCGCUAAGUAUUUGGGGCAGUUCCGCUUCCAGUGACCCUUCCCUUUGCAAUAAAAGCACUCAGUUUCAGGCUUGGGUCCAUUCUUUUACUUCUUCCCGGCAACUGGCUUACCGGGCGCGGCAACAUCCUUGCCGUCCUUCUUGAAGUUCUUAUUACCCUUGCCUUUCUUGAACUUGGUGGUUUUAUUGACCAUCAACACUUGACGUUCCUUUUUGAUUUCUACCUCUGCUGACUUCAGCAUUGAAAAUACUUCAGGAAUAGUUUUCACCAUCCCCUGCAUAUUGUAGUUCAUCACAAAGCUCUUGUAGCUCGGUGGGAGUGACUGAAGGAUUCUGUUAAUGACCGCCUUGUCUGGGAGGUUAAUGUCCAGCUAGAACAGGCGGUUGUGCAACCCAGACAUUUUGAGUAUGUGCUCACUGACAGAACUAUUUUCCUCCAUCUUACAACUAUAGAACUUGUCGGAGACUUCAUAUCUCUCGACCCGGGCGUGAGCUUGGAAAACCAUUUUCAGCUCCUCGAACAUCUCAUAUGCUUCGUGUUGCUCAAAACGCUUUUGGAGGCCCGGUUCUAAGCUGUAAAGCAUGCCGCACUGAACGAGGGAGUAAUCAUCAGCACGUGUCUGCCAAACGUUGCAGUGCUGGGAGAGUAGGUGGGUCACCUAACGGUGCUUCAAGGACAUAUGCUUUCUUGGCAGCUAUGAGGAUGAUCCUCAGGUUCCGGACCCAGUCCGUAUAGUUGCUACCAUCAUCUUUCAGCCUGGUUUUCUCUAGGAACGCAUUGAAGUUCAUGUUGACAUGAGCGUUGGCCAUUUGAUCUACAAGACAUUUUUUGCAAAGAUUUUAGACUAAGUUCAUGAUAAUUAAGUUCAUCUAAUCAAAUUAUUUAAUGAACUCCCACUCAGAUUAGACAUCCCUCUAGUCAUCUAAGUGAUACAUGAUCCGAGUCGACUAGGCCGUGUUCGAUCAUCACGUGAGACGGACCAGUCAUCAUCGGUGAACAUCACCAUGUUGAUCGUAUCUUCCAUACGACUCAUGUUCGACCUUUCGGUCUCUUGUGUUCCGAGGCCAUGUCUGUACAUGCUAGGCUCGUCAAGUUAACCUAAGUGUUUUGCAUGUGUAAAUCUGUCUUACACCCGUUGUAUGUGAACAUUAGAAUCUAUCACACCCGAUCAUCACGUGGUGCUUCAAAACAACGAACUGUCGCAACGGCGCAUAGUUAGGGGGAACACUUUCUUGAAAUUAUUAUGAGGGAUCAUCUUAUUUAAUACCGUCGUUCUAAGUAAACAAGAUGCAAAAACAUGAUAAACAUCACAUGCAAUCAAAUAGUAGUGACAUGAUAUGGCCAAUAUCAUAUAGCUCCUUUGAUCUCCAUCUUCGGGGCUCCAUGAUCAUCUUCGUCACCCGCAUGACACCAUGAUCUCCAUCAUCAUGAUCUCCAUCAUCGUGUCUCCAUGAAGUUGCUCGCCAACUAUUAAUUCUACUACUAUAGCUAACGGUUUAGGAAUAAAGUAAAGUAAUUACAUGGCGUUAAAUCAUUGACACGCAGGUCAUACAAUAAUUAAGACAACUUCUAUGGCUCCUGCCGGUUGUCAUACUCAUCGACAUGCAAGUCGUGAUUCCUAUUACAAGAAUAUCAUCUCAUACAUCACAAUAUAUCAUUCAUCAUUCAUCACAACUUUUGACCAUAUCACAUCACAAAGCAAUUGCUACAAAAACAAGUUAGACGUCCUUUAAUUAUUGUUGCAUCUUUUACGUGGCUGCAAUAGGGAUCUAGCAAGAACGUUUUCUUACCUAUGACAAAGCCACAGCGUGAUUUGUCAACUUCUAUUUACCCUUCAUAAGGACCCUUUUCAUCGAAUCCGCUCCAACUAAAGUGGGAGAGACAGACACCCGCUAGCCACCUUAUGCAACUAGUGCAUGUCAGUCGGUGGAACCUGUCUCACGUAAGUGUACGUGUAAGGUCGGUCCGGGCCGCUUCAUCCCACAAUACUGCUGAAGCAAAAUAAGACUAGUGGUGGCAAGAAAGUUGACAACAUCUACGCCCACAACAGAUUGUGUUCUACUCGUGCAAAGAGAACUAUGCAUAGACCUAGCUCAUGAUGCCACUGUUGGGGAAUGUUGCAGAAAAUAAAAAAAAUUCUACGAUUUCACCAAGAUCAAUCUAUGAGUUCAUCUAGCAACGAGAGAGAGGAGUGCAUCUACAUACCCUUGUAGAUCGAGCAGAAGCGUUCAAGAGAACGGGGUUGAGGGAGUCGUACUCGUCGUGAUCCAAAUCACCGGAGAUCCUAGCGCCGAAUGGACGGAACCUCCGCGUUCAAGACACGUACGGUCAGCAUGACGUCUCCUCCUUCUUGAUCCAGCAAGGGGGAAGGAGAGGUUGAUGAAGAUCCAGCAGCACGACGGCGUGGUGGUGGAUGCAGCAGGGAUCCAGGCAGGGUUUCGCCAAGCGUCUGCGGGAGGGAGAGGUGUAGCAAGGGGGAAGGGAGGCGCCAAGUGCAAGGGUGCGGCUGCCCUCCCUCCCCCCUCUUUAUAUAGGGUCCCUAGGGGGGCGCCGGCCCAAGGAGAUUGAAUCUCCAAGGGGGGCGGCCAAGGGGGUGCCUUGUCCCCCAAGGCAAGUGGAGGCGCCCCCUCCCCUAGGGUUCCCAACCCUAGGCGCAUGGGGGGCCCAAGGGGGGGGCGCACCAGCCCACCAGGGGCUGGUUCCCCUCCCACUUCAGCCCAUGGGGCCCUCCGGGAUAGGUGGCCCCACCCGGUGGACCCCCUGGGACCCUUCCAGUGGUCCCGGUACAAUACCGGUGACCCCCGAAACUUUCCCGAUGGCCGAAAGUCGACUUCCCAUAUAUAAUUCUUUACCUCUGGACCAUUCCAGAACUCCUCGUGACAUCCGGGAUCUCAUCCGGGACUCCGAACAACUUUCGGUUUGCUGCAUACUAAUAUCUCUACAACCCUAGUGUCAUCGAACCUUAAGUGUGUAGACCCUACGGGUUCGGGAGACACGUAGACAUGAACGAGACGGCUCUCCGGUCAAUAACCAACAGCAGGAUCUGGAUACCCGUGUUGGCUCCCACAUGCUCCUCGAUGAUCUCAUCGGAUGAACCACGAUGUCGAGGAUUCAAGCAACCCCGUACACAAUUCCCUUUGUCAAUCGGUAUGUUACUUGCCCGAGAUUCGAUCGUCGGUAUCCCAAUACCUCGUUCAAUCUCGUUACCGGCAAGUCACUUUACUCGUACCGCAAUGCAUGAUCCCGUGACCAGAGACUUGGUCACUUUGAGCUCGUUAUGAUGAUGCAUUACCGAGUGGGCCCAGAGAUACCUCUCCGUCAUACGGAGUGACAAAUCCCAGUCUCGAUCCGUGUCAAGCCAACAGACACUUUCGGAGAUACCCGUAGUAUACCUUUAUAGUCACCGAGUUACGUUGUGACGUUUGGUACACCCAAAGCACUCCUACAGUACCCGGGAGCUACACGAUCUCAUGGUCUAAGGAAAAGAUACUUGACAUUGGAAAAGCUCUAGCAAACGAACUACACGAUCUUGUGCUAUGCUUAGGAUCGGGUCUUGUCCAUCACAUCAUUCUCCUAAUGAUGUGAUCCCGUUAUAAAUGACAUCCAAUGUCCAUAGUCAGGAAACCAUGACUAUCUGUUGAACAACGAGCUAGUCAACUAGAGGCUCACUAGGGACAUGUUGUAGUCUAUGUAUUCACACGUGUAUUAUGAUUUCCGGAUAAUAAAAUUAUAGCAUGAAUAAAAGACAAUUAUCAUGAACAAGGAAAUAUAAUAAUAAUCCUUUUAUUAUUGCCUCUAGGGCAUAUUCCCAACACUCACCAACUGGUUCCAGCAAAAACCAUGGCUAUAUGUAGCAUCACAGUGUCCCGUUGUAGCUUUUCUCUUCGGUGAGCAUAGCUUUCUUCCGUCGUUUUUCUUCAAAGAUGGCACAUUUAUGAUUUUAUCUUAGGAGCUAUAAGGGGCAUUUACUUUUAUGUCAUCGUAUUAGAGAAAAGGGCUAAGAGACGAGUAAUAAAAGGGUAAUAUUUAGUAUAAAUAUUUUUUUCAUUUAGCUUUGAAUUGUCAUUUACGUCGCAAAUGUUAUAACCUCUCCAGGCCGUACCUUGUGAGCUUGCUUCAAAUUGUUCUCUUAUGAGAAUUUUCCUCUAUAUUAUUUAAGGUUUACUUAGUGAUAGUGUUUGGACGUAAGUACCAGGUUGAAGCCAAUGUGCCCAAGGUAUAGUUCCCCACUCAGGACUGCAGAGAUUACCCCUUGAUAUUUGAAACAUGGGAACUCGUACUUGAAAAAAGAAACAAGGGCAUCUCGAGGAGAAAUGAUGGUGAUAAAAAAUUCUCCCUCCGAUCCAUUAUAAGUGUCGUGGUUUAGCUCAAAUGUAUAAUACAUAUAUGACAACUAAUUAUUAGUGGAAUUACCUUUCACUACCAAAAACUAGGACCAACUAUAAAUCCUCUUUGCCAAAUAUGAUUUUAGCUAGAUGAUAAGGGCGAGGCGCCUUACCCUGCAGACUAUGCAACUUUCGAAUUUGGUCAACACAACAUAUUGUCAAUAGUGAAUUUCCAUGAAUUUUGACAGUGGCAUACAUCUUAAUUAUUAUUUUAGAAGAACCUUAGUUAGUUAUGUAAUUAUUUGACGUACUCAUGUGGUACAUGUGCGGACCAACAUGUUCAGAAGGUUUAACUAGAGAAUAUGUUGGAUUAAUUUAUGUUUAGUACGGCGGGCAUCCGGAUCUAUCGAGGACAAGGUCCACUGAUGGCUACUGAUGAUCUCAUAACUAAUUUUUUGGACAUGGUCUACUGACUUUUUGGUUACUAAUCGUUUUCUCCCCAGACCCGGACUACUGACGGCUACCAAUCUCAUCUUCUCCACUGUUAGUUUUCUAUUAAAGCUAUGGAGCCAAGCAUAUAUAAUAAUAUCAGUUUCAGGAGAUAACGUGUACGAUGUUAUUUUCAUGCACCUAGUCAACGCGCUUACACCCGAUGCUCCUUUAACACAUCCAUAGCCUAUAUAUGUCGACACACUAGUAUCAAUGAUCUCACAACACCAUCUAUCCCGCAGCCAUUUCUCUCAUUAGCUUCCUUGGAGGUUGUGAUCAUUAGUUGAUCAGAUAACAUAACCAAUUUUCUCCCUAGCGCUAACUUCCAUCCCCCAUCAUAUUUUCAGUUAGUACUACUAAGUCAGCAAGCUAGUAGAUCCAUAUUUAAUCCAUGGAGACCAAAGCUCUUAUUCUGAUCACCGUGGCCAUGACCAUGCUUGGGAUGGCACUUGGUGCCAGCCACACCGUAGGCGCACCGCACGGGUCAUGGGACCUUCAGACCAACUACUCUCAGUGGGUUUCGAGAAUCAGAUUCACCACCGGCGAUGAGCUCAAGUUCCAGUACUCCGCCGCCGUGCACAACGUGGUGGAGGUGAGCAAGACGGGGUUGACUCCUGCAACGGCUCCAGCCCCAUAGCGACUUUCCCGAGUGGUAAUGAUGUUGUUCCGCUUGCCACCGUCGGGACCCGGUAUUUCAUCUGCGGCGUCUCUAGGCAUUGCGACGCCGGCAUGAAGGUCGAGGUCAACGUCAAGUCGAAAGAAGUGCGGACUGUGCAGCGAUGCCGACGGAGAGGGAACCGGCGUCACUGCCAGUCCGAGACAGUAUUAAGCUCAGCUGCGGCGGCUGGCGUCGAUCAGUCCACGGUGGCCCGGCUUGGUCUGAUAGUUGUUGCGGCUGGUCUUACGUUGUUCUUUUAGAGUGAACAAUGAUUCUGGUCCUUUUUUCCUUGUUCAGUCGUAGGAGGGUCCCUUCGUGUAUUAAAUUCAAUUCUUUUGUUAAAUGUAAUUGCAUUCAUUAUAAUUGAAUUUAACAUAUUUUCUUGCAAAACCCCAAAUAAUAACCAAGCGUGUAACCACGAAAUAAAUUUAUCAAAGAUGUGUUGAGUGCAACGACAUUACAUCCAUCCAUUAUAUACAACAGAAAUUCAGGCAGAGCUAAAUUCGCCUAGAUAAGUAAAAUGAUAUUUAAGGCGAAACAUUGGGGUAAACACCCAGUGCAACAUUUUACAUUAUUGGGAAAUGUAUGUACACACUGGUUUGAGAUAAGCCUAAAAAGAAGAUAAAUGAAGAAAACAAACCCUAACAAACCGAGCCAAAAAAAAAGAAGAAACAGAAAUUGCAAGACUUCAGAUCGCCAAGCUUUGAAAGCAUUGCCAUAUUUUGUUUUCAUCUUGUGUCCAAAAAUCUGCUCGCCAAGAAACAGAAAUUACAAGAGUUCAGCUCGCCAAGCCCUUGUUCAUCCUGUUACCAUCAAGCUAAAAUCAUCAGCUCAGGACCCCUUACCCGAGAUCUGCCGGAUUUAACCCCGCCACGGGCUACGUGGCUUUGCUCUCCAGGGAGCGACGUGGUGGCGGGUGCUGACGGUGUACCUUGGCCCUGUGGGUGGUGAGGUGCACGGUGAUGGGUGAUCUUGGCGUAGCAGACGACUUCGAUGAAAGCUUUGCCUUGAUCUGGAUGUGGUGCUCCCAUUCUGUCGUGAUGGGGUCCCGUUAGAGUUUCCUCGAUGUGGUGGGAGUUGUGGUCGAGCGAAAGCUUUGCGCUCUGGCGCCGGCGGCGACAAGGCCUGCAGGUGUUGUAUCCCUCUUGGGGCAUCACCUUGUACUUCUUCUUGUCAUCCAACUCUUAGGGUGAAACCUUUCUUAGCUUCGGCUGAUGCGGCGGUGGCGACGCUUUGGGUCGUUACCCUCCUGGGGGCAUCGCCGGUGAGGGUGUCUUCUUCUUGCACGAUGGUGGGUUUCAUGUGCUUCUUCUCGGUUGCUAGCUCCAGGCGUUUAGGUGCACUUAGAGCGUUUUGAGUGUUCUUGGCUAGUAUUAUCGAUUUUCUUUAGAUCAGCUUAUGAGGUUCUGCCAUGUAUCAGGUCAUUUUGUAUCGGUUUGGUUGUUUAUGCCUUUAUCUAUGAAGGGGGCGAAAGCUUGUUUCGAGAGAGAGAAUGAUUCGUGAAAUCGGUUGUCCUUGAUGGCCUAUUACAAUGGCGCGCAUGGUGACCGAUCUUGACCAAAUUCAGUCGAGCAACGCCUAUUACUGCCCUUCUUGUAUUUGUUAUCCUGCCUUCUAUAUAAUAAAGGUAUGGUACGUAAUUUAUGUACCAUUGUGAAAAGAUGAUUACGUUUUAUUUUCCAAUUUUUACAGUGGCGUACAUCUUAAUAAAUCAAUUAUCGCGUGGUAGGAAUAUGCACGCGCACACCAAUACGUUCAUAAUUUUAAUCAAAGAUUAUGUUCAAAUAAUUAAUGUUUAGCACGCUCGAGCACCAGAUCGAUAGCAGCAGCCGCCAGACCCAGUCUACUCUCGGUUAUGGAUCCCAUCGCCACCAUUAUUAGAUUAUCAUCAUGGUAUAAUAGGCGAGCCAAGCAUGCACGCACCAACAUGUAUUUAAAUUCAUCUGGGAGUACUCGUAUUCAUGCAUCUUAGACCUACUAUACCUCACCUGGUCAACACGUUCUCACCUGAUGAACCUAGCUUGACCAAUCCAUCGCCUAUAUAUUUUGACAUAGUGGCAUCAACGAUCUUACAACACCUUCCAUCGUGUAACCAUUCUUUCUGCAACUUCCUUAGAUCCUAUCAAAUUUCUCUCUAGUGCUAACUUCUAGCUCCGAUCUUUUCAGUUAGUUAGUUGGUCGACAUUUAAUCCAUGGGGGCUAAAGUUCUUAUCUUGAUCACCCUGGCCGUGGCCAUGCUCGGGAUGGUGCUCGGCGCCAGUCACACGGUGGGCGCGUCGGCCGGAUCAUGGGACCUGCAGACCAACUACACCCCGUGGGCUUCGAGAACUAGGUUUACCAUCGGCGAUGAGCUCCAGUUUCAGUACUCCACCACCGUGCACAAUGUGGUGGAGGUGAGGAAGGCUGGGUAUGACGCCUGCAACAGCUCUAGCCCCAUCGCGAUGUUCCUGACCGGCAACGACAUCGUCCCACUUGCGGCCAUUGGGACGCGGUACUUCAUUUGCGGCGUUCCAGGGCAUUGCAUCGCCGGUAUGAAGGUUCAAGUCAACGUGAAGUCGAAGGCAGUACGGACAAUACAACGGUGCCGAGGGACGGGAAAGCGGUUCCGGUGCCGGUACGAGACUGUAUUAAGCUCGGCCACGGUGGCUGGCAUUGAUCAGUCUGCGAGGGCGCGGCUAGGUCUGGCCAUUGUCGUGACUAGUCUCAUGUUGUUCAUUUAGUGACCGACGAUUGAGGUGCCUUUUCUUCUUGACGCACCCUGCAUGCUUAUUUGUGUAUUGUAAAUCGCUUCUUUUGUUAAAUGUAAUUUUUCCAUUAUAAUUCGAUUUAACAUAUCUUCUUGCAAAGCCGAACUAUAAUCAAGUGUUUAUAAUCAUGGAAUAAAUAAAGCGCAGUGCUAGGUGCCAUUUGGCCGGCCCAAAUUCUGGUCGGCCGCGCACUAGUCAUCAGAUGCAAGUUGCGUAGGCCGGCUGAUUUGGCUGUUCAGCUCCUUCCUCCUCACACCUUGCGCAGCUUGCCAAUGCCCCCCCCCCCCUCGACAACAUCGCACGUCCUGUCGCGUAGGUCCCUAGCACCGCGCCACGCUGGAGAGAUGCAGUAUCAAUGGUUUCUGCCGCUCUGAUGCUCGCAAUAGACACUCGCACUAGUUCCAGCAAAAACUCUCUCUGGUUCCAGCAUUUGCAUGCGCUUGUUGUAACAUCUCGCCGGCAAGCCGGUGCUCACCGUCGCUGAUUCCAGCAUCUACAAUCUCUAGUUCCAGCAAAUGCGCGAGCCAAUUCCAGCAAAAAGACUUCGCCUGUGGCCCGUUGGUUCCAGCAAAAAUGCGCAGCUCGCAGUCACCACCGUCGUAGCUACUCUGAUGACUGCUUGCAGCUUUUUUGCCGACGGGUCCCAGCACCUCGCCACGUUGCUAGAAGCAUGCCGCCAUUCGGCGUCAGUCCGCGCCGUUGUAGCUCGCGGGAACCAUGGCCGCACGGUCGCUGAGGUUUCGCAGCUUUUCUCCUGCCUCAUUCGAGCAUCCACACAUGUCAACUCCAGCAAAAAAGAUGACCGGAUGCAGCAUCUCACUACUAGGGAAAAGCCUAGCAGUAGCGCUGGUUUUUGGCCUAUCAGUAGCGUGGGUAGGCACGCUACUGAUAAGGCGCUACAGCUAAAGCUUAGCAGUAGCGCCGACUGGCACGCGCUACUGAUAUAUCUUCUUAGUAGUAGCGCUUUCCAUGCCAAUCGCUACUGCUAACUACUAUUAGCGCUUUCGAGAAUAACCGCUACUACUAUUAUUCCGUAUUCCAUUUCUUUUGAAUUUUAGGUCGUAUUCAUACACCUGUAUACAAUUUUUCAUACAGUAGCAAUUUAGAGAUUGUUUUAACAUCAUAAUGAGUUAUUAAAUCAUUAGGUGAAAUAACUUUGGAUUAGUUUCAAGUGCAUGGAUCCAAAGUAACCAAUGGUCACUUUGGAUCCAUCCAUUUGAAGCUAAUCCGCGGUUCUUUCACCCAGUGACAUAAUAACUUAUCAUCAUCAUCAUAAUAUCAUUAACAACUUAUCAUCAUAAUAUAUCAUUGUCAUAUAACUUCUCAUAAUCAUCAUUUUCGUCCAUGAUGAGACAUCAUAUAACAACUUCGUCACUAGUUAUAAUGACAAACUCCUCCUCAUCAUCAUCAUAGUACUCAUAAUCACUACUCCUACUCAGCAUCACCAUCAAGUCUAAGACAUUGUAGUCAUAUAUAAUCAACACUAACUAUUUUUUCUUAAUAGUUAGGACCUACUCCUCUCUCCUAGCUAAAAUACCAUAAAAUAGAUAAACCGGUCCUUCACCAUAAUGGAGAAUGGACAUAAACCUAUCUCGAACUUGUGGCUUGCGCACAUUCAUUUUGUCUCCAAUUAUUUGCGUGUGUGCAUUCAUCACUUUGCUCCAUUCUUUGAUUUUGAGCCUUCGAUCAUUUGAAGAAAACGAGUAUGCAAUAUGGUAAGCCUCCGAAGGAGUUGGUCGUAAGCUAACCAUAUGCAUAUCACCUUCGGUACAUAGCAUGUCAGGCACAACCUGCUUCGGGAGCCUCUUUUCAAAACCGAAAUAGUAACAUAUAUAGUUAGCAAUGUAGUUUACUUAAGAAUAAUGUAUGCAAUGAAGUUACCAUCAUUAACAAAAUCUUACCAAGUUUUUGGCAAUGAAGUUACCAUCAAGCAAUGUAUGGACUAGUGGCACGUAUCUAGUAUAAUUUGGGCUGAUAGAGUGACUGGUUUUGAAGGCCUCAACAUCUUCUAUGAAUGAGACAAGAUAACCUUUCUCCUCACAAUUAAGCUUGGAAUCAUAGCUGUAGUGUGUGUUGUGUACUACCUUUCGAGUAUUUCUUGAAGAUAAGAAAUAAGCUGACAAUUAUAAAUAAAUAAGUUUAGUACGGACGAACACCAAGUAUUUUUAAAUUAACAACAUAAAUGACUGAACUUAACAAAUUAGUUUGACAAACUCACAUUUAGGUAAAACUAGAGGCAUAUGCACAUCCACCCAGAUGUCGACAUUAUCAUCAUCAUCAUCAUAAUCUUCAGGACGAAUAUGAAAUCUUAUUCGCAUUCCCUCCUCAAAUCCAUAUGCCUUGCAGAGAGCUUCACAAUUAGAGCAACCAAAAUGGGAGCGAUCGACCGCAUUGUAGAACUUAACCAGAAACUCAUAACCAUGUUUAGUUCUUAAGUGAGCCCUCAUCGUCUCCACAUUCUCAAAGUCAUCUAAACCAAAACCAAGCUUCUCCAAUACAUAUGGUCUAGCAUGGCACGGGAUGUACUAGUCUGAGUUGAAAAAAAAUUCAUAAAUUACAUGUUGAACAAAAGAAGCACAAGUGAUGAUAUUUAUUACGAUGAAAUGCUUGUCGUUGCGUACCGUACAAACACCGAAGGUCUCUUCCAGCUUCACGGUGAAAAACCUAUCAUUUUGCAGGUGAGGAAACCUGUCGCACACAACACGGUCAUCGUAGCAGUACCCACACUCCGGGAUCCCAUCGUCAUCAGACAUCUCCUGUGUUCAAAAUUCAAAGAUUAUAACUCGACAGCAAAACCCAAAAAAUCCGGCAUGACCUUUGCUAAAAAGAUAUAUCGAGCACCUGAAAUUUGCCGGAACGGAAAUUAAUCAACACUUCGGCAAAACAUAGGCCAUUUAUCGAUGGUCAUUGCAUUUCAGUGGUUCAAAAUAUGAAAAUAUCUUAUAUAUAAUCCUAACAGUAAAUAAACUAGUUUUAUUAACUACUUACUAAAUAAACUAGUUUUAUUAACUACUUACUAAAUAAAGUAGUUUUAUUAAGCACUUACUACAAAUAAACUAGUUCUAUUAAGCACUUACCAAAUAAACUAGUUCUAUUAAGUACCUAAUAUAAAUAAACUAGUUAUAUUAAUCACUUACUAAAUAAACUAUUUUCUAUUAAACACUUGCUAAAAAUUCUACUACCCUAGUUCUACCCUAAAUUUUCUUACUUCUAUUUUAUUCAAAACACCUACGAUUUGCAAGAACAGAGACAAGGGAGGGAGGGAGGAGAGAGGAGGGAGAGGGGGUGGCCCAAGGAGGAGNNNNNNNNNNNNNNNNNNNNNNNNNNNNNNNNNNNNNNNNNNNNNNNNNNNNNNNNNNNNNNNNNNNNNNNNNNNNNNNNNNNNNNNNNNNNNNNNNNNNNNNNNNNNNNNNNNNNNNNNNNNNNNNNNNNNNNNNNNNNNNNNNNNNNNNNNNNNNNNNNNNNNNNNNNNNNNNNNNNNNNNNNNNNNNNNNNNNNNNNNNNNNNNNNNNNNNNNNNNNNNNNNNNNNNNNNNNNNNNNNNNNNNNNNNNNNNNNNNNNNGAAGAGGAGGAGGGAGGGGCGGUGGGAGGAGGGCUGCCGGCGGAGGAGGAAGGAGGGGGCGGCCGUAGGCGGAGGGAGGAGGGCGCGGUGGGAGGAGGAGGGAGGAGGGCGCGGUGGGAGGAGGAGGAGGGAUGGAAGGAGGGAGUACCUCGGUGGCGGACGGACGACGGUGAUUAUCGGCGCGGGCGAGAGUGAUGGGGGAGAGUGAGUGAGAGAGAGGGGUCGAUGAGGGAGUCCUGGAUUAGGGGGUCCUUGGACAGCCGGACUAUAUGCUUAUGGCAGAAUGUUGGACUAUGAAGAUACAAGAUUGAAGACUUCGUCCCGUGUUCGGGUGGGACUCUUCUUUGCGUGGAAGGCAAGCUUGGCGAUUCGGAUAUGUAGAUUCCCUUCUCUGUAACCGACUCUGUGUAACCCUAGCCCCCUCCAGUGUCUAUAUAAACCGGAGGGUUUAGUCCGUAGGACGACAACAAUCAUAAUCAUAGGCUAGCUUCUAGGGUUUAGCCUCUACGAUCUCGUGGUAGAUCAACUCUUGUAAUACUCAUAUCAUCAAGAUCAAUCAAGCAGGAAGUAGGGUAUUACCUCCAUAGAGAGGGCCCGAACCUGGGUAAACAUCGUGUCCCCCGCCUCCUGUUACCAUUAGCCUUAGACGCACAGUUCGGGACCCCCUACCCGAGAUCCGCCGGUUUUGACAGCGACAUUGGUGCUUUCAUUGAGAGUUCCACUCUGUCGUCACCAUAAGGCUUGAUGGCCCCUUCGAUCAUCUACAAUGAUGCUAUCUAGGGUGAGGUUUUCCUCCCCAGACAGAUCUUCGUAUUCUGCGGCUUCGCACUGCGGGUCAACUUGCUUGGCCAUCUGGAGCAGAUCGAUAGCUACGCCCCUGGCUAUCAGGUCGGGUUUGGAUGCCUGAAUUACACUGCCGACAUCCACGAAGACUUGAUCUUCGACGGAUUCGAGCCCAUGACAGGUGCACCCUAUAGUCGCGAUGAGCAUGACUUAGAUCUGCCAUCGGACGAUGUUCAGGAGAUCACACCUGCAGCUUCCCCAGCUUUACAUCUAGAGCAGAUCGUGCCAUCCGAGGACGGGUUGAUGGACUAGCCACGGAGGCUGCACACUCAGCGGAGAUAGAGCCGAACACAGAUUUCACUUCCAAGGAGGUCUGUGUCAUCGGAUCCUCGGACUCAUCUCCGGCCAUAUGCUCCGAACCGCGUACAUCCGUGCCCAUCGGAUCUAAUUGGGUACCGAUCAUGGAGUUUAGCUCCACGGAUAUCUUUCAGCACUCACCCUUGGGCGACGUGCUAAACUCAUUAAAAUCUCUCUCCCUGUCAGGAGACUCUCGACCGAACUAUGUCCGGCUGGAGUGGGAAGCGGACGACGAAGAAAUUCGUACCCACCCACCACCCACUUAAUAGCCACUGUCAAUGACUCAACCGACAUGCUUGAUUUUGACUCUGAAGACAUCGACUGUAUGGACGACGAUACCGGGGUAGAACAGGAACCACCGCCCAUAGGGCGCUGGACAGCCACCUCAUCAUAUGACAUAUACAUGGUGGACACACCCAAAGAAAACAAUGGCGAGGAGCAGAAGGAUGCAACGACUCCUGAGAAGCAGCCAAAGCGCCGACAUCAGUGGCGCCGCUCUAAACCCCGCCAUAGCAAAAACAGCGAUACUGGUACAAGAAAGAAUAACACCCCAGACAAUGCCGAAGACAAUGACGACCCCGCAGACCCAGCGAUGAAGCAGGACGGGCCAGGAGACGGCAAACACAGUCCAGGGCCGCUGUCCGAUCACAGCGAUGCCGAAGACAAAACUUAUAAACCUGUCUCUGGAGAGGAGAACAGUCCGGACGAUGAUGCACACAUCAUCUCGGAAAAGCACUUGGAACAAGAGCACCUCUACAAAAGGCUUAUUUCCACCGCGAGGAGCUUGAAGAAGCAGAAGCAAUGGCUUAAAGCCGCGCAGGAUAUGCUCAACCACAGAUGGAACAAAGUGCUCGACACUGAAGAAAUAUACGGCGGUGAUCACCACACAAAGAGCUACCCAAAACGCAAGCUGCUACCCGAAUUCGACGACGAGGCUAUCGCGCCCAUUCCGCCAAAAAACAACACGACCGAUCUGCCGGACCGACCACCCCGUGGCCGAGACAGAGCGGCUAAUGACGCUGCACACAAGUCAGCACACGGUCUACGUGAGCACCUGGACAAAAGAGCUGGUAUGACCAAGUCCAUCUAUGGAUCUAGGAAACGUGUUCCUACGCAGGAUCACGACCACCAAACCGACUAUAAUGAUCGACUACCAGCUCGGAAUCAACACCGAACACUACAGCCAUCGGAACCACGCCACAACACAUCCAAGUACAGGGGCACCGCACACCCCCUGUGCUUCAUUGAUGAGGUGCUGGAUCAUGAAUUUCCAGAGGGGUUUAAACCCGUAAACAUCGAGGCAUACGACGGAACGACAGACCCUGCAGUCUAGAUUGAGGACUUUAUUCUUCACAUCCAUAUGGCUCACGGAGACGAUCUCCAUGCCAUCAAAUACCUGCCCCUCAAGUUGAAAGGACCAGGUCGACACUGGUUGAAAAGCCUUCCCGAAAAUUCCAUUGGAAGCUGGGAGGAACUCGAGGACGCUUUCAGGGCUAAUUUUCAAGGGACAUACGUUCGACCCCCGGAUGCAAACGAUUUAAGUCGCAUAAUUGAACAACCCGGAGAGUCAGCCCGUAAGCUUUGGAACAGAUUUCUCACCAACGAUGCCGAAGCCCUAGAAGCUUUCAAACACAGUGUCCGGGACGAAUGGCUUGCCAGACACCUCGGCCAGGAAAAGCCAAGGACAAUGGCAGCCCUAACAACUCUUAUGACCCACUUUUGCGCAGGUGAGGACAGUUGGUUGGCCCGAAGCGGCACCAACGAUCCAGGCACAUCCGAAAUAAGGGAUGGCAAUGGAAAAUCGUGACGCAAUAAAAACAAGCGUCAAAAUAAUGAAGGCAGCCCAGACAACACAAUGGUAAACACUGGAUUCAGGAGCUCCAGACCCGGUCAACGGAAAAAGCCAUUUAAAGGCAGUAGAGAUGGACCGUAUAGUCUAAAUAAAAUUUUAGACAGGUCCUAUCAAAUUCAUGGCACCCCCGAGAAACCUGCGAAUCACACCGACAGAGAAUUCUGGGUCUUCAAGAAGGCCGGCAAGCUAAAUGCUGAACACAAGGGGAGGGAGCCGCCAAGUGAAGACGAGGACGAACCUCGCCAGCCGAACACUGGGGAAUAGAAAAAAAUCCACCGGAGGUCAAAAUAGUGAACAUGAUUUACGCCACCCACAUACCAAAGGGGAAGCGCAAACGGGCACUCUGAGACGUAUACGCUGUAGAACUAGUCGCCCCCAAAUUCAAUCCAUGGUCGACCUGCCCAAUCACUUUCGAUCGCAGGGAUCAUCCGACUAGUAUCCGGCAUGGAGGUUCGGCCGACUUGGUGAUCGACCCAAUAAUUGACGGAUACCAUCUCACCCGAGUCCUCAUGGACGGCGGCAGUAGUCUUAAUCUGAUAUAUCAGGACACUGUCCACAAGAUGGGGAUAGACCCGUCAAGAAUCAACCAAAGCAGUACUACCUUUAAAGGAGUAAUACCAGGCGUAGAGGCCCGCUGCACAGGCUCUUUGACGUUAGUGGUUGUAUUCGAUUCUCCCGACAACUUUCGAAGCGAAGAACUAAUCUUCGACAUCGCUCCGUUCCAAAGCGGUGGUCAUGCACUACUCGGAAGAAUGGUCUUCACCCGUUUCAAUGCAGUACUGCAUUACGAUUAUCUCAAACUUAAGAUGUCUGGUCCACAUGGCGUCAUCACAAUCAGCGGAAACACAGACCGUUCUCUUCGUGCGAAAGAUUACAUGGAGGCUCUAGCAGCCGAACCACUGAACGGCCCUCCAACCCAAGUAACUCAUCGGUCUUCGAGACCACAGACACGGCUAGACGCGUACGGCGCACACCUAGUUAUAGCAGCCCAGAUAAACCUGAGCUUGAUUAAUGGCUAUGCCCCCAUAUGUGGUGCUAGGGGCUACCCGCAUGUAAAAGGCCCAUAGUUCGGCUCGACCCUAUUUACACUCAAGAGAUCAAAUUUUCACGGUUCAUUAAGAUUAACCGACUUUACGCACGGUCACACCAGAUUCUUUCACCUAGGUUUUUCUUUCUUUUUACAGAUGACCAUCGUGCUAUGCCCUUCCAGGAUACAGCACAACGGAGACAAAGGCAUAGACGUGCAGCAGGGCCCCGUUCAAAGGUUUCUUUUUAGAUUAAGACCCUGUGUAAACCUUUUUGAUUGUCUCUUGUUGGCCCACACCCUCUUGGUACUUAAAAUGACCAAGAGGGAUACUGGCGUCAUUGGCAAGCUUAUGAUUCACCAAUCUAAAAUAGACAUUACAGGGGCCGCAACCAAUGUGUUUUUGGGAUCUAUGCUCUCACCACAGCCGCUCUUUCAUCACGCCGGAUUAAUGCACGUACCUAGAAAUUCAGGGCUCGUUAUCGAGGGCGGUACUCAGCCCAGUAUAUGUUGUCAAGUCCGAAUACCUUCGGGAGUAUUCGGCGUCGCGAGUUUGGCCUUAUAUGCAUCAGCUCCGAAUCAUGUCUUUGGUCAAUAGUUGGGUUUGCCCGUCUCUUGUGUUUUGCUACCUUACGUUCCACUCUAUCGGCUAAGGUGGCACCGGGAGAACUACUGCGAUUGUGCCCUGGUUCAUCCGGAUGAGCACCUCAGUAGAGAAAGCCAAAAACUGACUGUCAUGAUAAAGCGAGAGACUGGUCAACCACUCGAUGACUCAGCGGAAUCUUAGCGAUUCAUCUGCAUUAACGAAGGACCGGUUUCCUGGUCACGUAUGUACACGCACCGUAUUCGGAUGAAAGCGAACAUACCAGGGGCUAUAUAGUAGCCCCACUGUCAAACUCCUAUGGCUAAGUGAAAGUGUUAAAGCUAUAUAGUCUGAUUGCCUUGUUCGCCGCGCUACCACCUCCUUAACGUACCAAGACAUUGGAUCAAGUGUGAUUACGCGCUUUGCCGAACACCCCCGCAUUAUAUGCGAGGGGGCUGAAGCCGACGACUGCAAACUUUCAGGUUAUAUACAUAUAUACAUAAGCGGCCGCACAGGAGGCACUACAAUACUUUACGGGCAAAAGUAUACAUAUAGCCUUUAUUAUCAAAAGCAUUGUUUUUACAAACAAGAUACAUGUCAUUUGAACAUGGUAUUCUUUGAGCACUGAGCCUCUAUUAAACGGGCACCUUCUAAGACUUCUUCAAAAUAGUGCUCGGGCAAGUCCUGGCCCCCGGGCGGAACCCUGGUUGCAAUAUCGGUGGCCUCCAUCUUCGCCCAAUAUGUCUUAACACGGGCAAGGGCCAUCCGCGCACCCUCUAUGCACGCCGACCUCUUGACAGCGUUGAUAUGCGGCACAGCACAAAUAAAUCGUUGCACCAAACCAAAAUAACUAUCUAGACUUGGUUCCGUCGGCCACAGGUGAUCCACGACGGCCUUCAUGGCAAGCCCGGAUAACCUAUGGAGCUCGGCCCAUUCGGCCAUUUGCUCAUUCAACAGCAGCGGACGCCUUGGAGUACUGAACUGCGACCAGAACAAUCUUUCCAUUUCAUGAUCUUCUCGAUCUUCGAAAUACUGUGUCGCAUCAGCAGCACUCUUUGCCAAAUCCAAGUAUGCGUCUGAAGAACUCCACAAUUGAUCAAGAGGGGCAUACUUCGGAUCGCCGAAUUUCGUUCACAACAAAAAGGGCUUCCCAGCCGCGAUCUCACCGGCUUGCCGAAGCUCCUCCCGAGCCGCUCUGAUCUCAGAGUGAGUUUCCUUUGCUGCUUAGAAGGCCUUCUUUAGGUCAGCCGUUUUCUUUUGGUUUUCCCUUUCAAGAAGUUCAUAUCGGCUGGCGACAUUUUGUAGCUCAAGAGCCAUGUCGGCUAUUUUAUCCUCGCUUUGGUGAUGAGCAGCCUGUUCGGCUUUUAAUUCAUCAGCUGCCUUCACGGCGGCCGCAUUGCUUCUCCUGGCUUGCUCCUUGGCCCGGGCAAGAUCUGCCCGAAGGGUCUCCACAGCGGCAGCACCAUCUGUACUCAAAGCAUAUUAUAAAUCCUAGCAUCAUGCUCUUAUUAAUAUUUGCUGACCACCCAAAUAUACAUACCCUGUGCCUUGUCAAGCCGCUUGUUCACAAGUGUGAUGUCUGCAUCCGCCACGUCAAGUUGCCGCCUCACUUCAGCAAAUUCAGCAGUUCAGUCAGCCGCCGGAGAUGCAGACGCCUGCACACAAAAUUGGCACCAUCAUUACCUAAGACUAUGAUCCUCUGCUCGCCUCGUCCGGAUGGCAACCAGAGUCUCAGGGGCUACUAUCCAUACAAAGUGCACUGAUACGUCUCCGUCGUAUCUAUAAUUUUUGAUUGUUCCAUGCCAAUAUUAUUCAACUUUCAUAUACUUUUGGUAACUUUUUAUAUUAUUUUUGUGACUAACAUAUUGAUCCAGUGCCUAGUGCCAGUUCCUGUCUGUUGCAUGUUUUAUGUUUCGUAGAAACCCCAUACCAACGGAGUCUAAACAGGAUAAAAACGGACAGAUAAUUAUUUUGGAAUAUUUGUGUUUUUUGGGAAGUAAAAUCAACGCAAGACGGUGCCCGAGGUGGUCAGGAGAUAGGGGCCCACGCCCACUCUAGGUGGGCACGCCCCCACCCUCCUAGGCCCCUCGUAAGGCGGUUGAUGCCCUUCUUUGGCUGCAAGAAAGCUAAUUUUUGGAAAAAUAUCUGGGCGAAGGUUUCAAUCCAAUCGGAGUUACGGAUCUCUGGAUAUAAAAGAAACGGUGCCAGGGCAGAAUUCCAGAACGCGGAAACAGAGAGAGACAGAGAGAUAGAUCCAAUCUUGGAGGGGCUCUCGCCCCUCCCACACCAUGGGAGCCAAGGACCAGAGGGUAAACCCUUCUCCCAUCUAGGGAGGAGGUCAAGGAAGAAGAAGAAGAAGGGGAGCUCUCUCCCCCUUGCUUCCGGUGGCGCCGGAGCGCUGCCGGGGCCAUCAUCAUCACCGCGAUCUUCACCAAUACCUCCGCCAUCUUCACCAACAUCUCCAUCACCUUCCCCCAUCUAUAUUCAGCGGUCCACUCUCCCGCAACCCGCUAUACCCUCUACUUGAACAUGGUGCUUUAUGCUUCAUAUUAUUAUCCAAUGAUGUGUUGCCAUCCUAUGAUGUCUGAGUAGAUUUUCGUUGUCCCACCGGUGAUUGAUGAAUUGCUAUGAUUGGUUUGAAUUGCAUGUUUUAUUAUUGGUGCUGUCCUAUUGUGCUCUCAGUGUCGCGCAAGCGUGAGGGAUCCCCGCUGUAGGGUUUGCAAUAUGUUCAUGGUUUGCUUAUGGUGGGUGGCGUGAGUGACAGAAGCACAGACCCGAGUAAGUAGGUUGUUUGUGUAUGGGAUAAAGGGGACUUGAUACUUUAAUGCUAUGGUUGGGUUUUACCUUAAUGAUCUUUAGUAGUUGCAGAUGCUUGCUAGAGUUCCAAUCAUAAGUGCAUAUGAUCCAAGAAGAGAAAGUAUGUUAGCUUAUGCCUCUCCCUCAAAUAGAAUUGCAAUAGUGAUUACCGGUCUAGUAACGUAGUCAAUUUCUUAGGGACAAUUUCACAACUCCUACCGCCACUUUUCCACACUCGCUAUAUUUACUUUAUUGCUUCUUUAUCUAAAUAGCCCCUAGUUUAUAUUGGAUCGUUUGGGCUCCUUCAAACCUACUACCAUGUGUUUCAAUCUCCCCCGGAUCAUCAGACAAAUCCCUGGUCUGGAAAUGCUGCCUCUGCCUUUCUCUAAGGAGGAGAUUGACGCAGUGGUGAAAGAAAUGCCGGACGAUCGUGCCCCGGGCCCCGAUGGAUUUCAUGGUUGCUUUCUCAAGAGCUGCUGGCCAAUCAUUAAAGAGGAUUUCUAUAAAAUGUGUCAAGAUUUCCAUGAAGGCAAUCUUGAUAUUACCAGCAUCAGUGAGGGGUUCAUUACCUUGAUUCCAAAGACAUCUUCUCCUGAAACUGCCAAUAACCCUGCUGAAUUGCUGUCUGAAAAUCAUCACCAAAAUCUUGGCCAACCGUCUGCAGAAAGUUAUCUUGAUGAUCAUCCAUAGAAACCAAUAUGGUUUCAUUAAGGGGAGGACCAUCCAGUACUGCCUUGCUUGGUCGUUUGAAUAUAUCCACCAGUGCCAGAGGUCGUCGCGUGAGAUAAUGUUGCUCAAAUUGGACUUUGCCAAAGCCUUUGACACCAUCGAACAUGCCCCGAUGAUGGAGAUCAUGAAACAUAUGGGUUUUGAUGACAAGUGGCUGGGUUGGAUGGAAUCUAUCUUUGGUUCCGGUGUCUUCUGUCUUACUCAAUAGGGUUCCUGGCAGAAAAUUCCAAUGCAAAUGCGGGGUGCACCAGGGCGACCCCCUCUCUCCUCUGAUUUUUGUCUUUGCUGCUGAUCUUCUCCAAGCCGCGGUCAAUGAUGCUUUUGCUCGUGGAUUGAUUGAUCUACCCAUCCCAUGCAAUCACGACGGGGAUUAUCCGGUGGUGCAGUACGCAGACGAUACCAUUCUGGUGAUGCAUGCCUGCCCUGACCAAGCUGCCCGUAUGAAAACAAUCCUAGAGGAUUAUGCAGCAUCUAUUGGUCUGAAAACUAAUUUUUAUAAUUCCACGCUUAUACCCAUUAACCUUGAUCAACAACGCGCACUUGACCUGGCUCACAUUUUCAGUUGCUCGAUUGGAUCUAUGCCGUUCACAUACCUUGGCCUCCCCAUGGGCACGGCCAAGCCGACGCUACUUGAUCUCAUGCCGUUGGUGCAUGGGGUGGAAAGGAAAAUGUCAACGGCUCUUGCGUUAAUGUCAUCGGGGGCCAAGCUCACCUUGGUCAAUUCUGCAGUCACCUCCAUGUUGAUCUAUGCCAUGUGCAUGAUCAAGCCGCACCCAAAAGUGAUUGAGCACCUUGACAAGCUACGCAUGUACUGUCUUUGGGCAAAGAACUCUGAUUAUGGCGUCAAAAAUAAUUCCCUCGCUGCUUGGGAAUUGGUCUGUAGACCCAAAAGUAAAGGGGGGCUUGGAGUCAUCGAUAUCAAAACCCAGAACAUUGACCUCCUUCUGAAACAUCUGUUUAAGUUUUACAACCACCACAAUGUCCCCUCGGUGACCUUGAUCUGGGACACAUAUUACUCUGACAGAAUUCCACAUGCAGUGGAACCGUUGGGUUCUUUCUGGUGGCGUGAUGUUAUGCAGCUCAGCGAUGUGUUCCGUGGGGUUACCAAGGUCGCUCCGGGCAAUGGCUCCUCAUCUCUGUUUUGGAAAGAUGCAUGGUUCGAUGAUCGUUACGCCCCUCUGAUGGAGAUCUACCCCAGAGCUUUCUCUUUCUGCCUGAAUGAAGACGAGCCAGUGGUUAAUAUUCUCACUGCCACUGACCCAAGCUUGAUCUUCCACCUGCCUCUCUCCACGCAAGCUAGAGAGGAAAUCGGAGAAAUCCAACAUGGGUCCAUGCAUGUCCUGCUUGACAGAGAUUGCAACGACACAUGGGUUUGCAACCUUGGUGGAUAUUUCUCCUCCAAGAGAUACUAUGAUCACUGUUUCAGGGAUACGGUUGCUGAUGUGGCCUUUGGAUGGCUGUGGAAGGCCAAGAGCCCAAUCAAGUUUAAAAUGUUUGGUUGGCUGCUGGUGGUCGAUCGAUUGAACACUAGGAAUAUGCUGAAACGCCGACAUUUUGCUGUGAUCAGGAACAACUACGCCUGCAUGCUUUGUCAAAACCCUCAUGAGGAAACGGUCAAGCAUCUCUUCUUCAACUGCCCGUUUAGCCGCCAUUGUUGAGACAAGGUUGGCAUGCUCUGGCCAAGCUCUGGGAAUAGGCUAACCCUGAUACAUGCUGACAAAGAUGGUUGGCGCAUGCCGUUGUUUAUGGAUAUUUCUUGCUGGCCGCUUGGAGCCUGUGGAAGGAGAGAAACAAUGUUCACUUCAGGGGGAUUCCACACUCUUUUGGUUCAUGGUUGGCUAGAUUCAAAGAGCUUUUGGCUUUGUUAGUUCAUAAUUGCAAGGAGGGCCUGUGUCCCUCCCUAGAAACAAACAUACAUAGCUUGUAGCCGCUGCUUAGGUGGAACUCUAGAACACAUGGCCGGGGGGCCUUACAACCCACUUGUAACAAUGUUGUAACUAGUUCCUUGUGAGUAAUACAAAGUCAGUGGGAGCCUCUCCCACUGUCGUGCAGUUUCAAAAAACACACCUACAAAGUACUUCUAGUUUCAUACUUGUUCUAGGUAAAGCGAACGUCAAGCGUGCAUAGAGUUGUAUCGGUGGUCGAUAGAACUUGAGGGAAUAUUUGUUCUACCUUUAGCUCCUCGUUGGGUUCGACACUCUUACUUAUCGAAAGAGGCUACAAUUGAUCCCGUAUACUUGCGGGUUAUCAAGACCUUUUUCUGGCGCCGUUGCCGGGGAGUCAUAGCGUGGGGUGAAUAUUCUCGUGUGUGCUUGUUUGCUUUAUCACUAAGUAAUUUUUAUUUUCUGUUCUUAGUUGUUUUCUAUCUUUAGUUAUGGGUAGGAAACGCAAAAUACCAAAAAAAUUAGUUGUUCCUACUACACCAAUGGUUGAAGAACCACUCAAAAUCUAUCACACUCCUGAAGCUUUUUACUUGGAUCAUCUUCGAUCCGUUUGUGCUCGUGCCGAAACCCCAACUAGCUUAGUUGAGGGCAAAUCUUUAGAUGAGCAUGCUUGUUAUGUGCGACACCAUAUAUCUAAAAAAGGAAAACUUUUACUGGAUCAAAUUCAUAGUUUGAAAUGCUAUGCUUGGACUUUAUGUGAAAUAUAUGAUGUUACUUGUUGUUCUGAAAACCCUAAGAAACACCUUCCCUAUCAAUGUGAGUUUAGUGAUAAUGGAAUCGUAUCUUCGUAUGCUAAGGGUGUUUAUAAUUACUAUGAUGUUCAACAAACUGAAGAAUUUGUUGCUUUUAAGGGUGCUUAUGAAAUUGCUUCUUUGAUUGAAAAGUAUGAUGCUACUCUCUACAAAUCUGAAAAAUUGCCAUACUUGAAUGUUGCUAUGAUAAUUAUGCUUCUAAUUCAUAUGUUAAACUAUAUAUUGAGGACUACUCUGUUGUCCAAGAAGAGACUAAUAUUUUGCAGGAAGUUAUGGAAGAAGAAAUUGAUGAAACUGUGAGCUCAUUGGAUGAAAAAGAUGAUGAGGAGAGCGAAGAAACAAAGGAGGAAGAGCGGAUUAGCUACCCGUGCCCACCUUCUAAUGAGAGUAACUCUUCAACUCAUACAUUGUUUAAUUCCCCUUCGUGCUUACCGAAGGAUGAUUGCUAUGAUGAUUGUUAUGAUCCCGUUGAUUCUCUUGAAAUAUCCCUUUUUGAUGAUGCUUGUUAUGAUUGUGCCCAAGAUUCCAAUAUGAAUUAUGCUUAUGGAGCCAAGCAUAUAUAACAAUAUCAGUUUCAGGAGCUAACGCGUACGAUGUCAUUUUCAUGUAUUUUUGAUGACCUACUCUAUGUCACCUGGUCAACGCGCUUACACCCGAUGUCCUUUAACACAUCCAUCGCCUAUAUAUGUUGACACACUAGUACCAAUGAUCUCACAACACGAUCCAUCUUGCAGCCAUUUCUCUCUUUAGCUUCCUUGGAGCUUGUGAUCAUUAGUUGAUCAGACAACAUAACCAAUUUUCUCUCUAGCGCUAACUUCCACUCCCCAUCAUAUUUUUAGUUACUAGUAAGUCAGCUAGCUAGUACUCCCUCCGUCCGGAAGUAGUUGUCAUCAAAAUGGAUGAAAAGAGAUGUAUCUAGAAGUUCUAGAUACAUCUCUUUUCAUCCAUUUUGAUGACAACUAUUUCCGGACGGAGGGAGUAGAUCCAUAUUUAAUCCAUGGGGACCAAAGCUCUUAUUCUGAUCACCGUGGCCAUGACCAUGCUUGGGAUGGCGCUCGGUGCCAGCCACACUGUAGGCGCGCCGGACGGGUCGUGGGACCUUCGGACCAACUACUCCUAGUGGGUUUCGAGAAUCAGGUUCACCAUCGGCGAUGAGCUCAAGAUCCAGUACCCAGCCUCCGUGCACAGCGUGGUGGAGGUGAGCAAGACGGGGUAUGACUCCUGCCACGGCUCCAGCCCCAUAGCAACUUUCCCGACCAGUAAUGAUGUUGUUCUGCUUGCCACCGUUGCGUCCUGGUAUUUCAUCUGCGGCUUCUCCAGGCAAUGCGACGCCGGCAUGAAGGUCGAGGUCAACGUCAAGUCGAAAGAAGUGCGGACUGUGCAACGGUGCCGACGGACAGGGAACCGACGUCGCUGCCAGUCUGAGACAGUAUUAAGCUCAGCUGCGGCGGCUGGCGUCGACCAGUCUACGGCGGCCCGACUCGGUCUGAUAGUUGUUGCGACUGGUCUUACUUUGUUCUCUUAGAGUGAACAAUGAUUGUGGUCCUUUUUUCCUUGUUCGGUCCUAGCAUGGUCCCUUUGUGUAUUAAAUUCAAUUCUGUUGUGUAAUGUAAUUGCAUUCAUUAUAAUUGAAUUCAACAUAUCUUCUUGCAAGAACCCAAAUAAUAACCAAGCGUGUAACCAUGAAAUAAAUUUACAAAAGAUGUGUUGAGUGCAAUGACAUUACAUCCAUCCAUUAGAUACAACGGAAAUUCAGGUAGAGCUAAAUUCAUCUAGAUAAGUAACAUGAUCUUUAAGGCGAAACGGUGGGGUAAACACCCACUCCAAAAUUUUAUAUUAUUGGGAAGUGUAUGUACACACUGGUUUGAGAUAAGCCUAAAAAUAAGAUAAAUGAAGAAAACAAACCCUAACAAACUGAGCCAAAAAAUAAAAUAAAAUUACAAGACUUCAGAUCGCCAAGCUUUGAAAGCAUUGCCAUAUUUCGUUUUCAUCUUGUGUCCCAAAAUCUGCCCGCCAAGAAACAGAAAUUACAAGAGUUCAGCUCGCCAAGCCCUUGUUCAUCCUGUUACCAUCAAGCUAAAAUCAUCAGCUCGGGACCCCUUACUCGAGAGCCCCUGACACGGGCUACGUGGCUUAGCUCUCCAGCGAGCGACGUGGUGGCGGGUGUUGACGGUCUACCUCGGCCCUGUGGGUGGCGAGGUGCAUGGUGAUGGGUGAUCCUGGCGUAGCAGAUGACUUCGAUGGAAGCUUUGCCCUGAUCUAGAUGUGGUGCUCCCAUUCCGUCGUGGUGUGGUCCCGUUAGAGUUUCCUCGAUGUGGUGGGAGCGAGAGAAAGCUUUGCGCUCCGGCACCGGCGGCGACAAGGCCUGCGGGGGAUGUUGUAUCCCUCUUGGGGCGUCACCUUGGACCUCUUCUUGCCGUCCAACUCUUAAGGUGAAACCUUUCUUAGCUUUGGCUGAUGCGGCGGCGGCGACGCUUUGUGUCGUUACCCUCCUGGGGGCAUCGCCGGUGAGGGUGGGUCUUCCUCUUGCACGGUGGCGUGUUUCAUGUGCUUCUUCUCGGCUACUAGCUCGAGGCGUUUAGGUGCACUUAGAGCGUUUGGCUAGUAUUACCGAUUUUCUUUAAAUCAGCUUAUGAGGUCAUGCCUUGUAUCGGGUCAUUUUGUAUCAGUUUGGUUGUUUAUUCCUUUAUCUAUAAAGGGGGCGAAAGCUUGUUUCGGAAGAGAAAACGAUUCGUGAAAUCGACUGUCCUUAAUGGCCUAUUACAAUGGUGCGCAUGGUGACCGACCUUGACCAAAUUCAGUCGACCAACGCCUAUUACUAUCCUUCUUGUAUUUGUUAUCCUGCCUUCUAUACAAUAAAACUAUGCUACGUAUUUUGUGUACUCUUGAGAAAAGAUGAUUACGUUUUAUUUUCCAAUUUUUACAAUGAUAUGCAUUUUAAUAAAUCAAUUAUCAUGCGGUAGAAAUAUGCACGCGCGCACCAAUACGUUCAUAAUGUUAAUCAAUGAUUAAGUUCAAAUAAUUAAUGUUUAGCACGCUCGGGCACCGGAUUGGUAGCAGCCUGAGGGAUUGCCGCCAGACCCAAUCUAAUCUCGGCUACGAAUUCCAUCGUCACCAUUAUUAGAUUAUUGUCAUAGUAUAAUAGGCGAGCCAAGUGUUAAAAGAAAAGAGAGACAAUUGACAAGUAGUGAAAUCGCUGUUCUCAUUGAUUGGGUUUGUUACAAUAUAUACAUCCUGUAGGGACGCGACGAUACAUAGGGACACGAAGGGAGAGGCGCGUCGGUUGCCUGUUGGCAACGGCAUGGCAGUUAACAAGGGGAGAUUCCCUUUCAAUUAAACAUGUGUGUUUAAUUCUAACACUCCCUCUAAUCUUCGCUUGUCCAUGUAGUAUCAUCAACUCGAAAGAGUCUCCUCCAAAAACUCUGUGGGAAAAAUAUGAGGAGUAGUGUAGAAUAUGUUGCUAAAACUCCUUCAAACCCAGUGGGAAAAAUAAGGAGAAAAUGAUGCAACAUAUAAUGGUUAUUGUCUCUUUUAACUCAAUACGAGAAAACUCAUAGAGUUUAGAGGACGAUAAAUAUGUCAUAUACACUUUCUUAAAAACCUCGGUGGGGAAAACAGAAAGUAUGACAUAUGAUCUCAUGUUGAUAUUACCUCAUUAAAAACCUUCAUGAGAACCUUUAAAGUAAACUCAUUAAGGAAAAAAGAGUAUAAUAUGAUGCUUUGAACAGGAACAAUUCAGGAAAGUACUCCCCCUGAUCCUUGCAAAUUCCGAAGCCAUCACAUACCAACUCCAUGAACGUAUUUCUGGAAUGUAGAAGCUGGUAGAGACUUGGUGAAUAAAUCAUUCACAUGAUUUGACUUGCAAGAUAUGCAAUAUGAUGAUACUGCUAAUUACGUAACCUGUUUGCAUCCGGGCAACACAAGCAACAUUAUCUUUGAGAUAAUGGUUGGUGGAUGUAGCCAUGAGGUCUGUUUGGAAGACUCUUCAUGAGGGGGCUACCACACCUAGUAUGAGCACUAAGCUUGUCUACGAUCUGACAUAGUGGGGAUCUAAUCGAUGUAUCCAAUGAUAUCGGUGUUCACAUUUCUGUGAAACUGAAAAACCAGGACAAGAUGUUUGAUGCCUUUGGAGAUAUCGAUAGAUAUUCUUGAGUCCCAACCAAUUGUGUUUGGUGGAUCCAAUGGCAUUAUGGAACGUUGAGUCCCAAUAUCUCAUUUCCAUCAUCUCUUGGUCUAAAUAGAUCUUUCUCUACGUCUAGAGAAUGAACUACCAUGAGAGUUAUGGAUGGAUAAUAUUUGUCCAUAAUGGAUUUUUCCAAUAUAUUUUGGAUAUAGACAACAUAGUAUACCAUAAUGUAUGAAUGAAGGUGCUCAAGUUGUAGUAACGAGCGGUAUUUUGGUUUACUCAAAUCCUUCUUAAACUUUGUCAUUUAGAUGAUUACAUGUGUCGUCAUUGCAGACACACAAACAUGGAUAAUCAUCAUUGUAGGAGUAAUCCUUGUGAAUAAGGAACUCACUACGUCGGUUGUACCAAAUGUACCGACGAUAAUAAUAAGUCAUAUGGUGACUCAUUGAUUUUACACAAUGUAUGUUGCAUUUUGUACUUCGAUUCAGAAUUGAGAUUCCAUCGGAAAUCAAUCAUAUAUGUCUGAAUCUAGUGAUCCACAUGGACAUGUGAUCACUACAUCUAUUAACUGCAGAGAUAGAUGAUUUUGAACUGCCAAUGAUAUAAGUUAUCGGAAUGAGAUUCCACCUCUGGAGAUUAGUUGGGUAUCUGCGUGAACCCUUGUGCUACAAUACUUGCUCUUUGUUUCACCACCUCAUUGUUCUCAAUUCUGUUUCCAGAAGAAAACGGGUGUAGGUAUUGCCUAUGAAUACCUUCCCAUUAUUGAGCAAGAUCAUUUCUACCUAGAUUAUACCCUUUGCUUGAGUUCAGUCCGAGUGUUGAUCACACUUUGCCAUGGCCAUGGUCUUUGGAUCUGAAUCAUUUGUAAGGUUUUGCAAUCUAGUUGAGAAAUGUAUGUCGACAAUUGUAGACUUCUGGUUAUAUGAUUCUCCAGAAUCUGUAUAUCAAUAUAUAGUUGAUGAAAAUAUCGUUACCCGUAGUGACUUCUCGCGAUUUCCCAAUGCGAUUGAGUCAGGUAUUUCGAUGUCCCGGUCAUUGUGUGCACUAUGACCUGGGUUGAUGGAGGUUUCCCGUCCACUGAGUGUAUACUACCCAUUAAGUGUCUGCCAACGUGAAGUUGACUUGCAUUUACUGAUUCACAGGCCUUGAUAUCCUUGCUUGCGAGAAGCUGAAUCCUGGUGUACUUCUGCCAUACAUCUCCCCAUGUUGCUUUGAACGAGGAGUGGAGUGGAUUUUGCUUGUACCUCCACUCUUUCAGGCGUACUUUUGCAGGAUUGUAGGAUUGUGUGACACCUUUAUAGUCAGUAAAUGAAUCUGACAGAUUAUUUGCAAUGUGUUGCAAAUCUUUUGAAUGCAUGGUUCAGAUCUUUGAGUACGUGGAUUUGAGGCAGAAAUGUGUUGAACAUUCCACUAAUUUCCUGGCAUUUUUAUGGUACUUGAAAUCUCCCCCUAAUGCCUGGAAAUGUUCCUCAUUAAAUCAGCAUACUGGCCUUGAAUAACUCCCCAUGCGAGGGGCUUGAGGUAUUGACGGAAAUACAGUUAUUCCUCACAUAGAUCCCAACUAUAUGUUGAGGGGCCAAUGAUGUAUGCUGGGUGGUGAUAUCGGUAUGCAACCGUAUUACCGCAGAUAGGAAAUACUUGAUAGAUUUCCACGUAUCAAAGACAGAGGGGAAUAAUAUUAUGCAGUUUGGUCAUGAGCGUGUAAAAACUACAUGACUCCAACGUAAAGUUGGUAAGUUGCAAUUCCAAAGUAAAGAUAAUGCAAUGAGCAUAACUCUUUGGAUAGGAUUCUACCAAACCAUUUUGAGUCUAGACAUUAGGACAAAUUACUAAACUUCAAUCCAAGGGCCAGAGAGAAGGCACUCAAGGAGAAUUCUGCAAUGUUAUCCAUUCGAUUUGCUUGAAAUCGAUGUCAGAAUAAUGAGCCAAUGGUUUCGUGUGAAUAAAGGACACACUUAAGACCAUCAUGUAGAUAUGUCUUUUAGAACCAUGGAAUACCUGAAUAGUCUACUCAAUGGCUGGGAAGAGCCACUUACCUGGACUUGAUGCACUCAAGGAGUCUGAGUGGUUCAGCGUAGACUUUAAGGUGUUCGAGCCUUAAAAUUAGCUUCCCUGUGUCACUUGUAGUGCACAUAAAAUCCAAAUGUUAUUAGACUUUAGCAUCAUAAUAAUCACAAACUAUUGGAAUUGUUGAUAGUUUCGGUUUCAACCCAAUGUCUCGAUGACCAAGGCUAGUAUGCCAAGUUUGUCAUGUACAAGACACUCUGGAAAACUAUCUCGUACGCAACAUGUGCUACGGGUUGAGUCGUAUGUGUAGUUCAAUCCAGAAGAUACACAGAGAAUGUGCUUGCCAUAUCCGUUGCAUAUGGUAAAGAGAAGUUAUUUCUCUUUGUUGUCAUCAUAAGUUUCGCUAUGGAAACUAUUUUGACGGAUACCUUCAUAGUUUAGUAGGGUACGAGUUAAACCUGGAAAGCAAUAAAGCAUCCCGACGUUACUCGAGUACCCACAGGGAUAGUAAAUACGACUCGAGUUGAGCCAACAAAUACCUCAUCGCGUGUCGCGAUUUAAAUAUCUCCUUUCUCUCAAUGAGAGUGGAAACAUUGGACUUUCCUGAGUAUAAAGUUUGUGGUGCAUAUGCCCACAGAGCACAUAUCAUUUUUCAUCGGAUUGACUCCCGUAGAAAUCUAUAUAUAGACGUGAAAAUUCUCAAUAUGAAAAUCACUAUCAGAUAUAUAGAAUACAUACAAAUGUAUUUGUAUCAAAGUGUCGAUACAAUAUAUUGUGAUAUACAAUAUAUGAUGACAACAAUACUUAUGUUCUUAUUAGAACAUCGUAAAUGGACAUAAAUUAUGUUGACCACCGAGGAGAUUGAUAGACUAGACAAAGUCUUCAAACAUGUUAGUUGAUGCAUAUUCAACCUUCAUGUUCUCCGUGCUCAUAGGGUCCCGUGACUGCUGAUAGUCAUGUUGGAGGGAUGAAGUGAGAUUCAAACCUUUGCUCUUGAGAUUCUUUACGCCCCAGGAAUAGCUGAUACAGAAUAACCCGAUGUUGAGACCAGGAUCGAUAUAAUGCCUUAAGAUUUAUAAGGCAACAUAUUUUUCUGUUAGCGGGGUGAUUCCGACCAGAGGCGAAUCCUACGGUCUUGGAUUGCACACAUUAUUCCACGAGACACAAGAGCGAUCAUGAUGCCCAUGGCCCAGAUAGGGCAGCGGUGGCCAUUGAGGACGAAUGCCUCAAACUCUAUAGCCAUAUGUUACCUCUAUGGGUAAACCAGAGAUGAUUAAUUUACAACUAGUAAAUUAAAGACCAUCAUGGUUGAUAUUGUAAUGAACUUCGCAAAAUCAAUGGGUAUUUCAAGAAGUUAUCUUGAAACCAUUAGUGUGAAUCUCAAAUUGCUAAGUAUGACAUCUUGAAGAUAGGGAGUAGAUCUCGCAACACUAGGGAGUAUAAUCUGAUGAAAUCAGUAGAUACUCACUCCUAAUGCCUUAUCUCAUGACUUAGUAAAAUGUGUGGAAGAGCACUUUGUAAAGCAAUCAUAAUGUCGAAACGACAAAAUAUAGGCUUUAUCAGUAGUCAUCGAUAAUCUGCGUAGGCAGUAGAUCCAUGACUACUGUGUGAUCUCAAGCAUCAAUUUGAAGAAAUCACCUUGAAUUUGCACCCGUAUUUGCAAAAAAUUGAAAAUCUCAAUUGCAAAUAGACGUAUUAAUCUCGACAUGUAGCAAACAUGAAGAUACAUACAUUCCGGAAUACAUCAUACUCAACGGAAAUACACUACUAUUGUAAUGAAUAGUAAUGAUGUUGUAAACUUGAUGUUCAAGUGAGAGCUUGAGUUUUAUAGACCUCAAACUAAAUGAGAUGAUGUUGUAUCAAGUUGCAAGAUAAUUCAGCAAAGUGAAUUAAUAUUUUGCGAGAGAAAUUAGUCUCAAUCGCAAUGAGAUUGUUUUGCGAGAGAAAAAAAAUAUUCUCAAUCACAAAUCAGUACUCUAGAGGUACUAAAUUUAUCUUUGCAAGAGAUAAAAACAAAUCUCAAUUGCAAAUAAUAGAUGUAAUGAAUCUCAACAUGUAAGAAACAUGGAAAUAUAUUACAUCACGUUCUGAAAUACAAGGUACUCUACAGAAACAUAGUAUUUAAGACAAAUACUGGAAAUAACAGGGUCAACACAGAUCAACGCUACUACCUCCGUCUCGGUGAAUAAGUCAUUCGCGUAGUUCUAGGUUGACGAUUUAACUAUCUAAAUAUAUAUUAUAUGUGAUAAAAAAUAUAUAUUUAGAAACUAAAUCGUUGUAGAAAUCUAGUGAUAUACUUUUCAUGACAUAUAGCACAUAUUUAAUUCCUCAAAUCAAUGACCUAGAACUACGCGAAUGACUUAUUCACCUAGACGGAGGUAGUAGUAAAUAGCAUUGUUAACAGGAGCAAUUUGCAAAAUCCCCGAAAUUGAAGGAUGAUGUGCGAAUAUUAGCCUGGACCAUUGAAUCAGCCUGUUUUGCUAAUUCUAGUAACUGCAGGGACCUUAGUGUAAAGAGACGAAGAGAUAAUGUUCUCUAUCGUGAUUCCCUACGUGGGCACAAAUCAAUCGAUUUGCUUCACAGAACCACCGCCUGGAUGGUUCGAGCCACGCCGGAGGGACACCACGAUGUUGGUCACCGCGGACCGCGCCGACAAAUCCGCGGGGUGGGGAGCAGCGUGCAGCGCCAUGUGGUCGCUCUCGCGGGCGUCACCAGUGGAGAAUCCUCACUGGUGAGAUGCAGGCCGUAAAGCAACGCGGCCACGGUGAGGCACGCGAGGGCGAGGCCUCGGCGCGGACGGGUGCAGCGGCGCCAAAGGCGCGGGCGGGCGCAGCGCGCGAGGGCGAGGGGGCCGGACGCGGUGCCGUUCGCGAGCCCGAGUGCCGCGGGGCUCCGUGAGCCGGAGCGGCCGGAGUGGCCGUUCGACGGAGUCGGGGACGGCAGGCGCGGCGGCGCGGCAGCGUUGCCCGGGACACGCGCGACCGUCGGCAACCUCUGGAGCGGCACGCUGGCUUCUGCUUCAACAACCGCUGGGGUCGGAGGCUGCAGCGGCGGAUCAUGACGGGAAAGUUGUACUGGUGCAGGGGGCAUACUACCCAGCCAUGCACCGAGCACCAGACCGGCGGCGGCGGAGCCGCCAGCGCCGGGUCGAUGCCCCCAUCGGCCUCGAGCCUUGGUGCAGCCGGAGCGGCCAGAAGCCGGGCGGGCACAUCGGGCUGCACAUGCUGGUUCGACUUCGACGGCCCCGCGCCGUUCCGGUGGUUGCGACGGAGAUCCUGGCGGCGCUGGUUCCAACCUCCACGCCGGAAGCGGCGGAGGUCGCGCACACGAUGCUCAAAGCGGCGGCCACGGCCAUCGAUGCAAAGGAGGCGAAGAAACAGGGACAUCGGAACUCGAGGCAUGGUUCCGUUUCUCACCUUUUCCCUGUUCUCCUUGUCUUCUCGUUGGAAUUGCUCUAGCCGGAGCGCGUGCUGAUAACGUGUUAAAAGAAAAGAGAGACAAUUGACAAGUAGUGGAAUCGCUGUUCUCAUUGAUUGGGUUUGUUACAAUAUAUACAUCCCGUAGGGACGCGACGAUACAUAAGGACACGAAGGGAGAGGCGCGUCGGUUGCCUGUUGGCAACGGCAUGGCAGUUAACAAGGGGAGAAUCCCUUUCAAUUAAACAUGUGUGUUUAAUUCUAACACCAAGCAUGCACGUACCAACAUGUAUUUAAAUUCAUCUGGGAGUAGUAUUACUCAUAUUGAUGCAUCUUAGACCUACCAUACCUCACCUGAUCAACGUCGCUUACACCUGAUGAUCCUAGCUUGAACCAAUCCAUCCCCUAUAUAUUUUGACAUAGUGGCAUCAACGAUCUUACAGCACAUUCUAUCGUGCAGCCAUUUCUCUCUACCACUUCCUUGGAUCCUAUCAAAUUUAUCUCUAGUGCUAACUUCUAGCUCCGAUCUUUUCAGUUAGCCAGCUAGUCGGUCAACAUUUAAUCCAUGGGGGCUAAAGUUCUUAUCCUGAUCACCGUGACCGUGGCCAUGCUCCGGAUGGUGCUCAGCACCAGUCUCACGGUGGGUGUGCCGGCCGGAUCAUGGGACCUGCAGACCAACUACACCAUGUGGGCUUUGAGAACUAGGUUUACCAUCGGCGAUGAGUUCCAAUUUCAGUACUCCACCACCGUGCACAAUGUGGUGGAGGUGAGAAAGGCUGGGUACGACGCCUACAACAGCUCCAGCCCCAUCGCGAUGUUCCUAACCAGCAACGAUGUCGUCCCACUUGCAGCCAUUGGGAUGCGGUACUUCAUUUGCGGCGUCCCAGGGCAUCGCGUCGCCGGUAUGAAGGUUCAAGUCAACGUGAAGUCGAAGGCAGUGUGGACAGUACGACGGUGCCGAGGGACGGGGAAGCGGCUCCGGUGCCGGUCCGAGACUAUCUUAAGCUCGGCCAUGACGGCUGGCAUUGAUCAGUCUGCGAUGGCGCGACUAGGCCUGGCCUUUGUCGCGGCUGGUCUCGUGUUGUUCUAUUAGUGACCGUCGAUAAUGGUGCUUUUUUCUUCUUAACGCGACGCGCAUGCGUAUUUGUGUAUUAUAAAUUAAUUCUUUUGUUAAAUGUAAUUUCUUCCAUUAUAAUUGGAUUUAACUUAUAUUCUUGCGAACCAUAAUCAUGUGUAUAUAAUCAUGGAAUAAAUAAAGGGCAGUGCUAGGUGUCGGUCGGCCGUCCCAAAUUUUGGUCGGCCGCGCACUAGCUGUCAGAUGCAAGCUGCGUAGGCCGUCUGAUUUGCCUGCUCAGCUCCUUCCUCCCCACACCUUGCACAACCUGGCCCAACACCCUUCCCCUCGCGCAGCUUGCCAGUGCCCCCCCUCCCCCCGGCAGCAUCACACCUCAUGUCGGCCCGGUCCCUAGCAUGGCGCCAUGCGGGCGAGAUGCAGUAUCAAUGGCUUCUGCUGGGCUGACGCUCGCAAUUGACACUCCCACUAGUUCGAGCAAAAACUCUCUGGUUCUAGCAUUUGCAUGCGCUGGUUGUAACAUCUCGCCAGCAAGCCAGUGCUCACCGUCGCUGAUUCGAACAUGUACAGUCUCUGGUUCCAGCAAAUGCGUGAGCCGGUUCCAGGAAAAGGACUUCGCAUGUGGCCUGUCGGUUCCAGCAAAAAUGUGCAGCUCGCGUUCAUGACCGUCAUAGCUACUCUGAUGACUGCUUGCAACUUUUUUGUUGACGGGCCCCAGCACCUCGUCAAGCUGCUAGAAGCAUGCCGCCAUUCGGCGCCGGUCGGCGCCGUCGUGGGAACCAUGGUUGCACGGUCACCGAGGUUUUGCAGCUUUUCUCCUGCCCCAUUCCAGCAUCCACACAUGUCAAUUCUAGCAAAAAAGAUGACCGGAUGCAACAUCUAUUGCCAUCGGGUUCCCAAGAUGCACCACGGCUGGUUCCACUGUCCUCACCGACAGGUUCCAGCAAAAACCAUGGCCGGAUGCAGCAUCGCCGUGUCCCGCUGUAGCUUUUCUCUUUGGUGAGCUUAGCUUUCCUCCGUCGUUUUUCUCUUAAGAGGGCAGAUUUAUGAUUUUAUCUUAGCAGCUAUAAAGGGCAUUUACUUUGACGUUAUCGUAUUAGAGAAAAGGGCUAAGAUAUGAGUAACAAAAAGGAUAAUAUUUAGUAUAAAUAUAUUUGUCAUUUAGCUUUGAAUUUUCAUUUACCUCGCAAAUGUUACCUCUCCACGGCGGACCUUGUGAGCCUGCUUCAAAUUGUUCUCUUAUGAGAGUUUUCCUCUAUAUUUAAGGUGUACUUAGUGGUGGUGUUUGGACGUAAGUACCAGGUUGAAGCCAAUGUGCCCAAGGUAUAGUUCCCCACUCAGGACUGCAGAGAUUACCCCUUGAUAUUUAGGCGCACCGCAAAAUGUUGUGGUUUUAGUGUAUGAAAUGAAACAUGGGAACUCGUGCUUAAAAAAAGAAACAAGGGCAUCUCGAGGAGAAAUGAUGGAUUUAAACCCGACACGGGCUACGUGGCUUUGCUCUCUAGGGAGCGACGUGGUGGCGGGUAUUGACGGUGUACCUUGGCCCUGUGGGUGGCGAGGUGCACAGUGAUGGGUGAUCUUGGCGUAGCAGGCGACUUCGAUGGAAGCUUUGCCCUGAUCUGGAUUUGGUGCUCCCAUUCCGUCGUGGUGGGGUCCCCGUUAGAGCUUCCUCGAUGUGGUGGGAGCUGUGGUCGAGCGAAAGCUUUGCGCUCCGAUGCCGGUGGCGACAAGGCCUGCAGGUGUUGUAUUCCUCUUGGGGCAUCGCCUUGGACCUCUCCUUGCCAUCCAACUCUCAGGGUGAAACCUUUCUUAGCUUCGACUGAUGUGGCGGUGGUGACGCUUUGUGUCGUUACCCUCCUGGGGGCGUCGCCGGUGAGGGUGGGUCUUCCUCUUGCACGGUGGUGGGUUUCAUGUGCUUCUUCUCGGCUGCUAGCUCGAGGAGUUUAGGCGCACUUAGUGCGUUUUUAGCGUUCUUGGCUAAUAUUACCGAUUUUCUUUAGAUCAGCUUAUGAGGAUCUCCUCAAUGCCUUGUAUCGGGUCAUUUUGUAUUGGUUUGGUUGUUUAUGCCUUUAUCUAUAAAGGGGGCAAAAGCUUGUUUCGAGAGAGAGAACGAUUCGUGAAACAACUGUCCUUGAUGGCCUAUUACAAUGGCGCGCAUGGACCGAUCUUGACCAAAUUCAGUCGACCAACGCCUAUUACUACCCUUCUUGUAUUUGUUAUCCUGCCUUCUAUACAAUAAAGCUAUGGUACGUAAUUUGUGUACUCUUGAGAAAAGAUGAUUACGUUUUAUUUUCUAAUUUUUACAGUGACAUACAUCUUAAUAAAUCAAUUAUCGUGCGGUAGAAAUAUGCACGCGCGCACCAAUACGUUCAUAAUGUUAAUCAAAGAUUAAGCUCAAAUAAUUAAUGUUUAGCACGCUCGGGCACCGCAUUGAUAGCAGCCAGACCCAAUCUACGAAUUCCAUCGUCACCGUUAUUAGAUUAUCAUAGUAUAAUAGGCGAGCAAAGCAUGCACGCACCAACACGUAUUUAAAUUCAUCUGGGAGUACUAUUACUCAUAUUCAUGCAUCUUAGACCUACCAUACCUCACCUGGUCAACACGCUCUCACCGGGUGAUCCUAGCUUGAACCAAUCCAUCGCCUAUAUAUUUUGACAUAGUGGCAUCAACGAUUGUACAACACAUUCCAUCGUGCAACCAUUUCUCUCUGCAACUUCCUUGGAUCCUAUCAAAUUUCUCUCUAGUGCUAACUUCUAGCUCCGAUCUUUUCAGUUAGCUAGUCGGUCGACAUUUAAUCCAUGGGGGCUAAAGUUCUUAUCCUGAUCACCGUGGCCGUGGCCAUGCUCGGAAUGGUGCUCGGCGCCAGUCACACGGUGGGCGCGCCGGCCGGAUCAUGGGACCUGCAGACCAACUACACCCUGUGGGCUUCGGGAACUAGAUUUACCAUCGGCGAUGAGCUCCAGUUUCAGUACCCCACCACCAUGCACAAUGUGGUGGAGGUGAGAAAGGCUGGGUAUGACGCCUGCAACAGCUCCAGCCCCAUCACGACGUUCCUGACUGGCAACGAUGUCAUCCCACUUGCGGCCAUUGGGACGCGGUACUUCAUUUGCGGUGUUCCAGGGCAUUGCAUCGCCGGUAUGAAGGUUCAAGUCAACGUGAAGUCGAAGGCAGUGCGGACAGUACAACGGUGCCGAGGGACGGGAAAGCGGCUCCGGUGCCGGUACGAGACUGUAUUAAGCUCGGCCACGGCGGCUGGCAUUGAUCAGUCUACGGUGGCGCGGCUAGGUCUGGCCAUUGUCGCGACUGGUCUCACAUUGUUCUUUUAGUGACCUACGAUUGUGGUGCCUUUUCUUCUUGACGCGCCGUGCAUGCUUAUUUGUGUAUUGUAAAUCAGUUCUUUUGUUAAAUGUAAUGUUUUCAUUGUAAUUGGAUUUAACAUAUCUUCUUGCAAAACCGAACUAUAAUCAAGUGUUUAUAAUCAUGGAAUAAAUAAAGCGUUGUGCUAGGUGCCAUUCGGCCGGUCCAAAUUUUGGUCGCCCGCGCACUAGUCAUCAGAUGCAAGUUGCGUAUGCCGGCUGAUUUGGCUGCUCAGCUCCUUCCUCCCCACACCUUGCGCAACAUCGCCCAACACCCUUCCCCUCGCGCAGCUUGCCAGUGCCCCCGCCCCUCCCCCGACAACAUCGCACCUCCUGUCGUGCAGGUCCCUAGCACCGCGCCACGCUGGAGAGAUGCAGUAUCAAUGGUUUCUGCCGCUCUGAUCCUCGCAAUAGACACCGGCACUAGUUCCAGCAAAAACUCUCUCUGGUUCCAGCAUUUGCAUGCGCUGGGUGUAACAUCUCGCCGGCAAGCCGGUGCUCACCAUCGCUGAUUCCAGCAUCUACAGUCUCUGGUUCCAGCAAAUGCGCGAGCCGAUUCCAGCAAAAGGACUUCACCUGUGGCCCGUCGGUUCCAGCAAAAAUGCGCAGCUCGCGGUCACCACCAGCGUAGCUACUCUGAUGACUGCUUGCAACUUUUUUGCCGGCGGGUCCCAGCACCUCGCCAUGCCGCUAGAAGCAUGCCUCCAUUCGGCGUCGGUCGGCGCCGUUGUAGCUCGCGGGAACCAUGGUCACAUGGUCGCUGAGGUUUCACAGCUUUUCUCCUGCCCCAUUCGAGCAUCCACACAUGUCAACUCCAGCAAAAAAGAUGACCGGAUGCAUCAUCUAUUGCCGUUGGGUUCCCGGGAUGCACCACGGCUGGUUCCAGUGUCCUCACCAACUGGUUCCAGCAAAAACCAUGGCUGCAUGUAGCAUCACAGUGUCCCGUUGUAGCUUUUCUCUUUGGCGAGCAUAGCUUUCUUCUGUCGUUUUUCUUCAAAGAUGGCACAUUUAUGAUUUUAUCUUAGGAGCUAUAAGGGGCAUUUACUUUUAUGUCAUCGUAUUAGAGAAAAGGGCUAAGAGACGAGUAACAAAAAGGUAAUGUUUAGUAUAAAUAUUUUUUUUUCUUUUAGCUUAGAAUUGUCAUUUACGUCGCAAAUGUUAUAACCUCUCCAGGCCGGACCUUGUGAGCCUGCUUCAAAUUGUUCUCUUAUGAGAGUUUUCCUCUAUAUUAUUUAAGGUUUACUUAGUGGUAGUGUUUGGACGUAAGUACCAGGUUGAAGCCAAUGUGCCCAAGGUAUAGUUCCCCACUCAGGACUGCAGAGAUUACCCCUUGAUAUUUAGGCGCACUGCAAAAUGUUGUGGUUUUAGUGUAUGAAAUGAAACAUGGGAACUCGUGCUUAAAAAAAGAAACAAGGGCAUCUCGAGGAGAAAUGAUGGUGAUAAAAAAUUCUCCCUCCGAUCCAUAAUAAGUGUCGUGUUUUAGCUCAAAUGUAUAAUACAUAUAUGACAACUAAUUAUUAGUGGAAUUACCUUUCACUACCCAAAAACUAGGACCAACUAUAAAUCCUCUUUGCCAAAUAUGAUUUUAGCUAUAUGACAACGGCGAGGGGCCCUUACCAAGCAGACCAUGCAACUUUUAAAUUUGGUCAACACAACAUAUUAUCAAUAGUGAAUUUCCAUGAAUUUUGACAGUGGCAUACAUCUUAAUUAUUAUUUUAGAAGAAUCUUAAUUAAUUAUAUAAUUAUUUGACGUACCGAUGUAGUACAUGUGCGCACCAACACGUUCGGAUUGUUUUACUAGAGAAUAUGUUGGAUUAAUUUAUGUUUAGUACUCUCGUGCGGGCAUCCGGAUCUACCGAGGACAAGGUCCACUGAUGGCUACUGAUGAUCUCCUAACUAAUUGUUUGGACAUGGUCUACUGAAAAUUUGGUUACUAAUCCUUUUCUCCCCAGACCCGGUCUACUGACGGUUACCAAUCUCAUCUUCUUCAGUGUUAGUUUUCUAUUAAAGCUAUGGAGCCAAGCAUAUAUAAUAAUAUCAGUUCAGGAGAUAACGUGUAUGAUGUUAUUUUCAUGCGUUUUAGACGACCUACUCUAUGUCACCUAGUCAACGCGCUUACACCCGAUGAUCCUUUAACACAUCCAUCGCCUAUAUAUGUCGACACAUUGGUAUCAGUGAUCUCACAACAUCAUCCAUCCUGCAACCAUUUCUCUCAUUAGCUUCCUUGGAGCUUGUGAUCAUUAGUUGAUCAGACAACAUAACCAAUUUUGUCCCUAGCGCUAACUUUCAUCCCCCAUCAUAUUUUCAGUUAGUACUACUAAUUCAGCAAGCUAGUAGAUUCAUAUUUAAUCCAUGGAGACCAAAGCUCUUAUUCUGAUCACCGUGGCCAUGACCAUGCUUGGGAUGGCACUCGGUGCCAGCCACACCGUAGGCGCACCGCACGGGUCAUGGGACAUUCAGACCAACUACUCUCAGUGGGUUUCGAGAAUCAGAUUCACCACCGGCGAUGAGCUCAAGUUUCAGUACUCCGCCGUCGUGCACAACGUGGUGGAGGUGAGCAAAACGGGGUAUGACUCCUGCAACGGCUCCAGUCCCAUAUCGACUUUCCCGACCGGUAAUGAUGUUGUUCCGCUUGCCACCGUCAGGACCCGGUAUUUCAUCUGUGGCGUCUCCGGGCACUGCAACGCCGGCAUGAAGGUCGAGGUCAACGUCAAGUCGAAAGAAGUGCGGACUGUGCAACGGUGCCGACGGACAGGGAACCGGCGUCGCUGCCAGUUCGAGACGGUAUUAAGCUCAGCUACGUCAGCUGGCGUUGAUCAGUCUGCAGUGGCCCGACUCGGUCUGAUAGUUGUUGCGGCUGGUCUUAUGUUGUUCUUUUAGAGUGAACGAUGAUUGUGGUCCUUUUUCCUUGUUCGGUCAUAGGAUGGUCCCUUUGUGUAUUAAAUUCAAUUCUUUUGUUAAUUUUAAUUGCAUUCAUUAUAAUUGGAUUCAACAUAUCUUCUUUGCAAAAACCCAAAUAAUAACCAAGCGUGUAACCAUGAAAUAAAUUUAUCAAAGAUGUGUUGAGUGCAAUGCAUUACAUCCAUCCUUUAUAUACAACAUAAAUUCAGGCAGAGCUAAAUUCAUCUAGAUAAGUAACAUGAUUUUUAAGGCGAAACAGUGGGGUAAACACCCACUGCAACAUUUUAUAUUAUUGGGAAGUGUAUGUACACACUGGUUUGAGAUGAGCCUGAAAAGAAGAUAAAUGAAGAAAACAAACCCUAACAAACUGAGCCAAAAAAAAGAAGAAACAGAAAUUACAAGGCUUCAGCUCGUCAAGCUUUGAAAGCAUUGCCAUAUUUCGUUUUCAUCUUGUGUCCUAAAAUCAGCUCGCCAAGAAAUAGAAAUUACAAGAGUUCAGAUUGCCAAGCCCUUGUUCAUCCUGUUACCAUCAAGCUAACAUCAUCAGCUCGGGACCCCUUACCCGAGAUCCGCCGGAUUUAACCCCGACACGGGCUACGUGGCUUUGCUCUCUAGGGAGCGACGUGGUGGCGGGUGUUGACGGUGUACCUUGGCCCUGUGAAGGUGCACGGUGAUGGGUGAUCUUGGCAUAGCAGGCGACUUCGAUGGAAGCUUUGCCCUGAUCUGGAUUUGGUGCUCCCAUUCCGUCGUGGUGGGGUCCCCGUUAGAGCUUCCUCGAUGUGGUGGGAGCUGUGGUCGAGCGAAAGCUUUGAGCUCCGGUGCCGGCGGCGACAAGGCCUGCGGGUGUUAUAUUCCUCUUGGGGCAUCGCCUUGGACCUCUCCUUGCCGUCCAACUCUCAGGGUGAAACCUUUCUUAGCUUCGGCUGAUGCGGCGGCGGUGACACUUUGUGUCGUUACCCUCCUGGGGGCGUCGCUGGUGAGGGUGGGUCUUCCUCUUGCACGGUGGUGGGUUUCAUGUGCUUCUUCUCGGCUGCUAGCUCGAGGAGUUUAGGUGCACUUAGUGUGGUUUUAGCGUUCUUGGCUAAUAUUACUGAUUUUCUUUAGAUCAGCUUAUGAGGUUCUCCUCAAUGCCUUGUAUCGGGUCAUUUUGUAUUGGUUUGGUUGUUUAUGCCUUUAUCUAUAAAGGGGGCGAAAGCUUGUUUUGAGAGAGAGAACGAUUCGUGAAACAACUGUCCUUGAUGGCCUAUUACAAUGGCGCGCAUGGUGACCGAUCUUGACCAAAUUCAGUCGACCAACGCCUAUUACUAUCCUUCUUGUAUUUGUUAUCCUGCCUUCUAUACAAUAAAGCUAUGGUACGUAAUUUCUGUACUCUUGAGAAAAGAUGAUUAUGUUUUAUUUUCUAAUUUUUACAGUGACAUACAUCUUAAUAAAUCAAUUAUCGUGCGGUAGAAAUAUGCACGCGCGCACCAAUACGUUCAUAAUGUUAAUCAAAGAUUAAGCUCAAAUAAUUAAUGUUUAGCACGCUCGGGCACCGGAUUGAUAGCAGCCAGACCCAAUCUACGAAUUCCAUCGUCACCAUUAUUAGAUUAUCAUAGUAUAAAAGGCGAGCAAAGCAUGUACGCACCAACAUGUAUUUAAAUUCAUCUGGGAGUACUAUUACUCAUAAUCAUGCCUCUUAGACCUACCAUACCUCACCUGGUCAACACGCUCUCACCGGGUGAUCCUAGCUUGAACCAAUCCAUCGCCUAUAUAUUUUGACGUAGUGGCAUCAACGAUCUUACAACACAUUCCAUCGUGCAACCAUUUCCCUCUGCAACUUCGUUGGAUCCUAUCAAAUUUCUCUCUAGUGCUAACUUCUAGCUCCGAUCUUUUCAGUUAGCUAGUCGGUCGACAUUUAAUCCAUGGAGGCUAAAGUUCUUAUCCUGAUCACCAUGGCCGUGGCCAUGCUCGGGAUGGUGCUCGGCGCCAGUCACACGGUGGGCGCGCCGGCCGGAUCAUGGGACCUGCAGACCAACUACACCCUGUGGGCUUCGAGAACUAGAUUUACCAUCGGCGAUGAGCUCCAGUUUCAGUACUCCACCACCGUGCACAAUGUGGUGGAGGUGAGAAAGGCUGGGUAUGACGCCUGCAACAGCUCCAGCCCCAUCGCGACGUUCCUGACCGGCAACGAUGUCGUCCCACUUGCGGCCAUUGGGACGCGGUACUUCAUUUGCGGCGUUCCAGGGCAUUGCAUCGCUGGUAUGAAGGUUCAAGUCAACGUGAAGUCGAAGGCAGUGCGGACAGUACAACGGUGCCGAGGGACGGGAAAGCGGCUCCGGUGCCGGUACGAGACUGUAUUAAGAUCGGCCACGGCGGCUGGCAUUGAUCAGUCUACGGUGGCGCGGCUAGGUCUGGCCAUUGUCGCGACUGGUCUCAUGUUGUUCUUUUAGUGACCGACGAUUGUGGUGCCUUUUCUUCUUGACGCGCCGUGCAUGCUUAUUUGUGUAUUGUAAAUCAGUUCUUUUGUUAAAUGUAAUGUUUUCAUUAUAAUUGGAUUUAACAUAUCUUCUUGCAAAACCAAACUAUAAUCAAGUGUUCAUAAUCAUGGAAUAAAUAAAGCGUUGUGCUAGGUGCCAUUCGGCCGGCCCAAAUUUUGGUCGCCCGCGCACUAGUCAUCAGAUGCAAGUUGCGUAGGCUGGCUGAUUUGGUUGCUCAGCUCCUUCCUCCCCACACCUUGCGCAGCCUCGCCCAACACCCUUCCCUCGCGCAGCUUGCCAGUGCCCCCGCCCCUCCUCCGACAACAACGCACCUCCUGUCGUGCAGGUCCGUAGCACCGCGCCACGCUGGAGAGAUGCAGUAUCAAUGGUUUCUGCCGCUCUGAUCCUCGCAAUAGACACUGGCACUAGUUCCAGCAAAAACUCUCUCUCGUUCCAGCAUUUGCAUGCGCUGGGUGUAACAUCUCGCCGGCAAGCCGGUGCUCACCGUCGCUGAUUCCAGCAUCUACCGUCUUUCGUUCCAGCAAAUGCGCGAGCCGAUUCCAACAAAAGGACUUCACCUGUGGCCCGUCGGUUCCAGCAAAAAUGCGCAGCUCGCGGUCACCACCAGCGUAGCUACUCUGAUGACCGCUUGCAACCUUUUUGCCGGCGGGUCCCAGCACCUCGCCAUGCCGCUAGAAGCAUGCUUCCAUUCGGCGUCGGUCGGCGCCGUUGUAGCUCGCGGGAACCAUGGGCACAUGGUCGCUGAGGUUUCACAGCUUUUCUCCUGCCCCAUUCGAGCAUCCACACAUGUCAACUCCAGCAAAAAAGAUGACCGGAUGCAGCAUCUAUUGCCGUUGGGUUCCCGGGAUGCACCACGGCUGGUUCCAGUGUCCUCACCAACUGGUUCCAGCAAAAACCAUGGCUGCAUGUAGCAUCACAGUGUCCCGUUGUAGCUUUUCUGUUCGGCGAGCAUAGCUUUCUUCUGUCGUUUUUCUUCAAAGAUGGCACAUUUAUGAUUUUAUCUUAGGAGCUAUAAGGGGCAUUUACUUUUAUGUGAUCGUAUUAGAGAAAAGGGCUAAGAGACGAGUAACAAAAAGGUAAUGUUUAGUAUAAAUAUUUUUUUUCUUUUAGCUUAGAAUUGUCAUUUACGUCGCAAAUGUUAUAACCUCUCCAGGCCGGACCUUGUGAGCCUGCUUCAAAUUGUUCUCUUAUGAGAGUUUUCCUCUAUAUUAUUUAAGGUUUACUUAGUGGUAGUGUUUGGACGUAAGUACCAGGUUGAAGCCAAUGUGCACAAGGUAUAGUUCCCCACUCAGGACUGCAGAGAUUACCCCUUGAUAUUCACUGCAAAAUGUUGUGGUUUUAGUGUAUGAAAUGAAACAUGGGAACUCGUGCUUAAAAAAAGAAACAAGGGCAUCUCGAGGAGAAAUGAUGGUGAUAAAAAAUUCUCCCUCCGAUCCAUAAUAAGUGUCGUGGUUUAGCUCAAAUGUAUAAUACAUAUUUGACAACUAAUUAUUAGUGGAAUUACCUUUCACUACCCAAAAACUAGGACCAACUAUAAAUCCUCUUUGCCAAAUAUGAUUUUAGCUAUAUGACAACGGCGAGGGGCCCUUACCAAGCAGACCAUGCAACUUUUAAAUUUGGUCAACACAACAUAUUAUCAAUAGUGAAUUUCCAAGAAUUUUGACAGUGGCAUACAUCUUAAUUAUUAUUUUAGAAGAAUCUUAAUUAAUUAUAUAAUUAUUUGACGUACCGAUGUAGUACAUGUGCGCACCAACACGUUCGGAUUGUUUUACUAGAGAAUAUGUUGGAUUAAUUUAUGUUUAGUACUCUCGUGCGGGCAUCCGGAUCUACCGAGGACAAGGUCCACUGAUGGCUACUGAUGAUCUCCUAACUAAUUGUUUGGACAUGGUCUACUGACAAUUUGGUUACUAAUCAUUUUCUCCCCGGACCCGGUCUACUGACGGCUACCAAUCUCAUCUUCUUCAUUGUUAGUUUUCUAUUAAAGCUAUGGAGCCAAGCAUAUAUAAUAAUAUCAGUUCAGGAGAUAACGUGUACGAUGUUAUUUUCAUGCAUUUUGGACGACCUACUCUAUGUCACCUAGUCAACGCGCUUACACCCGAUGAUCCUUUAACACAUCCAUCGCCUAUAUAUGUCGACACACUGGUAUCAAUGAUCUCACAACACCAUCCAUCCUGCAGCCAUUUCUCUCAUUAGCUUCCUUGGAGCUUGUGAUCAUUAGUUGAUCAGACAACAUAACCAAUUUUCUCCCUAGCGCUAACUUCCAUCCCCCAUCAUAUUUUCAGCUAGUACUACUAAGUCAGCAAGCUAGUAGAUCCAUAUUUAAUCCAUGGAGACCAAAGCUCUUAUUCUGAUCACCGUGGCCAUGACCAUGCUUGGGAUGGCACUCGGUGCCAGCCACACCGUAGGCGCACCGCACGGGUCAUGGGACAUUCAGACCAACUACUCUCAGUGGGUUUCGAGAAUCAGAUUCACCACCGGCGAUGAGCUCAAGUUUCAGUACUCCGCCGCCGUGCACAACGUGGUGGAGGUGAGCAAAACGGGGUAUGACUCCUGCAACGGCUCCAGCCCCAUAUCGACUUUCCCGACCGGUAAUGAUGUUGUUCCGCUUGCCACCAUCGGGACCCGGUAUUUCAUCUGUGGCGUCUCCGGGCACUGCAACGCCGGCAUGAAGGUCGAGGUCAACGUCAAGUCGAAAGAAGUGCGGACUGUGCAACGGUGCCGACGGACAGGGAACCGGCGUCGCUGCCAGUCCGAGACGGUAUUAAGCUCAGCUACGUCGGCUGGCGUUGAUCAGUCUACGGUGGCCCGACUCGGUCUGAUAGUUGUUGCGGCUGGUCUUAUGUUGUUCUUUUAGAGUGAACGAUGAUUGUGGUCCUUUUUUCCUUGUUCGGUCGUAGGAUGGUCCCUUUGUGUAUUAAAUUCAAUUCUUUUGUUAAUUUUAAUUGCAUUCAUUAUAAUUGGAUUCAACAUAUCUUCUUUGCAAAAACCCAAAUAAUAACCAAGCGUGUAACCAUGAAAUAAAUUUAUCAAAGAUGUGUUGAGUGCAAUGCAUUACAUCCAUCCAUUAUAUACAACAUAAAUUCAGGGCAGAGCUAAAUUCAUCUAGAUAAGUAACAUGAUUUUUAAGGCGAAACAGUGUGGUAAACACCCACUGCAACAUUUUAUAUUAUUGGGAAGUGUAUGUACACACUGGUUUGAGAUGAGCCUGAAAAGAAGAUAAAUGAAGAAAACAAACCCUAACAAACUGAGCCAAAAAAAGAAGAAACAGAAAUUACAAGGCUUCAGCUCGUCAAGCUUUGAAAGCAUUGCCAUAUUUCGUUUUCAUCUUCUGUCCUAAAAUCAGCUCGCCAAGAAAUAGAAAUUACAAGAGUUCAGAUCGCCAAGCCCUUGUUCAUCCUGUUACCAUCAAGCUAACAUCAUCAGCUCGGGACCCCUUACCCGAGAUCCACCGGAUUUAACCCCGACACGGGCUACACGGCUUUGCUCUCUAGGGAGCGACGUGGUGGCGGGUGUUGAAGGUGUACCUUGGCCCUGUGAAGGUGCAUGGUGAUGGGUGAUCUUGGCAUAGCAGGCGACUUCGAUGGAAGCUUUGCCCUGAUCUGGAUUUGGUGCUCCCAUUCCGUCGUGGUGGGGUCCCCGUUAGAGCUUCCUCGAUGUGGUGGGAGCUGUGGUCGAGCGAAAGCUUUGCGCUCCGGUGCCGGCGGCGACAAGGCCUGCGGGUGUUGUAUUCCUCUUGGGGCAUCGCCUUGGACCUCUCCUUGCCGUCCAACUCUCAGAGUGAAACCUUUCUUAGCUUCGGCUGAUGCGGCGGCGGUGACGCUUUGUGUCGUUACCCUCCUGGGGGCGUCCCUGGUGAGGGUGGGUCUUCCUCUUGCACGGUGGUGGGUUUCAUGUGCUUCUUCUCGGCUGCUAGCUCGAGGAGUUUAGGUGCACUUAGUGUGUUUUUAGUGUUCUUGGCUAAUAUUACCGAUUUUCUUUAGAUGAGCUUAUGAGGUUCUCCUCAAUGCCUUGUAUCGGGUCAUUUUGUAUUGGUUUGGUUGUUUAUGCCUUUAUCUAUAAAGGGGGCGAAAGCUUGUUUCGAGAGAGAGAACGAUUCGUGAAACAACUGUCCUUGAUGGCCUAUUACAAUGGCGCGCAUGGUGACCGAUCUUUACCAAAUUCAGUCGACCAACGCCUAUUACUACCCUUCUUGUAUUUGUUAUCCUGCCUUCUAUACAAUAAAGCUGUGGUACGUAAUUUGUGUACUCUUGAGAAAAGAUGAUUACGUUUUAUUUUCCAAUUUUUACAGUGACAUACAUCUUAAUAAAUCAAUUAUCGUGCGGUAGAAAUAUGCACGCGCGCACCAAUACGUUCAUAAUGUUAAUCAAAGAUUAAGCUCAAAUAAUUAAUGUUUAGCACGCUCGGGCACCGGAUUGAUAGCAGCCAGACCCAAUCUACGAAUUCCAGCGUCACCAUUAUUAGAUUAUCAUAGUAUAAUAGGCGAGCAAAGCAUGCACGCACCAACAUGUAUUUAAAUUCAUCUGGGAGUACUAUUACUCAUAUUCAUGCCUCUUAGACCUACCAUACCUCACCUGGUCAACACGCUCUCACCGGGUGAUCCUAGCUUGAACCAAUCCAUCGCCUAUAUAUUUUGACGUAGUGGCAUCAACGAUCUUACAACACAUUCCAUCGUGCAACCAUUUCUCUCUGCAACUUCCUUGGAUCCUAUCAAGUUUCUCUCUAGUGCUAACUUCUAGCUCCAAUCUUUUCAGUUAGCUAGUCGGUCGACAUUUAAUCCAUAGGGGCUAAAGUUCUUAUCCUGAUCACCGUGGCCGUGGCCAUGCUCGGGAUGGUGCUCGGCGCCAGUCACACGGUGGGCGCGCCGGCCGGAUCAUGGGACCUGCAGACCAACUACACCCUGUGGGCUUCGAGAACUAGAUUUACCAUCGGCGAUGAGCUCCAGUUUCAGUACUCCACCACCGUGCACAAUGUGGUGGAGGUGAGAAAGGCUGGGUAUGACGCCUGCAACAGCUCCAGCCCCAUCGCGACGUUCCUGACCGGCAACGAUGUCGUCCCACUUGCGGCCAUUGGGACGCGGUACUUCAUUUGCGGCGUUCCAAGGCAUUGCAUCACCGGUAUGAAGGUUCAAGUCAAUGUGAAGUCGAAGGCAGUGCGGACAGUACAACGGUGCCGAGGGACGGGAAAGCGGCUGCGGUGCCAGUACGAGACUGUAUUAAGCUCGGACACGGCGGCUGGCAUUGAUCAGUCUGCGGUGGCGCGGCUAGGUCUGGCCAUUGUCGCGACUGGUCUCAUUUUGUUCUUUUAGUGACCGACAAUUGUGGUGCUUUUUCUUCUUGACGCGCUCGUGCAUGCUUAUUUGUGUAUUCUUUUGUUAAAUGUAAUGUUUUCAUUAUAAUUGGAUUUAACAUAUCUUCUUGCAAAACCGAACUAUAAUCAAGUGUUCAUAAUCAUGGAAUAAAUAAAGCGUUGUGCUAGGUGCCAUUCGGCCGGCCCAAAUUUUGGUCGCCCGCGCACUAGUCAUCAGAUGCAAGUUGCGUAGGCCGGCUGAUUUGGCUGCUCAGCUCCUUCCUCCCCACACCUUGCGCAGCCUCGCCCAACACCCUUCCCUCGCGCAGCUUGCCAGUGCCCCCGCCCCUCCCCCGACAACAUCGCACCUCCUCUCGUGCAGGUCCCUAUCACCGCGCCACGCUGGAGAGGUGCAGUAUCAAUGGUUUCUGCCGCUCUGAUCCUCGCAAUAGACACUGGCACUAGUUCCAGCAAAAACUCUCUCUCGUUCCAGCAUUUGCAUGCGCUGGGUGUAACAUCUCGCCGGCAAGCCGGUGCUCACCGUCGCUGAUUCCAGCAUCUACCGUCUCUCGUUCCAGCAAAUGCGCGAGCCGAUUCCAGCAAAAGGACUUCACCUGUGGCCCGUCGGUUCCAGCAAAAAUGCGCAGCUCGCGGUCACCACCAGCGUAGCUACUCUGAUGACCGCUUGCAACUUUUUUGCCGGCGGGUCCCAGCACCUCGCCAUGCCGCUAGAAGCAUGCUUCCAUUCGGCGUCGGUCGGCGCCGUUGUAGCUCGCGGGAACCAUGGUCACAUGGUCGCUGAGGUUUCACAGCUUUUCUCCUGCCCCAUUCGAGCAUCCACACAUGUCAACUCCAGCAAAAAAGAUGACCGGAUGCAGCAUCUAUUGCCGUUGGGUUCCCGGGAUGCACCACGGCUGGUUCCAGUGUCCUCACCAACUGGUUCCAGCAAAAACCAUGGCUGCAUGUAGCAUCACAGUGUCCCGUUGUAGCUUUUCUGUUCGGCGAGCAUAGCUUUCUUCUGUCGUUUUUCUUCAAAGAUGGCACAUUUAUGAUUUUAUCUUAGGAGCUAUAAGGGGCAUUUACUUUUAUGUGAUCGUAUUAGAGAAAAGGGCUAAGAGACGAGUAACAAAAAGGUAAUGUUUAGUAUAAAUAUUAUUUUUCUUUUAGCUUAGAAUUGUCAUUUACGUCGCAAAUGUUAUAACCUCUCCAGGCCGGACCUUGUGAGCCUGCUUCAAAUUGUUCUCUUAUGAGAGUUUUCCUCUAUAUUAUUUAAGGUUUACUUAGUGGUAGUGUUUGGACGUAAGUACCAGGUUGAAGCCAAUGUGCACAAGGUAUAGUUCCCCACUCAGGACUGCAGAGAUUACCCCUUGAUAUUCACUGCAAAAUGUUGUGGUUUUAGUGUAUGAAAUGAAACAUGGGAACUCGUGCUUAAAAAAAGAAACAAGGGCAUCUCGAGGAGAAAUGAUGGUGAUAAAAAAUUCUCCCUCCGAUCCAUAAUAAGUGUCGUGGUUUAGCUCAAAUGUAUAAUACAUAUUUGACAACUAAUUAUUAGUGGAAUUACCUUUCACUACCCAAAAACUAGGACCAACUAUAAAUCCUCUUUGCCAAAUAUGAUUUUAGCUAUAUGACAACGGCGAGGGGCCCUUACCAAGCAGACCAUGCAACUUUUAAAUUUGGUCAACACAACAUAUUAUCAAUAGUGAAUUUCCAAGAAUUUUGACAGUGGCAUACAUCUUAAUUAUUAUUUUAGAAGAAUCUUAAUUAAUUAUAUAAUUAUUUGACGUACCGAUGUAGUACAUGUGCGCACCAACACGUUCGGAUUGUUUUACUAGAGAAUAUGUUGGAUUAAUUUAUGUUUAGUACUCUCGUGCGGGCAUCCGGAUCUACCGAGGACAAGGUCCACUGAUGGCUACUGAUGAUCUCCUAACUAAUUGUUUGGACAUGGUCUACUGACAAUUUGGUUACUAAUCAUUUUCUCCCCGGACCCGGUCUACUGACGGCUACCAAUCUCAUCUUCUUCAUUGUUAGUUUUCUAUUAAAGCUAUGGAGCCAAGCAUAUAUAAUAAUAUCAGUUCAGGAGAUAACGUGUACGAUGUUAUUUUCAUGCAUUUUAGACGACCUACUCUAUGUCACCUAGUCAACGCGCUUACACCCGAUGAUCCUUUAACACAUCCAUCGCCUAUAUAUGUCGACACACUGGUAUCAAUGAUCUCACAACACCAUCCAUCCUGCAGCCAUUUCUCUCAUUAGCUUCCUUGGAGCUUGUGAUCAUUAGUUGAUCAGACAACAUAACCAAUUUUCUCCCUAGCGCUAACUUCCAUCCCCCAUCAUAUUUUCAGCUAGUACUACUAAGUCAGCAAGCUAGUAGAUCCAUAUUUAAUCCAUGGAGACCAAAGCUCUUAUUCUGAUCACCGUGGCCAUGACCAUGCUUGGGAUGGCACUCGGUGCCAGCCACACCGUAGGCGCACCGCACGGGUCAUGGGACAUUCAGACCAACUACUCUCAGUGGGUUUCGAGAAUCAGAUUCACCACCGGCGAUGAGCUCAAGUUUCAGUACUCCGCCGCCGUGCACAACGUGGUGGAGGUGAGCAAAACGGGGUAUGACUCCUGCAACGGCUCCAGCCCCAUAUCGACUUUCCCGACCGGUAAUGAUGUUGUUCCGCUUGCCACCAUCGGGACCCGGUAUUUCAUCGGUGGCGUCUCCGGGCACUGCAACGCCGGCAUGAAGGUCGAGGUCAACGUCAAGUCGAAAGAAGUGCGGACUGUGCAACGGUGCCGACGGACAGGGAACCGGCGUCGCUGCCAGUCCGAGACGGUAUUAAGCUCAGCUACGUCGGCUGGCGUUGAUCAGUCUACGGUGGCCCGACUCGGUCUGAUAGUUGUUGCGGCUGGUCUUAUGUUGUUCUUUUAGAGUGAACGAUGAUUGUGGUCCUUUUUUCCUUGUUCGGUCGUAGGAUGGUCCCUUUGUGUAUUAAAUUCAAUUCUUUUGUUAAUUUUAAUUGCAUUCAUUAUAAUUGGAUUCAACAUAUCUUCUUUGCAAAAACCCAAAUAAUAACCAAGCGUGUAACCAUGAAAUAAAUUUAUCAAAGAUGUGUUGAGUGCAAUGCAUUACAUCCAUCCAUUAUAUACAACAUAAAUUCAGGGCAGAGCUAAAUUCAUCUAGAUAAGUAACAUGAUUUUUAAGGCGAAACAGUGGGGUAAACACCCACUGCAACAUUUUAUAUUAUUGGGAAGUGUAUGUACACACUGGUUUGAGAUGAGCCUGAAAAGAAGAUAAAUGAAGAAAACAAACCCUAACAAACUGAGCCAAAAAAAGAAGAAACAGAAAUUACAAGGCUUCAGCUCGUCAAGAUUUGAAAGCAUUGCCAUAUUUCGUUUUCAUCUUCUGUCCUAAAAUCAGCUCGCCAAGAAAUAGAAAUUACAAGAGUUCAGAUCGCCAAGCCCUUGUUCAUCCUGUUACCAUCAAGCUAACAUCAUCAGCUCGGGACCCCUUACCCGAGAUCCACCGGAUUUAACCCCGACACGGGCUACACGGCUUUGCUCUCUAGGGAGCGACGUGGUGGCGGGUGUUGAAGGUGUACCUUGGCCCUGUGAAGGUGCACGGUGAUGGGUGAUCUUGGCAUAGCAGGCGACUUCGAUGGAAGCUUUGCCCUGAUCUGGAUUUGGUGCUCCCAUUCCGUCGUGGUGGGGUCCCCGUUAGAGCUUCCUCGAUGUGGUGGGAGCUGUGGUCGAGCGAAAGCUUUGCGCUCCGGUGCCGGCGGCGACAAGGCCUGCGGGUGUUGUAUUCCUCUUGGGGCAUCGCCUUGGACCUCUCCUUGCCGUCCAACUCUCAGAGUGAAACCUUUCUUAGCUUCGGCUGAUGCGGCGGCGGUGACGCUUUGUGUCGUUACCCUCCUGGGGGCGUCCCUGGUGAGGGUGGGUCUUCCUCUUGCACGGUGGUGGGUUUCAUGUGCUUCUUCUCGGCUGCUAGCUCGAGGAGUUUAGGUGCACUUAGUGUGUUUUUAGUGUUCUUGGCUAAUAUUACCGAUUUUCUUUAGAUGAGCUUAUGAGGUUCUCCUCAAUGCCUUGUAUCGGGUCAUUUUGUAUUGGUUUGGUUGUUUAUGCCUUUAUCUAUAAAGGGGGCGAAAGCUUGUUUCGAGAGAGAGAACGAUUCGUGAAACAACUGUCCUUGAUGGCCUAUUACAAUGGCGCGCAUGGUGACCGAUCUUUACCAAAUUCAGUCGACCAACGCCUAUUACUACCCUUCUUGUAUUUGUUAUCCUGCCUUCUAUACAAUAAAGCUGUGGUACGUAAUUUGUGUACUCUUGAGAAAAGAUGAUUACGUUUUAUUUUCCAAUUUUUACAGUGACAUACAUCUUAAUAAAUCAAUUAUCGUGCGGUAGAAAUAUGCACGCGCGCACCAAUACGUUCAUAAUGUUAAUCAAAGAUUAAGCUCAAAUAAUUAAUGUUUAGCACGCUCGGGCACCGGAUUGAUAGCAGCCAGACCCAAUCUACGAAUUCCAGCGUCACCAUUAUUAGAUUAUCAUAGUAUAAUAGGCGAGCAAAGCAUGCACGCACCAACAUGUAUUUAAAUUCAUCUGGGAGUACUAUUACUCAUAUUCAUGCCUCUUAGACCUACCAUACCUCACCUGGUCAACACGCUCUCACCGGGUGAUCCUAGCUUGAACCAAUCCAUCGCCUAUAUAUUUUGACGUAGUGGCAUCAACGAUCUUACAACACAUUCCAUCGUGCAACCAUUUCUCUCUGCAACUUCCUUGGAUCCUAUCAAGUUUCUCUCUAGUGCUAACUUCUAGCUCCAAUCUUUUCAGUUAGCUAGUCGGUCGACAUUUAAUCCAUGGGGGCUAAAGUUCUUAUCCUGAUCACCGUGGCCGUGGCCAUGCUCGGGAUGGUGCUCGGCGCCAGUCACACGGUGGGCGCGCCGGCCGGAUCAUGGGACCUGCAGACCAACUACACCCUGUGGGCUUCGAGAACUAGAUUUACCAUCGGCGAUGAGCUCCAGUUUCAGUACUCCACCACCGUGCACAAUGUGGUGGAGGUGAGAAAGGCUGGGUAUGACGCCUGCAACAGCUCCAGCCCCAUCGCGACGUUCCUGACCGGCAACGAUGUCGUCCCACUUGCGGCCAUUGGGACGCGGUACUUCAUUUGCGGCGUUCCAAGGCAUUGCAUCGCCGGUAUGAAGGUUCAAGUCAACGUGAAGUCGAAGGCAGUGCGGACAGUACAACGGUGCCGAGGGACGGGAAAGCGGCUGCGGUGCCAGUACGAGACUGUAUUAAGCUCGGACACGGCGGCUGGCAUUGAUCAGUCUGCGGUGGCGCGGCUAGGUCUGGCCAUUGUCGCGACUGGUCUCAUUUUGUUCUUUUAGUGACCGACAAUUGUGGUGCUUUUUCUUCUUGACGCGCUCGUGCAUGCUUAUUUGUGUAUUGUAAAUCAGUUCUUUUGUUAAAUGUAAUGUUUUCAUUAUAAUUGGAUUUAACAUAUCUUCUUGCAAAACAGAACUAUAAUCAAGUGUUCAUAAUCAUGAAAUAAAUAAAGCGUUGUGCUAGGUGCCAUUCGGCCCGCCCAAAUUUUGGUCGGCCGCGCACUAGUCAUCAGAUGCAAGUUGCGUAGGCCGGCUGAUUUGGCUGCUCAGCUCCUUCCUCCCCACACCUUGCGCAGCCUCGCCCAACACCCUUCCCUCGUGCAGCUUGCCAGUGCCCCCGCCCCUCCCCCGACAACAUCGCACCUCCUCUCGUGCAGGUCCCUAUCACCGCGCCACGCUGGAGAGGUGCAGUAUCAAUGGUUUAUGCCGCUCUGAUCCUCGCAAUAGACACUGGCACUAGUUCCAGCAAAAACUCUCUCUGGUUCCAGCAUUUGCAUGCGCUGGGUGUAACAUCUCGCCGGCAAGCCGGUGCUCACCGUCUCUGAUUCCAGCAUCUACAGUCUCUGGUUCCAGCAAAUGCGCGAGCCGAUUCCAGCAAAAGGACUUCAUCUGUGGCCCGUCGGUUCCAGCAAAAAUGCGCAGCUCAUGGUCACCACCAGCGUAGCUACUCUGAUGACUGCUUGCAACUUUUUUGCCGACGGGUCCCAGCACCUCGCCAUGCCGCUAGAAGCAUGCCUCCAUUCGGCGUCGGUCGGCGCCGUUGUAGCUCGCGGGAACCAUGGUAUCAUGGUUGUUGAGGUUUCACAGCUUUUCUCCUGCCCCAUUCGAGCAUCCACACAUGUCAACUCCAGCAAAAAAGAUGACCGGAUGCAGCAUCUAUUGCUGUUGGGUUCCUGGCAUGCACCACGGCUGGUUCCAGUGUCCUCACUGUUGGGGAACGUUGCAGAAAAUAAAAAAAAUUCUACGGUUUCACCAAGAUCAAUCUAUGAGUUCAUCUAGCAACGAGAGAGAGGAGUGCAUCUACAUACCCUUGUAGAUCGAGUGGAAGCGUUCAAGAGAACGGGGUUGAGGGAGUCGUACUCGUCGUGAUCCAAAUCACCGGAGAUCCUAGCGCCGAACGGACGGCACCUCCGCGUUCAACACACGUACGGUCAGCGUGACAUCUUCUCCUUCUUGAUCCAGCAAGGGGGAAGGAGAGGUUGAUGAAGAUCCAGCAGCACGACGGCGUGGUGGUGGAUGCAGCAGGGAUCCCGGCAGGGCUACGCCAAGCGUCUGCGGGAGGGAGAGGUGUAGCAAGGGGGAAGGGAGGCGCCAAGUGCAAGGGUGCGGCUGCCCUCCCUCCCCCCUCUUUAUAUAGGGUCCCCAAGGGGGGCGCCGGCCCUAGGAGAUUGAAUCUCCAAGGGGGGCGGCGGCCAAGGGGGUGCCUUGCCCCCCAAGGCAAGUGGAGGCGCCCCCUCCCCUAGGGUUCCCAACCCUAGGUGCAGGGGGGGCAAGGGGAGGGGGCGCACCAGCUCACCAGGGGCUGGUUCCCCUCCCACUUCAGCCCAUGGGGCCCUCCAGGAUAGAUGGCCCCACCCGGUGGACCCCCCGGCACCCUUCCGGUGGUCCCAGUACAAUACCGGUGAUCCCCGAAACUUUCCCGAUGGCCGGAACUCGACUUCCCAUAUAUAAUUCUUUACCUUCGGACCAUUCCUGAACUCCUCGUGACGUCCGGGAUCUCAUCCGGGACUCCGAACAACUUUCGGUUUGCUGCAUACUAAUAUCUCUACAACCCUAGCAUCACCGAACCUUAAGUGUGUAGACCCUACGGGUUCGGGAGACACGUAGACAUGACCGAGACGGCUCUCCGGUCAAUAACCAACAGCGGGAUCUGGAUACCCAUGUUGUCUCCCACAUGCUCCUCGAUGAUCUCAUCGGAUGAACCACGAUGUUGAGGAUUCAAGCAACCCCGUAUACAAUUCCCUUUGUCAAUCGGUAUGUUACUUGCCCGAGAUUCGAUCGUCGGUAUCCCAAUACCUCGUUCAAUCUCGUUACCGGCAAGUCACUUUACUCGUACCGCAAUGCAUGAUCCCGUGACUAGACACUUGGUCACUUUGAGCUCGUUAUGAUGAUGCAUUACCGAGUGGGACCAGAGAUACCUCUCCGUCAUACGGAGUGACAAAUCCCAGUCUCGAUCCGUGUCAACCCAACAGACACUUUCGGAGAUACCCGUAGUAUACCUUUAUAGUAACCCAGUUACGUUGUGACGUUUGGUACACCCAAAGCACUCCUACGGUAUCUGGGAGUUACACGAUCUCAUGGUCUAAGGAAAAGAUACUUGACAUUGGAAAAGCUCUACCAAAUGAACUACACGAUCUUUUGCUAUGCUUAGGAUUGGGUCUUGUCCAUCACAUCAUUCUCCUAAUGAUGUGAUCCCGUUAUCAAUGACAUCCAAUGUCCAUAGUCAGGAAACCAUGACUAUCUGUUGAUCAACUAGCUAGUCAACUAGAGGCUCACUAGGGAUAUGUUGUGGUCUAUGUAUUCACACGUGUAUUACGAUUUCCAGAUAAUACAAUUAUAGCAUGAAUAAAAGACAAUUAUCAUGAACAAGGAAAUAUAAUAAUAAUCCUUUUAUUAUUGCCUCUAGGGCAUAUUUCCAACAGUCUCCCACUUGCACUAGAGUCAAUAAUCUAGUUACAUUGUGAUGAAUAGAACACCCAUAGAGUUCUGGUGUUGAUCAUGUUUUGCUCGCGGAAGAGGUUUAGUCAAUGGAUCUGCGACAUUCAGAUCCGUAUGUACUUUGCAAAUAUCUAUGUCUCCAUCUUGAACAUUUUCACGGAUGGAGUUAAAACGACGCUUGAUGUGCCUGGUCUUCUUGGCAAGGGCAAUAGCUCCAGUGUUGUCACAGAAGAGAGUGAUCGGCCCCGAUGCAUUGCGUAUGACUCCUAGGUCGGUGAUGAACUCCUUCAUCCAUAUUGCUUCAUGCGCUGCCUCCGAGGCUGCCAUGUACUCCGCUUCACAUGUAGAUCCCGCCACGAUGCUCUUCUUGCAACUGCACCAGCUUACUGCUCCACGAUUCAACAUAUACACAUAUCCGGUUUGUGACUUAGAGUCAUCCAGAUCUGUGUCGAAGCUAGCAUCGACGUAACCCUUUACGACAAGCUCUUCGUCACCUCCAUAAACGAGAAACAUGUCCUUUGUCCUUUUCAGGUACUUCAGGAUAUUCUUGACCGCUGUCCAGUGUUCCUUGCCGGGAUUACUUUGGUACCUUCCUACCAAACUCAUGGCAAGGUUUACAUCAUGUCUGGUACACAGCAUGGCAUACAUAAUAGAUCCUAUGGCUGAGGCAUAGGGGAUGACACUCAUCUAUUCUUUAUCUUCUGCCGUGGUCGGGCAUUGAGCCGAGCUCAAUCUCACACCUUGCAAUACAGGCAAGAACCCUUUCUUGGACUGAUCCAUAUUGAACUUCUUCAAUAUCUUAUCAAGGUAUGUGCUUUGUGAAAGACCUAUGAGGCAUCUCGAUCUAUCUCUAUAGAUAUUGAUGCCUAAUAUGUAAGCAGCUUCUCCAAGGUCCUUCAUUGAAAAACACUUAUUCAAGUAGGCCUUAAUGUUGUACAAUAGUUCUAUAUCAUUUCCCAUCAAAAUUAUGUCAUCUACAUAUAAUAUGAGAAAUGCUACAGAGCUCCCACUCACUUUCUUGUAAACACAGGCUUCUCCAUAAGUCUGCAUAAACACAAACGCUUUGAUCAUCUCAUCAAAGUGAAUGUUCCAACUCCGAGAUGCUUGCACCAGCCCAUAAAUGGAUCGCUGGAGCUUGCACACCUUGUUAGCAUUCUUAGGAUCGACAAAACCUUCUGGCUGAAUCAUAUACAGUUCUUCCUUAAGAUAGCCGUUAAGGAAUGCCGUUUUGACGUCCAUCUGCCAUAUCUCAUAAUCAUAGUAUGCGGCAAUUGCUAACAUCAUUCGGACGGACUUCAGCUUCUCUACGGGAGAGAAAGUCUCAUCGUAGUCAACCCCUUGAACUUUUCGAUAACCCUUAGCGACAAGUCGAGCUUUAUAGAUGGUAACAUUACCAUCCGCGUCCGUCUUCUUCUUAAAGAUCCAUUUAUUUUCUAUCGCUCGCCGAUCAUCGGGCAAGUCUGUCAAAGUCCAUACUUUGUUUUCAUACAUGGAUUCUAUCUCGGAUUGCAUGGCUUCAAGCCAUUUGUUGGAAUCUGGGCCCGCCAUCGCUUCUUCAUAGUUCGAAGGUUCACCGUUGUCUAACAACAUGAUUUCUAGGACAGGGUUGCCAUACCACUCUGGUGUGGAACGUGUCCUUGUGGACCUACGAAGUUCAGUAGCAACUUGAUCCGAAGUACCUUGAUCAUCAUCAUUAAUUUCCUCUCCAGUCGGAGUAGGCACCACAGGAACAUUUUCCUUAGCUACACUACUUUCCGGUUCAAGAGCUAGUACUUCAUCGAGUUCUACUUUCCUCCCACUUACUCCUUUCGAGAGAAACUCUUUUUCCAGAAAGGAUCCGUUCUUGGCAACAAAGAUCUUGCCUUCGGAUCUAAGGUAGAAGGUAUACCCAAUGGUUUCCUUAGGGUAUCCUAUGAAGACGCAUUUUUUCGACUUGGGUUCGAGCUUUUCAGGUUGAAGUUUCUUGACAUAAGCAUCGCAUCCCCAAACUUUUAGAAACGAGACCUUAGGUUUCUUCCCAAACCAUAAUUCAUACGGUGUCGUCUCAACGGAUUUAGACGAAGCCCUAUUUAAAGUGAAUGUAGCUGUCUCUAGAGCGUAUCCCCAAAAUGAUAGCGGUAAAUCGGUAAGAGACAUCAUAGAUCGCACCAUAUCCAAUAGAGUGCGAUUACGAUGUUCGGACACACCGUUACGUUGAGGUGUUCCAGGCGGCGUGAGUUGUGAAACGAUUCCACAUUUCCUUAAGUGCAUACCAAAUUCGUGACCUAAAUAUUCUCCUCCACGAUCUGAUCGUAAGAACUUUAUCUUUUGGUCACGUUGAUUCUCUACCUCAUUCUGAAAUUCCUUGAACUUUUCAAAGAUCUCAGACCUGUGUUUCAUCAAGUAGACAUACCCAUAUCUACUCAAGUCAUCACUGAGAGUGAGAACAUAACGAUAUCCUCCACGAGCCUCAACGCUCAUUGGACCGCACACAUCGGUAUGUAUGAUUUCCAAUAAGUUGGUUGCUUGCUCCAUUGUUCCGGAGAACGGAGUCUUGGUCAUUUUGCCCAUGAGGCAUGGUUUGCAUGUGUCAAAUGAUUCAUAAUCGAGAGACUCUAAAAGUCCAUCAGCAUGGAGCUUCUUCAUGCGCUUGACACCAAUGUGACCAAGGCGGCGGUGCCACAAGUAUGUGGGACUAUCGUUAUCAACUUUACAUCUUUUGGUAUUCACACUAUGAAUAUGUGUAACAUUACGUUCGAGAUUCAUUAAGAAUAAACCAUUGACCAUCGGGACAUGACCAUAAAACAUAUCUCUCAUAUAAAUAGAACAACCACUAUUCUCGGAUUUAAAUGAGUAGCCAUCUCGUAUUAAACGAGAUCUAGAUACAAUGUUCAUGCUCAAACUUGGCACUAAAUAACAAUUAUUGAGGUUUAAAACUAAUCCCGUAGGCAAAUGCAGAGGUAGCAUGCCGACGGCGAUCACAUCGACCUUGGAACCAUUCCCGACGGUCACCUUGUCCUUCGCCAGUCUCCGCUUAUUCCGCAGCUUCUGCUUUGAGUUACAAAUAUGAGCAACGGCACCGGUAUCAAAUACCCAGGAGCUACUAUGAGCACUAGUAAGGUACACAUCAAUUACAUGUAUAUCACAUAUACCUUUAGUGUUGCCGGCCUUCUUGUCCGCUAAGUAUUUGGGGCAGUUCCGCUUCCAGUGACCCUUCCCUUUGCAAUAAAAGCACUCAGUUUCAGGCUUGGGUCCAUUCUUUUACUUGUUUCCGGCAACUGGCUUACCGGGCGCGGCAACAUCCUUGCCGUCCUUCUUGAAGUUCUUAUUACCCUUGCCUUUCUUGAACUUGGUGGUUUUAUUGACCAUCAACACUUGACGUUCCUUUUUGAUUUCUACCUCUGCUGACUUCAGCAUUGAAAAUACUUCAGGAAUAGUUUUCACCAUCCCCUGCAUAUUGUAGUUCAUCACAAAGCUCUUGUAGCUCGGUGGGAGUGACUGAAGGAUUCUGUCAAUGACCGCCUUGUCUGGGAGGUUAAUGUCCAGCUGGAACAGGCGGUUGUGCAACCCAGACAUUUUGAGUAUGUGCUCACUGACAGAACUAUUUUCCUCCAUCUUACAACUAUAGAACUUGUCGGAGACUUCAUAUCUCUCGACCCGGGCGUGAGCUUGGAAAACCAUUUUCAGCUCCUCGAACAUCUCAUAUGCUUCGUGUUGCUCAAAACGCUUUUAGAGCCCCGGUUCUAAGCUGUAAAGCAUGCCGCACUGAACGAGGGAGUAAUCAUCAGCAUGUGUCUGCCAAACGUUCAAAUCGUCUUGCAGUGCUGGGAGAGUAGGUGGGUCACCUAACGGUGCUUCAAGGACAUAUGCUUUCUUGGCGGCUAUGAGGAUGAUCCUCAGGUUCCGGACCCAGUCCGUAUAGUUGCUGCCAUCAUCUUUCAGCCUGGUUUUCUCUAGGAACGCAUUGAAGUUCAUGUUGACAUGAGUGUUGGCCAUUUGAUCUACAAGACAUUUUUUGCAAAGAUUUUAGACUAAGUUCAUGAUAAUUAAGUUCAUCUAAUCAAAUUAUUUAAUGAACUCCCACUCAGAUUAGACAUCCCUCUAGUCAUCUAAGUGAUACAUGAUCCGAGUCGACUAGGCCGUGUCCGAUCAUCAUGUGAGACGGACCAGUCAUCAUCGGUGAACAUCUCCAUGUUGAUCGUAUCUUCCAUACGACUCAUGUUCGACCUUUCGGUCUCUUGUGUUCCGAGGCCAUGUCUGUACAUGCUAGGCUCGUCAAGUUAACCUAAGUGUUUUGCAUGUGUAAAUCUGUCUUACACCCGUUGUAUGUGAACGUUAGAAUCUAUCACACCCGAUCAUCACGUGGUGCUUCAAAACAACGAACUGUCGCAACGGCGCAUAGUUAGGGGGAACACUUUCUUGAAAUUAUUAUGAGGGAUCAUCUUAUUUAAUACCGUCGUUCUAAGUAAACAAGAUGCAAAAACAUGAUAAACAUCACAUGCAAUCAAAUAGUAGUGACAUGAUAUGGCCAAUAUCAUAUAGCUCCUUUGAUCUUCAUCUUCGGGGCUCCAUGAUCAUCUUCGUCACCGGCAUGACACCAUGAUCUCCAUCAUCAUGAUCUCCAUCAUCGUGUCUCCAUGAAGUUGCUCGCCAACUAUUACUUCUACUACUAUAGCUAACGGUUUAGGAAUAAAGUAAAGUAAUUACAUGGCGUUAAAUCAUUGACACGCAGGUCAUACAAUAAUUAAGACAACUCCUAUGGCUCCUGCCGGUUGUCAUACUCAUCGACAUGCAAGUCGUGAUUCCUAUUACAAGAAUAUCAUCUCAUACAUCACAAUAUAUCAUUCAUCAUUCAUCACAACUUUUGACCAUAUCACAACACAAAGCAAUUGCUGCAAAAACAAGUUAGACGUCCUUUAAUUGUUGUUGCAUCUUUUACGUGGCUGCAAUAGGGUUCUAGCAAGAACGUUUUCUUACCUACGAAAAAGCCACAGCGUGAUUUGUCAACUUCUAUUUACCCUUCAUAAGGACCCUUUUCAUAGAAUCCGCUCCAAUUAAAGUGGGAGAGACAGACACCCGCUAGCCACCUUAUGCAACUAGUGCAUGUCAGUCGGUGGAACCUGUCUCACGUAAGUGUACGUGUAAGGUCGGUCCGGGCCGCUUCAUCCCACAAUACUGCUGAAGCAAAAUAAGACUAGUGGUGGCAAGAAAGUUGACAACAUCUACGCCCACAACAGAUUUGUGUUCUACUCAUGCAAAGAGAACUACGCAUAGACCUAGCUCAUGAUGCCACUGUUGGGGAAUGUUGCAGAAAAUAAAAAAAAUCUACGGUUUCACCAAGAUCAAUCUAUGAGUUCAUCUAGCAACGAGAGAGAGGAGUGCAUCUACAUACCCUUGUAGAUCGAGCGGAAGCGUUCAAGAGAACGGGGUUGAGGGAGUCGUACUCGUCGUGAUCCAAAUCACCGGAGAUCCUAGCGCCGAAUGGACGGCACCUCCGCGUUCAACACACGUACGGUCAGCGUGACGUCUCCUCCUUCUUGAUCCAGCAAGGGGGAAGGAGAGGUUGAUGAAGAUCCAGCAGCACGAUGGCGUGGUGGUGGAUGCAGCAGGGAUCCAGGCAGGGUUUCGCCAAGCGUCUGCGGGAGGGAGAGGUGUAGCAAGGGGGAAGGGAGGCGCCAAGUGCAAGGGUGCGGCUGCCCUCCCUCCCCCCUCUUUAUGUAGGGUCCCCAGGGGGGCGCCGGCCCAAGGAGAUUGAAUCUCCAAGGGGGGGCGGCCAAGGGGGUGCCUUGUCCCCCAAGGCAAGUGGAGGCGCCCCCUCCCCUAGGGUUCCCAACCCUAGGCGCAUGGGGGGCCCAAGGGGGAGGGGCGCACCAGCCCACCAGGGGCUGUUUCCCCUCCCACUUCAGCCCAUGGGGCCCUCCGGGAUAGGUGGCCCCACCCGGUGGACCCCCUGGGAUCCUUCCGGUGGUCCCGGUACAAUACCGGUGACCCCCGAAACUUUCCCGAUGGCCGAAAGUCGACUUCCCAUAUAUAAUUCUUUACCUUUGGACCAUUCCGGAACUCCUCGUGACGUCCGGAAUCUCAUCCGGGACUCCGAACAACUUUCGGUUUGCUGCAUACUAAUAUCUCUACAACCCUAGUGUCACCGAACCUUAAGUGUGUAGACCCUACGGGUUCGGGAGACACGUAGACAUGAACGAGACGGCUCUCCGGUCAAUAACCAACAGCGGGAUCUGGAUACCCGUGUUGGCUCCCACAUGCUCCUCGAUGAUCUCAUCGGAUGAACCACGAUGUCGAGGAUUCAAGCAACCCCGUAUACAAUUCCCUUUGUCAACCGGUAUGUUACUUGCCCGAGAUUCGAUCGUCGGUAUCCCAAUACCUCGUUCAAUCUCGUUACCGGCAAGUCACUUUACUCGUACCGCAAUGCAUAAUCCCGUGACCAGACACUUGGUCACUUUGAGCUCGUUAUGAUGAUGCAUUACCGAGUGGGCCCAGAGAUACCUCUCCGUCAUACGGAGUGACAAAUCCCAGUCUCGAUCCGUGUCAACCCAACAGACACUUUCGGAGAUACCCGUAGUAUACCUUUAUAGUCACCGAGUUAUGUUGUGACGUUUGGUACACCCAAAGCACUCCUACAGUACCCGGGAGCUACACGAUCUCAUGGUCCAAGGAAAAGAUACUUGACAUUGGAAAAGCUCUAGCAAACGAACUACACGAUCUUGUGCUAUGCUUAGGAUUGGGUCUUGUCCAUCACAUCAUUCUCCUAAUGAUGUGAUCCCGUUAUAAAUGACAUCCAAUGUCCAUAGUCAGGAAACCAUGACUAUCUGUUGAACAACGAGCUAGUCAACUAGAGGCUCACUAGGGACAUGUUGUAGUCUAUGUAUUCACACGUGUAUUACGAUUUCCGGAUAAUACAAUUAUAGCAUGAAUAAAAGACAAUUAUCAUGAACAAGGAAAUAUAAUAAUAAUCCUUUUAUUAUUGCCUCUAGGGCAUAUUUCCAACACUCACCAACUGGUUCCAGCAAAAACCAUGGCUAUAUGUAGCAUCACAGUGUCCCGUUGUAGCUUUUCUCUUCGGUGAGCAUAGCUUUCUUCCGUCGUUUUUCUUCAAAGAUGGCACAUUUAUGAUUUUAUCUUAGGAGCUAUAAGGGGCAUUUACUUUUAUGUCAUCGUAUUAGAGAAAGGGCUAAGAGACGAGUAACAAAAGGGUAAUAUUUAGUAUAAAUAUUUUUUUCAUUUAGCUUUGAAUUGUCAUUUACGUCGCAAAUUUUAUAACCUCUCCAGGCCGUACCUUGUGAGCCUGCUUCAAAUUGUUCUCUUAUGAUAAUUUUCCUCUAUAUUAUUUAAGGUUUACUUAGUGAUAGUGUUUGGACGUAAGUACCAGGUUGAAGCCAAUGUGCCCAAGGUAUAGUUCCCCACUCAGGACUGCAGAGAUUACCCCUUGAUAUUUGAAACAUGGGAACUCGUACUUGAAAAAAGAAACAAGGGCAUCUCGAGGAGAAAUGAUGGUGAUAAAAAAUUCUCCCUCCGAUCCAUUAUAAGUGUCGUGGUUUAGCUCAAAUGUAUAAUACAUAUAUGACAACUAAUUAUUAGUGGAAUUACCUUUCACUACCAAAAACUAGGACCAACUAUAAAUCCUCUUUGCCAAAUAUGAUUUUAGCUAGAUGACAAGGGCGAGGCGCCUUACCCUGCAGACUAUGCAACUUUUGAAUUUGGUCAACACAACAUAUUGUCAAUAGUGAAUUUCCAUGAAUUUUGACAGUGGCAUACAUCUUAAUUAUUAUUUUAGAAGAACCUUAGUUAGUUAUGUAAUUAUUUGACGUACUCAUGUGGUACAUGUGCGGACCAACAUGUUCGGAAUGUUUAACUAGAGAAUAUGUUGGAUUAAUUUAUGUUUAGUACGGCGGGCAUCCGGAUCUAUCGAGGACAAGGUCCACUGAUGGCUACUGAUGAUCUCCUAACUAAUUUUUUGGACAUGGUCUACUGACUUUUUGGUUACUAAUCGUUUUCUCCCCAGACCCGGUCUACUGACGGCUACCAAUCUCAUCUUCUCCACUGUUAAUUUUCUAUUAAAGCUAUGGAGCCAAGCAUAUAUAAUAAUAUCAGUUUCAGGAGAUAACGUGUACGAUGUUAUUUUCAUGCACCUAGUCAACGCGCUUACACCCGAUGCUCCUUUAACACAUCCAUAGCCUAUAUAUGUCGACACACUAGUAUCAAUGAUCUCACAACACCAUCUAUCCCGCAGCCAUUUCUCUCAUUAGCUUCCUUGGAGCUUGUGAUCAUUAGUUGAUCAGAUAACAUAACCAAUUUUCUCCCUAGCGCUAACUUCCAUCCCCCAUCAUAUUUUCAGUUAGUACUACUAAGUCAGCAAGCUAGUAGAUUCAUAUUUAAUCCAUGGAGACCAAAACUCUUAUUCUGAUCACCGUGGCCAUGACCAUGCUUGGGAUGGCACUUGGUGCCAGCCACACCGUAGGCGCACCGCACGGGUCAUGGGACCUUCAGACCAACUACUCUCAGUGGGUUUCGAGAAUCAGAUUCACCACCGGCGAUGAGCUCAAGUUCCAGUACUCCGCCGCCGUGCACAACGUGGUGGAGGUGAGCAAGACGGGGUAUGACUCCUGCAACGGCUCCAGCCCCAUAGCGACUUUCCCGAGUGGUAAUGAUGUUGUUCCGCUUGCCACCGUCGGGACCCGGUAUUUCAUCUGCGGCGUCUCUAGGCAUUGCGACGCCGGCAUGAAGGUCGAGGUCAACGUCAAGUCGAAAGAAGUGCGGACUGUGCAGCGAUGCCGACGGAGAGGGAACCGGCGUCGCUGCCAGUCCGAGACAGUAUUAAGCUCAGCUGCGGCGGCUGGCGUCGAUCAGUCCACGGUGGCCCGGCUUGGUCUGAUAGUUGUUGCGGCUGGUCUUACGUUGUUCUUUUAGAGUGAACAAUGAUUCUGGUCCUUUUUUCCUUGUUCAGUCGUAAGAGGGUCCCUUCGUGUAUUAAAUUCAAUUCUUUUGUUAAAUGUAAUUGCAUUCAUUAUAAUUGAAUUUAACAUAUUUUCUUGCAAAACCCCAAAUAAUAACCAAGCGUGUAACCAUGAAAUAAAUUUAUCAAAGAUGUGUUGAGUGCAACGACAUUACAUCCAUCCAUUAUAUACAACAGAAAUUCAGGCAGAGCUAAAUUCGUCUAGAUAAGUAAAAUGAUAUUUAAGGCGAAACAUUGGGGUAAACACCCAGUGCAACAUUUUACAUUAUUGGGAAAUGUAUGUACACACUGGUUUGAGAUAAGCCUAAAAAGAAGAUAAAUGAAGAAAACAAACCCUAACAAACCGAGCCAAAAAAAAGAAGAAACGGAAAUUGCAAGACUUCAGAUCGCCAAGCUUUGAAAGCAUUGCCAUAUUUUGUUUUCAUCUUGUGUCCAAAAAUCUGCUCGCCAAGAAACAGAAAUUACAAGAGUUCAGCUCGCCAAGCCCUUGUUCAUCCUGUUACCAUCAAGCUAAAAUCAUCAGCUCAGGACCCCUUACCCGAGAUCCGCCGGAUUUAACCCCGCCACGGGCUACGUGGCUUUGCUCUCCAGGGAGCGACGUGGUGAAGGGUGCUGACGGUGUACCUUGGCCCUGUGGGUGGUGAGGUGCACGGUGAUGGGUGAUCUUGGCGUAGCAGACGACUUCGAUGAAAGCUUUGCCUUGAUCUGGAUGUGGUGCUCCCCUUCCGUCGUGACGGGGUCCCGUUAGAGUUUCCUCGAUGUGGUGGGAGUUGUGGUCGAGCGAAAGCUUUGCGCUCUGGCGCCGGCGGCGACAAGGCCUGCAGGUGUUGUAUCCCUCUUGGGGCGUCACCUUGUACUUCUUCUUGUCAUCCAACUCUUAGGGUGAAACCUUUCUUAGCUUCGGCUGAUGCGGCGGUGGCGACGCUUUGGGUCGUUACCCUCCUGGGGGCAUCGCCGGUGAGGGUGUCUUCUUGCACGCUGGUGGGUUUCAUGUGCUUCUUCUCGGUUGCUAGCUCCAGGCGUUUAGGUGCACUUAGAGCGUUUUGAGUGUUCUUGGCUAGUAUUAUCGAUUUUCUUUAGAUCAGCUUAUGAGGUUCUGCCAUGUAUCAGGUCAUUUUGUUUCGGUUUGGUUGUUUAUGCCUUUAUCUAUGAAGGGGGCGAAAGCUUGUUUCGAGAGAGAGAACGAUUCGUGAAAUCGGUUGUCCUUGAUGGCCUAUUACAAUGGCGCGCAUGGUGACCGAUCUUGACCAAAUUCAGUCGAGCAACGCCUAUUACUGCCCUUCUUGUAUUUGUUAUCCUGCCUUCUAUAUAAUAAAGGUAUGGUACGUAAUUUAUGUACCAUUGUGAAAAGAUGAUUACGUUUUAUUUUCCAAUUUUUACAGUGGCGUACAUCUUAAUAAAUCAAUUAUCGCGCGGUAGGAAUAUGCACGCGCGCACCAAUACGUUCAUAAUUUUAAUCAAAGAUUAUGUUCAAAUAAUUAAUGUUUAGCACGCUCGAGCACCAGAUCGAUAGCAGCAGCCGCCAGACCCAGUCUACUCUCGGUUAUGGAUCCCAUCGCCACCAUUAUUAGAUUAUCAUCAUGGUAUAAUAGGCGAGCCAAGCAUGCACGCACCAACAUGUAUUUAAAUUCAUCUGGGAGUACUCGUAUUCAUGCAUCUUAGACCUACUAUACCUCACCUGGUCAACACGUUCUCACCUGAUGAACCUAGCUUGACCAAUCCAUUGCCUAUAUAUUUUGACAUAGUGGCAUCAACGAUCUUACAACACCUUCCAUCGUGCAACCAUUCUUUCUGCAACUUCCUUAGAUCCUAUCAAAUUUCUCUCUAGUGCUAACUUCUAGCUCCGAUCUUUUCAGUUAGUUAGUUGGUCGACAUUUAAUCCAUGGGGGCUAAAGUUCUUAUCUUGAUCACCCUGGUCGUGGCCAUGCUCGGGAUGGUGCUCGGCGCCAGUCACACGGUGGGCGCGUCGGCCGGAUCAUGGGACCUGCAGACCAACUACACCACGUGGGCUUCGAGAACUAGGUUUACCAUCGGCGAUGAGCUCCAGUUUGAGUACUCCACCACCGUGCACAAUGUGGUGGAGGUGAGGAAGGCUGGGUAUGACGCCUGCAACAGCUCUAGCCCCAUCGUGAUGUUCCUGACCGGCAACGACAUCGUCCCACUUGCGGCCAUUGGGACGCGGUACUUCAUUUGCGGCGUUCCAGGGCAUUGCAUCGCCGGUAUGAAGGUUCAAGUCAACGUGAAGUCGAAGGCAGUGCGGACAAUACAACGGUGCCGAGGGACGGGAAAGCGGUUCCGGUGCCGGUACGAGACUGUAUUAAGCUCGGCCACGGUGGCUGGCAUUGAUCAGUCUGCGAGGGCGCGGCUAGGUCUAGCCAUUGUCGUGACUAGUCUCAUGUUGUUCAUUUAGUGACCGACGAUUGAGGUGCCUUUUCUUCUUGACGCACCGUGCAUGCUUAUUUGUGUAUUGUAAAUCGCUUCUUUUGUUAAAUGUAAUUUGUCCAUUAUAAUUUGAUUUAACAUAUCUUCUUGCAAAACCGAACUAUAAUCAAGUGUUUAUAAUCAUGGAAUAAAUAAAGCGCAGUGCUAGGUGCCAUUUGGCCGGCCCAAAUUCUGGUGGGCCGCGCACUAGUCAUCAGAUGCAAGUUGCGUAGGCCGGCUGAUUUGGCUGUUCAGCUCCUUCCUCCUCACACCUUGCGCAGCUUGCCAAUGCCCCCCCCCCUCGACAACAUCGCACGUCCUGUCGCGUAGGUCCGUAGCACCGCGCCACGCUGGAGAGAUGCAUUAUCGAUGGUUUCUGCCGCUCUGAUGCUCGCAAUAGACACUCGCACUAGUUCCAGCAAAAACUCUCUCUGGUUCCAGCAUUUGCAUGCGCUUGUUGUAACAUCUCGCCGGCAAGUCGGUGCUCACCGUCGCUGAUUCCAGCAUCUAUAGUCUCUAGUUCCAGCAAAUGCGCGAGCCAAUUCCAGCAAAAAGACUUCGCAUGUGGCCUGUUGGUUCCAGCAAAAAUGCGCAGCUCGCAGUCACCACCGUCGUAGCUACUCUGAUGACUGCUUGCAGCUUUUUUGCCGACGGGUCCCAGCACCUCGCCACGUUGCUAGAAGCAUGCCGCCAUUCGGCGUCGGUCCGCGCCGUUGUAGCUCGCGGGAACCAUGGCCGCAUGGUCGCUGAGGUUUCGCAGCUUUUCUCCCGCCUCAUUCGAGCAUCCACACAUGUCAACUCUAGCAAAAAAGAUGACCGGAUGCAGCAUCUCACUACUAGGGAAAAGCCUAGUAGUAGCGCUGGUUUUUGGCCUAUCAGUAGCGUGGGUAGGCACGCUACUGAUAAGGCGCUACAGCUAAAGCUUAGCAGUAGCGCCGACUCUGUAGCGCCGACUGGCACGCGCUACUGAUAUAUCUUCUUAGUAGUAGCGCUUUCCAUGCCAAUCGCUACUGCUAACUACUAGUAGCGCUUUCGAGAAUAACCGCUACUACUAUUAUUCCGUAUUCCAUUUCUUUUGAAUUUUAGGUCGUAUUCAUACACCUGUAUACAAUUUUUCAUACAGUAGCAAUUUAGAGAUUAUUUUAACAUCAUAAUGAGUUAUUAAAUCAUUAGGUGAAAUAACUUUGGAUUAGUUUCAAGUGCAUGGAUCCAAAGUAACCAAUGGUCACUUUGGAUCCAUCCAUUUGAAACUAAUCCGCGGUUCUUUCACCCAGUGACAUAAUAACUUAUCAUCAUCAUCAUAAUAUCAUUAACAACUUAUCAUCAUAAUAUAUCAUUGUCAUAUAACUUCUCAUAAUCAUCAUUUUCGUCCAUGAUGAGACAUCAUAUAACAACUUCGUCACUAGUUAUAAUGACAAACUCCUCCUCAUCAUCAUCAUAGUACUCAUAAUCACUACUCCUACUCAGCAUCACCAUCAAGUCUAAGACAUUGUAGUCAUAUAUAAUCAACACUAACUAUUUUUUCUUAAUAGUUAGGACCUACUCCUCUCUCCUAGCUAAAAUACCAUAAAAUAGAUAAACCGGUCCUUCACCAUAAUGGAGAAUGGACAUAAACCUAUCUCCAACUUGUGGCUUGCGCACAUUCAUUUUGUCUCCAAUUAUUUGCGUGUGUGCAUUCAUCACUUUGCUCCAUUCUUUGAUUUUGAGCCUUCCAUCAUUUGAAGAAAUCGAGUAUGCAAUAUGGUAAGCCUCCGAAGGAGUUGGUCGUAAGCUAACCAUAUGCAUAUCACCUUCGGUACAUAGCAUGUCAGGCACAACCUUCUUUGGGAGCCUCUUUUCAAAACCGAAAUAGUAACAUAUAUAGUUAGCAAUGUAGUUUACUUAAGAAUAAUGUAUGCAAUGAAGUUACCAUCAUUAACAAAAUCUUACCAAGUUUUUGGCAAUGAAGUUACCAUCAAGCAAUGUAUGGACUAGUGGCACGUAUCUAGUAUAAUUUGGGCUGAUAGAGUGACUGGUUUUGAAGGCCUCAACAUCUUCUAUGAAUGAGACAAGAUAACCUUUCUCCUCACAAUUAAGCAUGGAAUCAUAGCUGUAGUGUGUGUUGUGUAAUACCUUUCGAGUAUUUCUUGAAGAUAAGAAAUAAGAUGACAAUUAUAAAUAAAUAAGUUUAGUACGGACGAACACCAAGUAUUUUUAAAUUAACAACAUAAAUUACUGAACUUAACAAAUUAGUUUGACAAACUCACAUCUAGGUAAAACUGGAGGCAUAUCCACAUCCACCCAGAUGUCGACAUUAUCAUCAUCAUCAUCAUAAUCUUCAGGACGAAUAUCAAAUCUUAUUCGUAUUUCCUCCUCAAAUCCAUAUGCCUUGUAGAGAGCUUCACAAUUAGAGCAACCAAAAUGGGAGCGAUCGACCGCAUUGUAGAACUUAACCAGAAACUCAUAACCAUGUUUAGUUCUUAAGUGAGCCCUCAUCGUCUCCACAUUCUCAAAGUCAUCUAAACCAAAACCAAGCUUCUCCAAUACAUAUGGUCUAGCAUGGCACGGGAUGUACUAGUCGAGUUGAAAAAAAAUCCAUAAAUUACAUGUUGAACAAAAGAAGCACAAGUGAUGAUAUUUAUUACGAUGAAAUGCUUGUCGUUGUGUACCGUACAAACACCGAAGGUCUCUUCCAGCUUCACGGUGAAAAACCUAUCAUUUUGUAGGUGAGGAAACCUGUCGCACACACCACGGUCAUCGUAGCAGUACCCACACUCCGGGAUCCCAUCGUCAUCAGACAUCUCCUGUGUUCAAAAUUCAAGGAUUAUAACUCGACAGCAAAACCCAAAAAAUCCGGCAUGACCUUUGCUAAAAAGACAUAUCGAGCACCUGAAAUUUGCCGGAACGGAAAUUAAUCAACACUUCGGCAAAACAUAGGCCAUUUAUCGAUGGUCAUUGCAUUUCAGUGGUUCAAAAUAUGAAAAUAUCUUAUAUAUAAUCCUAACAGUAAAUAAACUAGUUUUAUUAACUACUUACUAAAUAAACUAGUUUUAUUAACUACUUACUAAAUAAAGUAGUUUUAUUAAGCACUUACUAUAAAUAAACUAGUUCUAUUAAGCACUUACCAAAUAAACUAGUUCUAUUAAGUACCUAAUAUAAAUAAACUAGUUAUAUUAAUCACUUACUAAAUAAACUAUUUUCUAUUAAACACUUGCUAAAAAUUCUACUACCCUAGUUCUACCCUAAAUUUUCUUACUUCUAUUUUAUUCAAAACACCUACGAUUUGCANNNNNNNNNNNNNNNNNNNNNNNNNNNNNNNNNNNNNNNNNNNNNNNNNNNNNNNNNNNNNNNNNNNNNNNNNNNNNNNNNNNNNNNNNNNNNNNNNNNNNNNNNNNNNNNNNNNNNNNNNNNNNNNNNNNNNNNNNNNNNNNNNNNNNNNNNNNNNNNNNNNNNNNNNNNNNNNNNNNNNNNNNNNNNNNNNNNNNNNNNNNNNNNNNNNNNNNNNNNNNNNNNNNNNNNNNNNNNNNNNNNNNNNNNNNNNNNNNNNNNNNNNNNNNNNNNNNNNNNNNNNNNNNNNNNNNNNGAAGGAGGGGGCGGCCGUAGGCGAAGGGAGGAGGGCGCGGUGGGAGGAGGAGGGAGGAGGGCGCGGUGGGAGGAGGAGGAGGGAUGGAAGGAGGGAGUACCUCGGUGGCGAACGGACGACGGUGAUUAUCGGCACGGGCGAGAGUGAUGGGGGAGAGUGAGUGAGCGAGGGGGGUCGAUGAGGGAGUCCUGGAUUAGGGGGUCCUUGGACAGCCGGACUAUAUGCUUAUGGCGGACUGUUGGACUAUGAAGAUACAAGAUUGAAGACUUCGUCCCGUGUCCGGGUGGACUCUUCUUUGCGUGGAAGGCAAGCUUGGCGAUUCGGAUAUGUAGAUUCCCUUCUCUGUAACCGACUCUGUGUAACCCUAGCCCCCUCCAGUGUCUAUAUAAACCGGAGGGUUUAGUCCGUAGGACGACAACAAUCAUAAUCAUAGGCUAGCUUCUAGGGUUUAGCCUCUACGAUCUCGUGGUAGAUCAACUCUUGUAAUACUCAUAUCAUCAAGAUCAAUCAAGCAGGAAGUAGGGUAUUACCUCCAUAGAGAGGGCCCGAACCUGGGUAAACAUAGUGUCCCCCGCCUCCUGUUACCAUUAGCCUUAGACGCACAGUUCGGGACCCCCUACCCGAGAUCCGCCGGUUUUGACACCGAAAUUGGUGCUUUCAUUGAGAGUUCCACUGUGUCAUCACCAUAAGGCUUGAUGGCCCCUUCGAUCAUCUACAAUGAUGCAGUCCAGGGUGAGGUUUUCCUCCCCAGACAGAUCUUCAUAUUCAGUGGCUUCGCACUGCGGGUCAACUUGCUUGGCCAUCUGGAGCAGAUCGAUAGCUACGCCCCUGGCUAUCAGGUCGGGUUUGGAUGGCUGAAUUACACUGCCGACAUCCACGAAUACUUGAUCUUCGACGGAUUCGAGCCCAUGACAGGUGCACCCUAUAGUCGCGAUGAGCAUGACUUAGAUCUGCCAUCGGACGAUGUUCAGGAGAUCACACCUGCAGCUUCCCCAGCUUUAAAUCCAGAGCAGAUCGUGCCAUCCGAGGACGGGUUGAUGGACUAGCCACGGAGGCCGCACACUCAGCGGAGAUAGAGCCGAACAUAGAUUUCACUUCCAAGGAGGUCUGUGUCAUCGGAUCCUCGGACUCAUCUCCGGCCAUAGGCUUCGAACCGCGUACAUCCGUGCCCAUCGGAUCUAAUUGGGUACCGAUCAUGGAGUUUAGCUCCACGGAUAUCUUUCAGCACUCACCCUUGGGCGACGUGCUAAACUCAUUAAAAUCUCUCUCCCUGUCAGGAGACUCUCGACCGAACUAUGUCCGGCUGGAGUGGGAAGCGGACGACGAAGGAAUUCGUACCCACCCACCACCCACUUAAUAGCCAUUGUCAAUGACUCAACCGACAUGCUUGAUUUUGACUCCGAAGACAUCGACGAUAUGGACGACGAUACCGGGGUAGAACAGGAACCACCGCCCACAGGGCGCUGGACAGCCACCUCAUCAUAUGACAUAUACAUGGUGGACACACCCAAAGAAAACAAUGGUGAGGAGCAGAAGGAUGCAACGACUCCUGAGAAGCAGCCAAAGCGCCGACAUCAGUGGCGCCGCUCUAAACCCCGCCAUAGCAAAAACAGUGAUACUGGUACAAGAAAGAAUAACACCCCAAACAAUGCCGAAGACAAUGACGACCCCGCAGACCCAGCGAUGAAGCAGGAUGGGCCAGGAGACGGCAAACACAGUCCAGGGCCGCUGUCCGAUCACAGCGAUGCCGAAGACAAAACUUAUAAACCUGUCUCUGGAGAGGAGAACAGUCCGGACGAUGAUGCACACAUCAUCUCGGAAAAGCACUUGGAACAAGAGCACCUCCACAAAAGGCUUAUUGCCACCGUGAGGAGCUUGAAGAAGCAGAAGCAAUGGCUUAAAGCCGCGCAGGAUAUGCUCAACCAUAGAUGGAACAAAGUGCUCGACACUGACGAAAUAUACGGCGGUGAUCGCCACACAAAGAGCUACCCAAAACGCAAGCUGCUACCCGAAUUCGACGACGAGGCUAUCGCGCCCAUUCCGCCAAAAAACAACACGACCGAUCUGCCGGACCGACCACCCCGUGGCCGAGACAGAGCGGCUAAUGACGCUGCACACAAGUCAGCACACGGUCUACGUGAGCACCUGGACAAAAGAGCUGGUAUGACCAAGUCCAUCUAUGGAUCUAGGAAACGUGUUCCUACGUAGGAUCACGGCCACCAAACCGACUAUAAUGAUCGACUACCAGCUCGGAAUCAACACCGAACACUACAGCCAUCGGACCCACGCCACGACACAUCCAAGUACAGGGGCACCACACACCCCCUGUGCUUCAUCGAUGAGGUGCUGGAUCAUGAAUUUCCAGAGGGGUUUAAACCCGUAAACAUCGAGGCAUACGACGGAACGACAGACCCUGCAGUCUAGAUUGAGGACUUUAUUCUUCACAUCCAUAUGGCUCACGGAGACGAUCUCCAUGCCAUCAAAUACCUGCCCCUCAAGUUGAAAGGACCAGGUCGACACUCGUUGAAAAGCCUUCCCAAAAAUUCCAUUAGAAGCUGGGAGGAACUCGAGGACGCUUUCAGGGCUAAUUUUCAAGGGACAUACGUUCGACCCCCGGAUGCAGACGAUUUAAGUCACAUAUUUCAACAACCCGGAGAGUCAGCCCGUAAGCUUUGGAACAGAUUUCUCACCAAGAAGAACCAAAUCAUCGACUGUCCGGAUGCCGAACCCCUAGAAGCUUUCAAACACAGUGUCCAGGAUGAAUGGCUUGCCACACACCUCGGCCAGGAAAAGCCAAGGACAAUGGCAGCCCUAACAACUCUUAUGACCCACUUUUGCACAGGCGAGGACAGUUGGUUGGCUCGAAGCGGCACCAACGAUCCACGCACAUCCGAAAUAAGGGAUGGCAAUGGAAAACCAUGACGCAAUAAAAACAAGCGUCGAAAUAACAAAGGCAACCCAGACAACACAAUGGUAAACACCGGAUUCAGGAGCUCCAGACCCGGUCAACGGAAAAAGCCAUUUAAAGGCAGCAGAUAUGGACCGUAUAGUCUAAAUAAAAUUUUAGACAGGUCCUAUCAAAUUCAUGGCACCCCCGAGAAACCUGCGAAUCACACCGACAGAGAAUUCUGGGUCUUCAAGAAGGCCGGCAAGCUAAAUGCUGAACACAAGAGGAGGGAGCCGCCAAGUGAAGACGAGGACGAACCUCGCCAGCCGAACACUGGGGAACAGAAAAAAAUCCACCAGAGGUCAAAACAGUGAACAUGAUUUACGUCACCCACAUACCAAAGGGGAAGCGCAAACGGGCACUCUGAGACGUAUACGCUGUAGAACCAGUCGCCCCCAAAUUCAAUCCAUGGUCGACCUGCCCAAUCACUUUCGAUCGCAAGGAUCAUCCGACUAGUAUCCGGCAUGGAGGUUCGGCCGCCUUGGUGCUCGACCCAAUAAUUGACGGAUACCAUCUCACCCGAGUCCUCAUGGACGGCGGCAGUAGUCUUAAUCUGAUAUAUCAGGACACUGUCCACAAGAUGGGGAUAGACCCGUCAAGAAUCAACCAAAGCAGUACUACCUUUAAAGGAGUAAUACCAGGCGUAGCGGCCCGCUGCACAGGCUCUUUGACGUUAGUGGUUGUAUUCGAUUCUCCCGACAACUUUCGAAGCGAAGAACUAAUCUUCGACAUCGCUCCGUUCCGAAGCGGUGGUCAUGCACUUCUCGGAAGAAUGGUCUUCACCCAUUUCAAUGCAGUACUGCAUUACGAUUAUCUCAAACUUAAGAUGUCUGGUCCACGUGGCGUCAUCACAAUCAGCGGAAACACAGACCGUUCUCUUCGUGCGAAAGAUUACAUGGAGGCUCUAGCAGCCGAACCACUGAACGGCCCUCCAACCCAAGUAACUCAUCGGUCUUCGAGACCACGGACACGGCUAGACGCGUACGGCGCACACCUAGUUAUAGCAGCCCAGAUAAACCUGAGCUUGAUUAAUGGCUAUGCCCCCAUAUGUGGUGCUAGGGGCUACCCGCAUGUAAAAGGCCCAUAGUUCGGCUUGACCCUAUUUACACUCAAGAGAUCGAAUUUUCAUGGUUCAUUAAGAUUAACCGACUUUACGCACGGUCACACCAGAUUCUUUCACCUAGGUUUUUCUUUCUUUUUAUAGAUGACCAUCGUGCUAUACCCUUCCAGGAUACAGCACAACGGAGACAAAGGCAUAGACGUGCAGCAUGGCCCCGUUCAAAGGUUUCUUUUUAGAUUAAGACCCUGUGUAAACCUUUUUUAUUGUCUCUUGUUGGCCCACACCCUCUUGGUACUUAAAAUGACCAAGAGGGAUACUGGCGUCAUUGGCAAGCUUAUGAUUCACCGAUCUAAAAUAGACAUUACAGGGGCCGCAACCAAUGUGUUUCUGGGAUCUAUGCUCUCACCACAGCCGCUCUUUCAUCACGCCAGAUUAAUGCACGUACCUAGAAAUUCAGGGCUCGUUAUCGAGGGCGGUACUCAGCCCAGUAUAUGUUGUCAAGUCCGAAUACCUUCGGGAGUGUUCGGCGUCGCGAGUUUGGCCUUAUAUGCAUCAGCUCCGAAUCAUGUCUUUGGUCAAUAGUUGGGUUUGCCCGUCUCUUGUGUUUUGCUACCUUACGUUCCGCUCUAUCGGCUAAGGUGGCACCGGGAGAACUACUGUGAUUGUGCCCUGGUUCAUCCGGAUGAGCACCUCAGUAGAGAAAGCCAAAAACUGACUGUCAUGAUAAAGCGAGAGACUGGUCGACCACUCGAUGACUCAGCGGAAUCUUCGCGAUUCAUCUGCAUUAACGAAGGACCGGUUUCAUGGUCACGUAUGUACACGCACCGUAUUCGGAUGAAAGCGAACAUACCAGGGGCUAUAUAGUAGCCCCACUGUCAAACUCCUAUGGCUAAGUGAAAGUGUUAAAGCUAUAUAGUCUGAUUGCCUUGUUCGCCGCGCUACCACCUCCUUAACGUACCAAGACGUUGGAUCAAGUGUGAUUACGCGCUUUGCCGAACACCCCCGCAUUAUAUGCGAGGGGGCUGAAGCCGACAACUGCAAACUUUCAGGUUAUAUACAUAUAUAUAUAAGCGGCCGCACAGGAGGCACUACAAUACUUUACGGGCAAAAGUAUACAUAUAGCCUUUAUUAUCAAAAGCAUUGUUUUUACAAACAAGAUACAUGUCAUUUGAACAUGGUAUUCUUUGAGCACUGAGCCUCUAUUAAACGGGCACCUUCUAAGACUUCUUCAAAAUAGUGCUCGGGCAAGUCCUGGCCCCCGGGCGGACCCCUGGUUGCAAUAUCGGUGGCCUCCAUCUUCGCCCAAUAUGUCUUAACACGGGCAAGGGCCAUCCGCGCACCCUCUAUGCACGCCGACCUCUUGACAGCGUCGAUAUGCGGCACAGCACAAAUAAAUCGUUGCACCAAACCAAAAUAACUAUCUGGACUUGGUUCCGUCGACCACAGGUGAUCCACGACGGCCUUCAUGGCAAGCCUGGAUAACCUAUGGAGCUCGGACAAUUCGGCCAUUUGCUCAUUCAACAGUAGCGGACGCCUUGGAGUACUGAACUGCGACCAGAACAAUCUUUCCAUUUCAUGAUCUUCUCGAUCUUCGAAAUACUGUGUCGCAUCAGCAGCACUCUUUGCCAAAUCCAAGUAUGCGUCUGAAGAACUCCACAAUUGAUCAAGAGGGGCAUACUUCGGAUCGCCGAAUUUCGUUCACAACAAAAAGGGCUUCCCAGCCGCGAUCUCACUGGCUUGUCGAAGCUCCUCCCGAGCCGCUCUGAUCUCAGAGUGAGUUUCCUUUCCUGCUUGGAAGGCCUUCUUUAGGUCAGCCGUUUUCUUUUGGUUUUCCCUUUCAAGAAGUUCAUAUCGGCUGGCGACAUUUUGUAGCUCAAGAGCCAUGUAGGCUAUUUUAUCCUCACUUUGGUGAUGAGCAGCCUGUUCGGCUUUUAAUUCAUCAGCUGCCUUCACGGCGGCCGCAUUGCUUCUCCUGGCUUGCUCCUUGGCCCGGGCAAGAUCUGCCCGAAGGGUCUCCACAGCGGCAGCACCAUCUGUACUCAAAGCAUAUUAUAAAUCCUAGCAUCAUGCUCUUAUUAAUAUUUGCUGACCACCCAAAUAUACAUACCCUGUGCCUCGUCAAGCCGCUUGUUCACAAGCGUGAUGUCUGCAUCCGCCACGUCAAGUUGCCGCCUCACUUCAGCAAAUUCAGCAGUUCGGUCAGCCGCCAGAGAUGCAGACGCCUGCACACAAAAUUGGCACCAUCAUUACCUAAGACUAUGAUCCUCUGCUCGCCUCGUCCGGAUGGCAACCAGAGUCUCAUGGGCUACUAUCCAUACAAAGUGCACUGAUACGUCUCCGUCGUAUCUAUAAUUUUUGAUUGUUCCAUGCCAAUAUUAUUCAACUUUCAUAUACUUUUGGUAACUUUUUAUAUUAUUUUUGGGACUAGCAUAUUGAUCCAGUGCCCAGUGCCAGUUCCUGUCUGUUGCAUGUUUUAUGUUUCGUAGAAACCCCAUACCAACGGACUCUAAACAGGAUAAAAACGGACAAAUAAUUACUUUGGAAUAUUUGUGUUUUUUGGGAAGUAAAAUCAACGCAAGACGGUGCCCGAGGUGGCCAGGAGACAGGGGCCCACGCCCACUCUAGGUGGGCACGCCCCCACCCUCCUAGGCCCCUCGUAAGGCGGUUGAUGCCCUUCUUUGGCUGCAAGAAAGCUAAUUUUUUGAAAAAUAUCUGGGCAAAGGUUUCAAUCCAAUCGGAGUUACGGAUCUUUGGAUAUAAAAGAAACGGUGCAAGGGCAGAAUUCCAGAACGCGGAAACAGAGAGAGACAGAGAGAUAGAUCCAAUCUUGGAGGGGCUCUCGCCCCUCCCACGCCAUGGGAGCCAACGACCAGAGGGUAAACCCUUCUCCCAUCUAGGGAGGAGGUCAAGGAAGAAGAAGAAGAAGGGGAGCUCUCUCCCCCUUGCUUCCGGUGGCGCCGGAGCGCUGCCGGGGGCCAUCAUCAUCAACGCGAUCUUCACCAAUACCUCCGCCAUCUUCACUAACAUCUCCAUCACCUUCCCCCAUCUAUAUUCAGUGGUCGACUCUCCCGCAACCCGCUAUACCCUCUACUUGAACAUGGUGCUUUAUGCUUCAUAUUAUCAUCCAAUGAUGUGUUGCCAUCCUAUGAUGUCUGAGUAGAUUUUCGUUGUCCUACCGAUGAUUGAUGAAUUGCUAUGAUUGGUUUGAAUUGCAUGUUUUAUUAUUGGUGUUGUCCUAUUGUGCUCUCAGUGUCGCGCAAGCGCGAGGGAUCCCCGCUGUAGGGUUUGCAAUAUGUUCAUGGUUUGCUUAUGGUGGGUGGCGUGAGUGACAGAAGCACAGACCCGAGUAAGUAGGUUGUUUCCAUAUGGGAUAAAGGGGACUUGAUACUUUAAUGCUAUGGUUGGGUUUUACCUUAAUGAUCUUUAGUAGUUGCAGAUGCUUGCUAGAGUUCCAAUCAUAAGUGCAUAUGAUCCAAGAAGAGAAAGUAUGUUAGCUUAUGCCGCUCCCUCAAAUAGAAUUGCAAUAGUGAUUACCGGUCUAGUAACGUAGUCAAUUUCUUAGGGACAAUUUCACAACUCCUACCACCACUUUUCAACACUCGCUAUAUUUACUUUAUUGCUUCUUUAUCUAAACAGCCCCUAGUUUAUAUUGGAUCGUUUGGGCUCCUUCAAACCUACUACCAUGUGUUUCAAUCUCCCCCGGAUCAUCAGACAAAUCCCUGGUCUGGAAAUGCUGCCUCUGCCUUUCUCUAAGGAGGAGAUUGACGCAGUGGUGAAAGAAAUGCCGGACGAUCGUGCCCCGAGCCCCGAUGGAUUUCAUGGUUGCUUUCUCAAGAGCUGCUGGCCAAUCAUUAAAGAGGAUUUCUAUAAAAUGUGUCAAGAUUUCCAUGAAGGCAAUCUUGAUAUUACCAGCAUCAGUGAGGGGUUCAUUACCUUGAUUCCAAAGACAUCUUCUCCUGAAACUGCCAAUGACUAUAGGCCAAUAACCCUGCUGAAUUGCUGUCCGAAAAUCAUCACCAAAAUCUUGGCCAACCGUCUGCAGAAAGUUAUCUUGAUGAUCAUCCAUAGAAACCAAUAUGGUUUCAUUAAGGGGAGGACCAUCCAGUACUGCCUUGCUUGGUCGUUUGAAUAUAUCCACCAGUGCCAGAGGUCGUCGCGUGAGAUAAUGUUGCUCAAAUUGGACUUUGCCAAAGCCUUUGACACCAUCGAACAUGCCCCGAUGAUGGAGAUCAUGAAACAUAUGGGUUUUGAUGACAAGUGGCUGGGUUGGAUGGAAUCUAUCUUUGGUUCCGGUGUCUUCUGUCUUACUCAAUGGGGUUCCUGGCAGAAAAUUCCAAUGCAAAUGCGGGAUGCACCAGGGCGACCCCCUCUCUCCUCUGAUUUUUGUCCUCGCUGCUGAUCUUCUCCAAGCCGCAGUCAAUGAAUCUUUUGCUCGUGGAUUGAUUGAUCUACCCAUCCCAUGCAAUCACGACGGGGAUUAUCCGGUGGUGCAGUACGCAGACGAUACCAUUCUGGUGAUGCAUGCCUGCCCUGACCAAGCUGCCCGUAUGAAAACAAUCCUAGAGGAUUAUGCAGCAUCUGUUGGUCUGAAAACUAAUUUUCAUAAAUCCACGCUUAUACCCAUUAACCUUGAUCAACAACGCGCACUUGACCUGGCUCACAUUUUCAGUUGCUCGAUUGGAUCUAUGCCGUUCACAUACCUUGGCCUCCCCAUGGGCACGACCAAGCCGACGCUACUUGAUCUCAUGCCGUUGGUGCAUGGGGCGGAAAGGAAAAUGUCAACGGCUCUUUCGUUAAUGUCAUCGGGGGCCAAGCUCACCUUGGUCAAUUCUACAGUCACCUCCAUGUUGAUCUACGCCAUGUGCAUGAUCAAGCCGCACCCAAAAGUGAUUGAGCACCUUGACAAGCUACGCAUGUACUGUCUUUGGGCGAAGAACUCUGAUGAUGGCGUCAAAAAUAAUUCCCUCGCUGCUUGGGAAUUGGUCUGUAGACCCAAAAGUAAAGGGGGGCUUGGAGUCAUCGAUAUCAAAACCCAGAACAUUGCCCUCCUUCUGAAACAUUUGUUUAAGUUUUACAACCACCACAAUGUCCCCUCGGUGACCUUGAUCUGGGACACAUAUUACUCUGACAGAAUUCCACAUGCAGUGGAACCGUUGGGUUCUUUCUGGUGGCGUGAUGUUAUGCAGCUCAGAGAUGUGUUCCGCGGGGUUACCAAGGUCGCUCCGGGCAAUGGCUCCUCAUCUCUGUUUUGGAAAGAUGCAUGGUUCGAUGAUCGUUACGCCCCUCUGAUGGAGAUCUACCCUAGAGCUUUCUCUUUCUGCCUGAAUGAAGACGAGCCAGUGGUUAAUAUUCUCACUGCCACUGACCCAAGCUUGAUCUUCCACCUGCCUCUCUCCACGCAAGCUAGAGAGGAAAUCGGAGAAAUCCAACAUGGGUCCAUGCAUGUCCUGCUUGACAGAGAUUGCAACGACACAUGGGUUUGCAACCUUGGUGGAUCUUUCUCCUCCAAGAGAUACUAUGAUCACUCUUUCAGGGAUACGGUUGCUGAUGUGGCCUUUGGAUGGCUGUGGAAGGCCAAGAGCCCAAUCAAGUUUAAAAUGUUUGGUUGGCUGCUGGUGGUCGAUCGAUUGAACACUAGGAAUAUGCUGAAACGCCGACAUUUUGCUGUGAUCAGGAACAACUACGCGUGCAUGCUUUGUCAAAACCCUCAUGAGGAAACGGUCAAGCAUCUCUUCUUCAACUGCCCGUUUAGCCGCCAUUGUUGAGACAAGGUUGGCAUGCUCUGGCCAAGCUCUGGGAAUAGGCUAACCCUGAUACAUGCUGACAAAGAUGGUUGGCGCCUGCCGUUGUUUAUGGAUAUUUCUUGCUGGCCGCUUGGAGCCUGUGGAAGGAGAGAAACAAUGUUCACUUCAGGGGGAUUCCACACUCUUUUGGUUCAUGGUUGGCUAGAUUCAAAGAGCUUUUGGCUUUGUUAGUUCAUAAUUGCAAGGAGGGCAUGCGUCCCUCCCUAGAAACAAACAUACAUAGCUUGUAGCCGCUGCUUAGGUGGAACUCUAGAACACAUGGCCGGGGGGCCUUACAACCCACUUGUAACAAUGUUGUAACUAGUUCCUUGUGAGUAAUACAAAGUCAGUGGGAGCCUCUCCCACUGUCGUGCAGUUUCAAAAAAAACACCUACAAAGUACUUCUAGUUUCAUACUUGUUCUAGGUAAAGCGAACGUCAAGCGUGCAUAGAGUUGUAUCAGUGGUCGAUAGAACUUGAGGGAAUAUUUGUUCUACCUUUAGCUCCUCGUUGGGUUCGACACUCUUACUUAUCGAAAGAGGCCACAAUUGAUCCCGUAUACUUGCGGGUUAUCAAGACCUUUUUCUGGCGCCGUUGCCGGGGAGUCAUAGCGUGGGGUGAAUAUUCUCGUGUGUGCUUGUUUGCUUUAUCACUAAGUAAUUUUUAUUUUCUGUUCUUAGUUGUUUUCUAUCUUUAGUUAUGGGUAGGAAACGCAAAAUACCAAAAAAAUUAGUUGUGCCUACUACACCAAUGGUUGAAGAACCACUCAAAAUCUAUCACACUCCUGAAGCUUUUUACUUGGAUCAUCUUUGAUCCGUUUGUGCUCGUGCCGAAACCCCAACUAGAUAGUCCUUGGUUGAUUUAUAGAAUUCUCAUUGCACUUCACUUAAAUAUUUUGAGUAUGGCUUUAUAGAAUGCUUCAUGUGCUUCACUUAUAUCAUUUGAAGUCUGGAUUGCUUGUUUCUCUUCACAUAGAAAACCGCCAUUUGUAGAAUGCUCUUUUGCUUCACUUAUAUUUGUUAGAGCGUGGGCAUAUCUUUUGUAGAAAGAAUUAAACUCUCUUGCUUCACUUAUAUCAAUUUAGAGAGAUGACAGGAAUUGGUCAAUCAGAUGGUUAGUCAUAAAAUCCUACAUAAACUUGUGGAUCACUGAAUAUGAUAUGUUUGAUUCCUUGCAAUAGUUCUGUGAUAUAGAGGUGAUAAUAUGUGGGAGGUACUAGUAGAUGGUUGUGUUUAGUAAGGAUGUUGGUGUUAAGGUUUGUGAUUCCUGAAGCAUGCACGUAUGGUCUACUAACUAUGUAACCAAAUUGGCACGCAUUGUAUUUUAAUUGUUUAUCUUUGCGUGAAGGUUGGGGGCGCGCUAUGGUUAACUCCUACCAACCUCCCCCCUAGGAGCAUGUGCGUAGUACUUUGUUUCAAGGGCUAAUAAAUUUUUGCAAUAAGUAUGUGAGUUCUUUAUAACUAAUGUUGAGUCCAUGGAUUAUACGCACUCUCACCCUUCCAUCAUUGCUAGCCUAUUCGGUACCGUGCAUUGCCCUUUCUCACCUCAAGAGUUGGUGCAAACUUCGCCGGUGCAUCCAAACCCCGUGAUAUGAUACACUCUAUCACACAUAAACCUCCUUAUAUCUUCCUCAAAACAGCCACCAUACCUACCUAUCAUGGCAUUUCCAUAGCCAUCCCAAGAUAUAUUGCCAUGCAACUUCCAUCAUCAUCAUAUACAUGACUUGAGCAUUCAUUGUCAUAUUGCUUUGCAUGAUCAUAAAAUAGCUAGAAUGAUGUUUUCAUGGCUUGUCCAUUUUUUGAUGUCAUUGCUACGCUAGAUCAUUGCACAUCCCGGUACACCGCCGGAAGCAUUCAUAUAGAGUCAUAUCUUUGUUCUAGUAUCGAGUUGUAAUAUUGAGUUGUAAGUAAAUAAAAGUGUGAUGAUCAUCAUUAUAGAGCAUUGCCCCAUGAAAAAAAAGAGGCCAAAGAAUCCUAAAUAAAAAAGGGGGCCAAAGAAGCCCACCCAAAAAAAGAAAAAAAAAGAAGAAAAGAAAAGGCUCAAUGUUACUAUCCUUUUUCCACACUUGUGCUUCAAAGUAGCACCAUGUUCUUCAUAUAGAGAGUCUCCUAUAUUGUCACUUUCAUAUACUAGUGGGGAUUUUCAUUAUAGAACUUGGCUUGUAUAUUCCAACGAUGGGCUUCCUCAAAUGCCCUAGGUCUUCAUGAGCAAGCAAGUUGGAUGCACACCCACUUAGUUUUUAGUUUUAGCUUUCAUACACUUAUAGCUCUUAGUGCAUCCGUUGCAUGGCAAUCCCUACUCCUCGCAUUGACAUCAAUUGAUGGGCAUCUCCAUAGCCUGUUGAUUAGCUGCGUCAAUGUGAGACUUUCUUCCUUUUUGUCCUCUCCACAUGACCUCCACCAUCAUAUUCUAUUCCACCCAUAGUUCUAUAUCCAUGGCUCGCGAUCAUGUAUUGCGUGAAAGUUGAAAAGGUUUGAGAUUACUAAAGUAUGAAACAAUUGCUUGGCUUGUCAUCGGAGUUGUGCAUGAUUAAAUACUUUGUGCGAUGAAGAUAGAGCAACAGCUAGACUAUAUGAUUUUGUAGGGAUAGCUUUCUUUGGCCAUGUUGUUUUGAAAAGACAUGAUUGCUUUAUUGGUACGCUCGAAGUAUUAUUGUUUUUAUGUCAAAUGAUAGACUAUUGUUUUGAAUCACUCGUGUCUUAAUAUUCAUGCCAUGAUUAGAUAUAUGAUCAAGAUUAUGCUAGGUAGCAUUCCACAUCAAAAAUUAUCUUUUUUAUCAUUUACCUACUCGAGGACGAGUAGGAAUUAAGCUUGGGGAUGCUGAUACGUCUCCGUCUUAUCUAUAAUUUUUGAUUGUUCCAUGCCAAUAUUAUUCAACUUUCAUAUACUUUUGGUGACUUUUUAUAUUAUUUUUGGGACUAACAUAUUGAUCCAGUGCCCAGUGACAGUUCCUGUCUGUUGCAUGUUUGAUGUUUCGCAGAAACCCCAUAUCAAACGGAGUCCAAACGGGAUAAAAAUGGAUGGAGAAUUAUUUCGGAAUAUUUGUGAUUUUUGCAAAGUAAAAUCAACGCGAGACGGUGCCCGAGGUGGCCACGAGACUGGGGCCCACGCCCACUCCAGGUGGGCGCUCCCCCCACCCUCCUGGGCCCCUCGUAAGGCGGUUGAUGCCCUUCUUUGGCCGCAAGAAAGCUAUUUUUUAGAAAAAGAUCUGGGCAAAGGUUUCAAUCCAAUCGGAGUUACGGAUCUCCGGAUAUAAAAGAAACGGUGCGAGGGCAGAAUUCCUGAACGCAGAAAUAGAGAGAGAGAGAGAGAGCGAGAUAGAUCCAAUCUUGGAGGGGCUCUCGCCCCUCCCAUGCCAUGGGAGCCAAGGACCAGAGGGGAAACCCUUCUCCCAUCUAGGGAGGAGGUCAAGGAAGAAGAAGAAGAAGAAGGGGGACUCUCUCCCCCUUGAUUCCGGUGGAACCGGAGCGCUGCCGGGGGCCAUCAUCAUCACCGCGAUCUUCACCAACACCUCCUCCAUCUUCACCAACAUCUCCAUCACCUUCCCCCAUCUAUAUUCAGCUGUCCACUCUCCCGCAACCCGCUGUACCCUCUACUUGAACAUGGUGCUUUAUGCUUCAUAUUAUUAUCCAAUGAUGUGUUGCCAUCCUAUGAUGUUUGAGUAGAUUUUCGUUGUCCUACCGGUGAUUGAUGAAUUGCUAUGAUUUGUUUGAAUUGCAUGUUUUAUUAUCAGUGUUGUCCUAUUGUGCUCUCCAUGUCGCGCAAGCGUGAGGGAUCCCCGCUGUAGGGUUUGCAAUAUGUUCAUGGUUUGCUUAUGGUGGGUGGCGUGAGUGACAGAAGCACAGACCCGAGUAAGUAGGUUGUUUGCGUAUGGGAUAAAGGGGACUUGAUACUUUAAUGCUAUGGUUGGGUUUUACCUUAAUGAUCUUUAGUAGUUGCAGAUGCUUGAUAGAUUUCCAAUCAUAAGUGCAUAUGAUCCAAGAAGAGAAAGUAUGUUAGCUUAUGCCUCUCCCUCAAAUAGAAUUGCAAUAGUGAUUACCGGUCUAGUAAUGUAGUCAAUUGCUUAGGGACAAUUUCACAACUCCUACCACCACUUUUCCACACUCGCUAUAUUUACUUUAUUGCUUCUUUAUCUAAACAGCCCCUAGUUUAUAUUUAUGUGCUCUUUAUUAUCUUGCAAACCUCCAACAACACCUACAAAGUACUUCUAGUUUCAUACUUGUUCUAGGUAAAGCGAACGUCAAGCAUGCGUAGAGUUGUGUCGGUGGUCGAUAGAACUUGAGGGAAUAUUUAUUCUACCUCUAGCUCCUCGUUGGGUUCGACACUCUUACUUAUCGAAAGAGGCUACAAUUAAUCCCGUAUACUUGUGGGUUAUCAUGCACCUUGCGUUUACGGUACAAUCAAAGAAUAUCACUUUGCGUACCUCAAAGCCUCUUAGCAGGUGAGGGAGUCCUGGAUUAGGGGGUGUCCGGAUAGCCGAACUAUGACCUUUGGCCAGACUCCUGGACUAUGAAGAUACAAGAUUGAAGACUUCGUCCCGUGUCCGGAUGGGACUUUCCUUAGCGUGGAAGGCAAGCUUGGCGAUAUGGAUAUGUAGAUCUCCUACCAUUGUAACCGACUCUGUGUAACCCUAACCCUCUUCGGUGCCUAUAUAAACCGGAGGGUUUUAGUCCGUAGGACGAACAACAAUCAUACCAUAGGCUAGCUUCUAGGGUUUAGCCUCUCUGAUCUCGUGGUAGAUCUACUGUUGUACUACCCAUAUCAUCAAUAUUAAUCAAGCAGGAGUAGGGUUUUACCUCCAUCGAGAGGGCCCGAACCUAGGUAAAAACAUCGUGUCCCUUGUCUCCUGUUACCAUCCGCCUAGACACACAGUUCGGGACCCCCUACCCGAGAUCCGUCGAUUUUGACACCGACAUUGGUGCUUUCAUUGAGAGUUCCUCUGUGUCGUCAUCGUUAGGCCCGAUGGCUCCUCCGAUCAUCAACAACGAUGUGGUCCAGGGCGAGACUUUUCUCCCCGGACAGAUCUUCAUAUUUGGCGGCUUUGCACUGUGGGCCAAUGCGCUUGGCCAUCUGGAGCAGAUUGAAAUCUACGCCCCUGGCCAUCAGGUCAGAUUUGGAAGUUUGAACUAUACGGCUGACGUCCGUGGAGACCUGAUCUUCGACGGGUACGAGCCACAGCCAAGCGCGCCGCACUAUCACGAUGGGCAUGAUCUAGCUCUACCGCCAGAGAAUGCCCUGGAGGCCGCACAAGUGUCCGCUCCGACCCUUAGCUCGGAGCCGACUGCGCCGAUCGAGGACGGGUGGCUGGACACCGCCUCGGGGGCUGCUAUCUCUAUGGCGAUUGAGCCGAACACCAACCCUGUCCUUUGCGAAGCUCGUGACUCCAAGGUGCCGGACUACUCUCCAGACUCCGAACCUUCCGCACCCCUGCCAAUCGAAUCCGAUUGGGCGCCGAUCAUGGAGUUCACCACCGCGGACAUCUUUCAGCACUCGCCCUUUGGCGACAUCCUGAAUUCACUAAAGUCUCUCUCUUUAUCAGGAGAGCCCUGGCCGGAUUAUGGUCAGCAAGGUUGGGAUGCGGACGACAAAGAAAUUCAAAGCCCACCCACCACCCACUUCGUAGCCACUGUCAAAAGUUUAAAUGAUGGGCUCGAUUUCGACUCCGAAGACAUCGACGGUAUGGACGAUGAUGUAGGAGAUAAGCAUGAACCAGCACCUAUAAGGCACUGAACAGACACCUCAUCUCACGAUGUAUACAUGGUGGACACACCUAAAGGAAGCGACAACGAGGAACAACGGGACGCCACGAGGGAUCAUUCCCUCGAAAAGCAAUCAAAACGGCAACAUAAGCGCCGCUCAAAAUCCCGCCUCGACAAAGAGAGCAGCCAUACAGAUCCAGCCAUAGAGCAGGGUGAACCAGUGGACAACGAACAUGCCAUUGAGCAACCGUCUGAACAGGACAACCUGGAUAAACAAUCCGUCCCCGACGAAGAUAACAGUCUGGACGAUCUCACGCCGGACAAGUUGCUGGAGAAGAAGAACCUCCACAAAAGGCUCGUCGCCACUACGCGUAGCCUGAAAAAGCAGAAGCGGAAGUUCCAAACAGCGGAAGAUGCACUCAGAAUCAGAUGGAGCAAAGUACUCAACACCACAGACAAAUAUGGUGAUAGUCGCCGAACAACCGAAGCGAAAACUACUGCCCGAAUUUGAUGAGGAGGCCGUAGAGCCCCCGCAAUCAAAGAACAAGGAGACCACCCGGUCGGAUAAACGACCCCAUGGCAAACAUAGAGCGGCAAACGGCGCCGCACACAAGCUAGCACACGAUCCGCACAUGGAUUCGCAUCAAAAAGAUGGCCCAGUUAGAUCUAUCUACGGGCCAAGAAAGCAAGAUCUACAAUGCAACACAUCAAGUAUCCGAAUAUUACGGUACACCUAAAUAUAGGGGUGCCACACACCCCCUAUGUUUCACCGAUGAGGUUCUGGAUUAUGAAUUUCCAGCGGGAUUCAAGCCCAUAAACAUAGAGGCAUACGACAGAACAACAGACCCUGGAGUCUGGAUUGAGGAUUACAUCCUCCACAUACACAUGGCUAGAGGAGAUCACCUCCACUCCAUAAAAUACUUACCCCUCAAGCUCAAAGGGCUAGCCUGACAUUGGCUCAAAAGCCUCCUCGAAAACACCAUUGGAAGUUGGGAAGAGCUCGAGGAUGCUUUUCGGGCAAAUUUUCAAGGGACCUAUGUCCGACCUCCGGAUGCAGACGAUUUAAGUCACAUAACUCAACAACCCGGAGAGUCAGCCCGAAAAUUCUGGAACAUAUUCCUUACUAAAAAGAACCAAAUAGUCGACUGUCCGGACGCUGAAGCCUUAGCAGCUUUCAAACACAACGUCCAAGACGAAUGGCUCACCAGACACCUCGGCCAAGAAAAGCCAAGAACAAUGGCCGCAUUAACAAGCCUCAUGACCCACUUUUGCGCGGGAGAGGAUAGCUGGCUGGCAAGAUGCAGUACCAGCAACCCAAGUACAUCCGAAGUCAGGGAUGGAAACGGGAAACCGCGACGCAGCAAGGACCAGCGCCAGACCAAGGGAAACAACCCGAAGAGCACGACAGUCAACGCCGGAUUCAAAAGCUCUCGGCAGAAUCAUAAAAAGCUGCCCCUUAAGGAUAACAGGGACGAGCUAUCUAACUUUAACAAAAUCUUGGACAAGAUAUGCCAAAUCCACAGUACUCCCAGGAAGCCUGCAAACCAUACCCACAGAGAUUGUUGGGUCUUCAAGUAGUCCGACAAACUCAACGCCGAACACAAGGGGCUUGACACACCAAGCGAGGACGAUGACGAACCCCACAAGUAGAGCACCGGAAAACAAAAGAAUUUCCCAUAAGAAGUCAAAACAGUAAACUCACUUCACGUGACAAAAGGGAAAAAUAGAGCGGCGCCCAUAGAGGUACGUGCCACACGGCCUAUCCCAGAGGAGUCACCUUCGACCAUCAGGAUUACUCUAGAAGUAUCCGGAAUGCAGGAUGGACUGCCUUGAUAUUAGAUCUGAUAAUUGACGGACUCCACUUUACACAAGUCCUAAUGGACGGCGGCAGUGAUCUAAACCUGCUAUACCAGGACACAAUCCGCAAAAUGGGGAUAGACCCAACCAAAAUUUGCCAUAGCAACACUUCCUUUCAAGGGGUUAAUGCCAGGCCCAUAUGCCCAUUGUACGGGCUCUCUACUGCUAGAAGUUGUGUUCGGCUCACCCGACAACUUCCGCCGUGAAAAGUUAACCUUCCACCUCGCCCCGUUCACAAGUAGCUACCAAGCACUACUAGGACGCGAAGCUUUCACCCGCUUCAACGCAAUACCGCAUUAUGCAUCCCUUACACUUAAAAUGCCCGGUCCGCGAGGCAUCAUCUCCUUAAAGGGAAAUAUCGAGUGUUCCUCGAGCACGGAAGAUGGUGUGACUGCCUUGACAACCACACACUAAGCCGACUUCACCAAUCAAAGCACCUAAACAGGUCAUUCAGACCAGGGGUCACGGCUAGACGAGUCCGGCGUAAACAUACAAGGGCUUACUAGCCGCAUACCCUUGUACAAGGGGCUCCACGCAUGUACAACAAGCGACAAUAAAGCUCAAUUUUAUCCAUUUUUUGCAUUGUACUUUGUUUAUUUAGUAUAAACGUACAUUUUCGCACGAUCUUUUUCAACUAAGUUUCCCUCUUUUACAGAUGAACACUGUGCUACACCCGUCUAGGAUAUGGCACAACGGAGACACAGGCGCAAACUUGCAGUAGGGACCCGUGACAAGGAUUCUUUUCAGAUUAAGACCCUGCGUAAACCUUUUUUACUUUCUCUUGUUGAUACACAUCCCCUGGUUUCUUGCCAUAACAGAGGAGGAGGCUGGCGUUUUGGCAUGGGCCACGUCAGAAUUUUGCGCGUACCUGGACACCAGGGGCUUAUUACCAAGGGCGUUGUUCGGCCCGUUUUCAUAAAGACCGAAUAUCUUAGGGAGUGUUCGGCGUCUCGAGUUAGGCCUUAUAUGCAUCAGCUCCGAAUCAUGUCUUUGGUCAAAUGUUGGGUUUGCCCGGCUCCUGUGUUUUGUUGCCUUACGUUCCGCUCUAUCGGCUAAGGCGGCACCAGGAGAACUACUACGAUUGUGCCCCGGUUCGACCAGGCGAGCACCUUAGUAGAGAAAGCCGAAAACUGACUGUCAUGAUAUAGCGUGAGACUGGUCAACCAUUCGAUGACUCGCCGGAAUCUAUAGGAUUCCUCCGCAUUGACGAAGGGCCGUUUCCCGGUCAGGCACAUACGCGCCCCGAAUUCGGGUGAGCGCGAUGCCCCUAGGGGCUAUAUAGUAGCCCCACUGUCAAACUCCUAUGGCUAAGUGAAAGUGAUAAAGCAUUAUAGUCCGGUUGCCUAGUUUGCUGCGCUACCACCUCCUUUAUAGGACCAAGAUGUUGGAUCAAGUGUGAAAAUGUGCCUUUUGCAAACACCCCCGCAUUAUAUGCAUGGGGGCUGAAGUCGAAGACUGCCAUCUUUCAGGUUAUAUAUAUAUACAUUAGCGGCCGCACAAGAGGUAUUUUAAUUCUUGAAAGGCACAAGUAUAAAAAGAUUUUAUAUUCCAUCGAUACAUUGUUUCACAAUAAUACAUGUUAUUCGAACAUAAUAUCCUUCGAGCACUGCGUCUCUAUUAAACGAGCGCCCUGCAGAACUUCCUGAAAAUAGUGCUCGACAGGUACUCGGCUUCCGUCCGAAUCUUGGGAUGCGACAUCGGUGGCCUUCAUCUCCGCCCAGUAUGUCUUGACACGGGCAAGAGCCAUCCGCACACCCUCUAUGCAUGACGACCUCCUCAUUGCAUUUACAUGCGGCACUGCACCAAGGAACUGCUGCACCAAGCCAAAAUAACUCUUCGGCUCGGGCCUUUUCGGCCACAAAAGACUCACGACAUCCUUCAUGGCAAGUCCGGAUAACCUAUUCAGCUCCGCCCAUUCGGCCAAGCGAUUUGUUAAUGGAAGUGGGCGCUCUAGAUUAUGGAACUGCGACCAAAAAACCUUUUCCAUUUCGUGAUCCUUUUGAUCUCGGAAGUGUUCGGCCACAUCCGCGGCACUUGCCGCCAAGUCCAGAUAAGCAUCCUCCGCACUCCACAGCCGGUCCAACUGAGCAUAUUUAGGAUCCACGAAUUUCCUCCGCAGCAGAAAGGGCUUUCCAGCCGCGAUAUCUCCGGCCUGACACAGCUCCUCCUUCAUAGCUCUCAUCGCAGAGCGAGCAUCCUUGGCCUCGGUAGUGGCCUUCUUCAGGUCCUCUUGCACCGCUCGAUCUUCUUUUUCAAGAAGCUUGCAGCGGUCGGCAGCAUUCUUCAACUUCACGGCCAUCUCGGCCAUUUCCUUCUUGCUUCGGCAGUGAGCAGCCUGUUCGGCUUUUAGCUCUUCGGGCGCCUUUAUGGCAGUCGCAUCACUCUUUCUGGCCUGGUCCUUGGCUCGGGUGAGCUCCGCCCGAAGGUUCUCCAUGGAAGCGGCACCAUCUGCAUCAAGCAUACAUGUUGUAAGGCACGGGCAUCAAGCUCCCUUACCAGGUGUCCGCAGAGAAAUUGCAUACCUUGUAACUCGUCAAGUCGCUUAUUGACAAGCGCGAUGUCGGCAUCCGCCACGUCAAGUUGCCGCUUUAGUUCGGCAAAUUCAUCAGUCCGGCUAGCCACCGGACCCUUCGCCACCUACAUAGGAAGGGCGACACAAUAUACCUAGGAUAAUGCUCCUCGGUGCGCUGUCAUUUUUGACAACAUACCGAGCCUCAGGGGCUACUAUCUACACAGGGUGCAUUUUAUAUGCGGAGCUGUCAGAAGGUACAUCAUUUUUGCAUACCUCAAAACCUGUCAGUAAACUUCUGACGGCUUCGUGCAAUCCGCUCUCAGCGGAUGAAAUCCUUUCAAUCACCGUACCCAUUAACGCACGGUGAUCUUCUGAGAUAGACGCUCACCCGAGCAAAUCCUUCAGCUCCUCCGACCGUACACCAGGUGGUGCCGGACUCGUCCGGUGGCCUUUUUCGAAGGCCGGACGCGAAGGGCUUUGAGGGGACAUACGACUGCCUUCCGGCCCCGCUGGACUCAGAGAAACCCUCCGCGACGACACCUCAGGGUCGCCCGCCUCGCAAGACGGUACGACAGGGGGAGGCGUUUCGCUCUCCAUCAUCUCCGGACGAAGAUCCCCCGAAGAUGAGCUCUGCUGAGAAGGGCUGAGAUCCGAACUACAAGGUAAAAUUUCGGUUAUCUUCAUCAGAAAUAGGGCAGGGAUAUCCUUUAUUUUUUUAAAACUCCCCUUUUUUACUUACGGCUCGGUGGAGGGCUGAUCCCCUUGGGGGCACAAUGCGGCCGAGGCAUCUCUCGACGUAGGACCCUCUGACGAAGAUUUCUUCUCCCGCUUUGAGACCAUGGUCUCCAGGUCUUCAGAGGCGGUCCUCUUCUUCCCUUGGAUGGAGGGAUUCUUGAUCCCUCCUUUCCUGACAGCCUCCUUCGCGGAGGCAGUAGCUUCCUUGUUCCCCCCUUCACCUUCUUCCGAAGGCACAACCUCCAGCAUCCUGGUUAACACGGGAUCCGACGUGGUCUCAGGGAGAGGGGCCGGACACCUGAUUAACUUUGCUUUCGCUAUCCACUUCUGUUCAAGGAAUAGCUCUUUUAAAGGGCAAGUUCGUGAUAAAUAUGGGAUAGCGUGUCCGGGUAUAGGGCUACUUACUUGAGUAUCCGGGCGAUUGCAGCUCAGACCUGCGUCCUCGGUUGAGUCCGGACACAUCGCUUGUGAUCCGAAGAAAAGCUUGUACAUCCCCAUGGGCGUCGCGCCAAUAAAAUAUUGGAGAGCUCGUGGUCCCUCCGGGUUAAAUUCCCACAGGCGGAGGGGGCAAAGUUUGCAGGGUUGGAUGCGACGAAUCAGCAUGACCUACGCUACUACGACCAGAGUGAUCUCUCUCUCUAGGAGGUCUUGAAUGCGGCCCUGCAACAAGGGCACAUCCUUGGACGGCCCCCAGUCAAGUCCUUUAUUGACCCAUGACGACAGCCACAGUGGAGGACCCGAGCGAAAGGCACGUGGCGCCACCCAUUUGGUGCCCCUGGGAGCUGUGAUAUAAAACCACUCUUGUUGCCAUAGGCUGAGCUCCUCUUGAAAAGAGCCCUCGGGCCAUGGAGCAUCAGCAUUCUUGCUUCUAACAGCCCCUCCGCACUCUGCCUGCUGCCCCUUGAUCAUCUUCGGCUCCACUUUGAAGGUCUUGAGCCAUAAUCCUUAGUGAGGGGUAAUGCGGAGGAAGGCUUCGCAUACGACGAUGAACGAUGAGAUGUGGAGGAUGGACUCCGGAUCCAAGUCAUGAAAUUCCAACCCAUAGUAAAACAUGAGCCCCCUCACAAAGGGGUCCGUCGGGAAGCCUAGCCCCCGAAGAAAGUAAGACGCGAACACCACGCUUUCACCAAGCUUGGGAGUGGGAAUAACCUGCCCUUGGGCAGGCAGCCUAUGCAAAAUUUUGCCGGUUAGAUACCUGGCAUCUCUUAGCUUUAACACGUCUUCUUCCGUAACGGAGGAAGGCAUCCACCGGCCAUGCAAGUCGGAGCCGGACAUCAUCAAAGGUCCGAAGCGCCUGAAUCUGGAGCUUUGGGUGUUGGAACUCGAGGCGAGGGCCGGAUUCGAUUGAGAUUGAAAGAAAGGAGUGGAGCCUUGGUCUCUUUAUAAAGAGGUUGAAUACCAAGAGCCUUCCCCGUGACCGUUCUGGACUCGCCUUCGAUAGAGGAGACGUGCCAACGGGCACGACUGGGUUACCCACGCCCGUAUUAAUGAGAAUCCCGGAAUAAGGGGACACGAUCUCUGCUUUGACAAGACGUGCCAAGGAAACCGCCUCGCUAAACGCGCUGAGGUGGGAUAGUAAAAUGAUUCGAAUAAAGGCUUGGUCGUGGUGUGAUGUCACGCCACGAAAUAUGUCAGCAGAUUGAAUUUGUGUAAAUAUUAUUCUCUCUAUGGUGGUAUGUGGAACUUAUUUUGCAGAGCCGGACACUAUCCUUGUGUUCAAAAUCUUCUAUGAAGUAAUCGUAGGAGGAACCCGCCUUGCAAUGUCGAAGACAAUAUGCGCGCCGGACUCAUCGUCAUUGAAGCCUGGUUUAGGGGCUACUAAGGGAGUCCUGGAUUAGGGGGUGUCCGGAUGGUCGAACUAUGACCUUUGGCCGGACUCCUGGACUAUGAAGAUACAAGAUUGAAGACUUUGUCCCAUGUCCGGAUGGGUCUUUCCUUGGCGUGGAAGGCAAGCUUGGCGACACGGAUAUGUAGAUCUCCUACCAUUGUAACCGACUUUGUGUAACCCUAACCCUGUUCGGUGCCUAUAUAAACCGGAGGGUUUUAGUCCGUAGGACGAACAACAAUCAUACCAUAGGCUAGCUUCUAGGGUUUAGCCUCUCUGAUCUCGUGGUACAUCUACUCUUGUACUACCCAUAUCAUCAAUAUUAAUCCAGAAGGAGUAGGGUUUUACCUCCAUCGAGAGGGCCCGAAUCUUGGUAAAAACAUCGUGUCCCUUGUCUCAUGUUACCAUCCGCCUAGACGCACAGUUCGGGACCCCCUACCUGAGAUCCGCCGGUUUUGACACCGACAGUAGGCUCGUAAAAGCUUCAUUCAACCCGCUUUUUGCGGAUGAUAUCCUCUCAACCACUGUACCCAUUAAGGUACAAUGUGCCUCUGAGAUAGCCGCUUGCUGCAGAAGACCCGUCAAUGUGUCCGGUUGUAUAUCGGACAGUUCUGGCUUUUUCUGUUGGUCUCUCUAGGAGCCGAAAACCCCUGACUUUGGACGGCCGAAGGGUUACCUUCUGGUCUUUGUGGAUCGGGAGAGAUCCUCCGGGAUGACACCUCAGGGUCGUCCGCCUCAUGAGGCGGAGAAGUAUGAGGAGGCGUUUCGCUCUCCAUCAUCUCCGGAAGAAGAUCCCCCGAGGACGAACAUUGUGGAGGGAGGCUAUGAGCCGAACUGCAAAACAUAUGUCUCGGUCGUUAUUCUUAGGAAAAGAACGGGGUAUGCUUAUUAAGCACCUUUGUUCACUUACGGCUCGGUUAACGGCUGGCCCCCUGUGGGCGCUGUGCGGCAAUGCUGCCCUCCGGGGCAAAGCCCCCUGACGAAGGUUUCUUCCCUUGUUUGGAGACCUCUUCUUCCAAGUCUUCGGGGCGGUCCUUUUCUUUCCGUGGAGAGAGGGGGUACUAGAUUCUCCUCCUCGUUUAUCCUCCGACACUGGGGUACUAAUAUUCCUAGUUAGGAUGCGUAACGUACCUCCAGCAUGAAGUCCUCUUUUGGCUUCCCCAUUCCUCUCCUUGUCUUCCCCUGAUGGCACUUGAUAAGGUGCGCGAGCCAACAUCCUGGUUAAUACAGGAUCCGGCGAAUCUUCGGGAAGAGGGGCCGAACACCUAAUCCUCUCCGCCUUUCUUAUCCAGCCCUGACCGAGAAUGGUUUUUCAGAAUAAUGUUUUGACAAAUAUAAUGACAGCAUGUUCGGUCACGGAAUUACUUACCUGGGUAUCUGGAUGGUUGCAGUCGAGGCCCGCAUCCUCUGUUCUGAUCGGACACUUUAUUCAUGACCUGAAGAAUAAUUGAUACAUUCCUUCGAGCGUCCUGCCGAAGAAGUGUUGAAUAGUUCACGGUCCUUCUGGGUUGAACUCCCACAUACGGAGAGGUCGACAUUGGCACGGCAAGACCCGACGAACUAGCAUUACUUGAAUUACUUUGACAAGACUGAUAUCCUUAUUGAGGAGAUCCGAAUGUGGCUUUGCAAUGUCCACACGUCAUCCACCGAUCCCCAGUCCAGCCCCUUGUUGACCCAUGAUGCAAGUUGUGGCGGAGGAGCGGAGCGGAAGGCUGGGACAGCCGCCCUCUUUCUACCUUGGGGUGCUGUGAUGUAAAACCACUCCCGUUUCCAUAGGUCAGAAACUUCCGGGAAGGAACCCUUCGGCCAUAAAGCAUCGACACCUUUGCUUAUUGUAGCACCUCUGUACUCCGCGUGUUGCCUGUCGAUCAUCUUCGGCUUCACAUUGAUGGUCUUGAGCCAUAAGCCGAAGUGUGGGGUAAUGCGGAGGAAGGCCUCACACGCAACGAUGAACACUGAGAUGUGAAGGAAGGAAUCUGGAGCUAGAUCAUGAAAAUCUAGCCCAUAAUAGAACAUGAGCCCUCUAACAAAGGGAUGAAGACCGACGCCUAGCCCUCGGAGGAAGUGGGAGAUGAAUACGAAGCUCUCGUUGGGUUUGGGAGUAGGAAUGACCUGCCCUUGAGCAGGAAGCCUGUGAAGGAUUUCGGCGGUCAAAUACCUAGCCUCCCUAAGCUUCUUGAUGUCCUCCUCUGUGACGGAAGAGGUCAUCCACCAGCCUUGAAGGUUGGAUCCGGACAUGAUUGAAGGACCGCAACGCUUGGACUGAACCUUGGGUGUUGGAACUCGAGGUAUGGGAAGGGAAGGAUCAGGCAUGGAAAGAAAAGUACAGGUCUUGAACUCUUUAUAUAGAGGAAGAAUGCCAAGCAUCCUCCGUGCGGCCGUUUGGAACUUGCCUAAACCAAGGAGUCGUACUAAUGGAGCGGAUGGGUUACCCACACCCGUAUUGAUGAGAAUCCCGUGAUAAGGGGGACACGAUCUCUGCGUCGACAAGACGUGCCAAUAAAAUCGCCUCGCAAGACGUGUAGUGCCAGGUUGGGAAAAACGGUAUGAAUAAUAACCAGGCCGCGGCAUGAUGUUACGCUAGGUAAAAGUUGUCAGCAGAUUAGACUCGUGGUAUAUUGUUCUCUCUACGGUGGUACAUGGAAUUUGUUUUUGCAGAGCCGGACACGAUUCAUGUGUUCAAGAUCUACUUUGGAGUAUUCGGAGAAGGAACCCGCCUUGCAAUGUCGAAGACAAUCUGCACGCCAGACUCAUCGUCAUUGAAGCCUGGUUCAAGGGCUACUGAGGGAGUCCUGGAUUAGGGGGUCCUCGGACAGCCGGACUAUAUGCUUAUGCCGGACUGUUGGUCUAUGAAGAUACAAGAUUGAAGACUUCGUCCCGUGUCCGGGCGAGACUCUUCUUUGCGUGGAAGGCAAGCUUAGCGAUUCGGAUAUGUAGAUUCCCAUCUCUGUAACCGACUCUGUGUAACCCUAGCCCCCUCUGGUGUCUAUAUAAACCGGAGGGUUUAGUCCGUAGGACGACAACAAUCAGAAUCAUAGGCUAGCUUCUAGGGUUUAGCCUCUACGAUCUCGUGGUAGAUCAACUCUUGUAAUACUCAUAUCAUCAAGAUCAAUCAAGCAGGAAGUAGGGUAUUACCUCCAUAGAGAGGGGCCGAACCUGGGUAAACAUCGUGUCCCCCGCCUCAUGUUACCAUUAUCCUUAAACGCACAGUUCGGGACCCCCUACCCGAGAUCCGCCUGUUUUGACACCGACAGUCGGCCGCGCGCAUGGGGAUAAGGUAGGGUUAGUAGUAGCGCGGGUAGCAAAACACGCUGCAGCUAAGGAGAAUAGCAGUAGCGAUGCUCUAAGAUGAACACUACUGAUAAGUUGGACUAGCAGCAGCGCUUUGCUACUAAACGCGCUACUGCUAAGUUGUCUGUCAAUGCAAAAUACAUUGGCCAUCAAUGAUCUUUUUGCGUACAAUCUGAAUUGUCAAUAUGAGUCAUCUCCGGUAGUAACCGGAGAAGACUCAUAUUGCAGCCAAAAAUUCUACACAUAGAGUUCAGUGAAGACCAACUGGUUGUGAUAGUUUGAGGAGUAACAUAUUUAAGAUGGUAACCACCCUGGUCGCGGAGCGAGGUGGGACUAAACUUGUGGGCUGAACUUAGCAGUAGCGAGUUUCAAAGAAGUGUGCUGCUGCUAACAUUUGUAGCAGUAGCGUGGUCCAUUAUAGGGUGCUACUGCUAUAACUAGUUGUACGGCCAGGUCAUGGCAAUUAGAGUAGUAGCGCGGUUUUGUGGGAACGCGCUACUGCUACUUUUCUUUCAGCAGCGCGUUUUCCUGGAGCACGCUGCUGCUAAAUAGUAGCAGCGUUGUAUUUUGAAGAUCGCCGCUGGUAAAAUUCUGUGUAUAAGGUUUUCCCUAGUAGUGUCUAUUGCCGUUGGCUUCCCGGGAUGCACCACGGCUGGUUCCAGUGUCCUCACCAACUGGUUCCAGCAAAAACCAUGGCCGCAUGUAGCAUCACAGUGUCCCGUUGUAGCUUCUCUCUUCGGCGAGCAUAGCUUUCUUCCGUUGUUUUUCUUCAAAGAUGGCACAUUUAUGAUUUUGUCUUAGGAGCUAUAAGGGGCAUUUACUUUUAUGUCAUCGUAUUAGAGAAAAGGGCUAAGAGAUGAGUAACAAAAGGUUAAUAUUUAGUAUAAAUAUUCUUUUCAUUUAGCUUUGAAUUGUCAUUUACGUCGCAAAUGUUAUAACCUCUCCAGGCCGGAACUUGUGAGCCUGCUUCAAAUUGUUCUCAUAUGAGAGUUUUCAUCUAUAUUAUUUAAGGUUUACUUAGUGGAAGUGUUUGGACGUAAGUACCAGGUUGAAGCCAAUGUGCCCAAGGUAUAGUUUCCCACUCAGGACCGCAGAGAUUACCCCUUGAUAUUUGGGCGCACUGCAAAAUGGUGUGGUUUUAUUGUAUGAAAUGGAACAUGGAACUCAUACUAAAAAAACAAGAUUAUCACGAGGAGAAAUGGUGGUGAUAAAAAAUUCUCCCUCCGAUUCAUAAUAAAUGUCGUGGUUUAGCUCAAAUGUAUAGUGUACAUAUAUGACAACUAAUUAUUACUGGAAUUACCUUUCACUACCAAAAACUAGGACCAACUAUAAAUCCUCUUAGCCAAAUAUGAUUUUAGCUAUAUGACAACCGCGAGGCGCCCUUACCGUGAAGACUAUGCAACUUUUGAAUUUGGUCAACGCAACAUAUUAUCAAUAGUGAAUUUACGUGAAUUUUGACAGUGGCAUACAUCUAAAUUAUUAUUCUAGAAGAAACUUAAUUAGUUAUAUAUAAUUAUUUGAUGUAUCGAUGUAGUAUAUGCGCACACCAACACGUUCAGAAUGUUUAACUAGAGAAUAUGUUGGAUUAAUUUAUGUUUAGUACGUACGUUUCCCUCAAAAAAAAUAUGUUAGUACGCUCGUGCAGGCAGCCGGAUCGAUCGAGGACAAGGUUACUGAUGGCUAAUGAUGAUUUCCUAACUAAUUGUUUGGACAUGGUCUACUG